ACAUGCAGAAGCCGGCUUACAUCUUUGAUGGCAGGAACGUCGUCAACGUUAACAAGCUGCGUGAGAUCGGAUUCAUUGUCUACUCCAUUGGCAAGCCGCUGGAUCCCUGGCUCAAGGACAUGCCCGCCGUGGCAUAAUGGAGCCCCACCUGAUAUUGGCGUCUGUCGCCAGCCAAGAUCCUAUAUUUUUAAAAGCAGCCUUUUUUAUCCCUCCAUGUUCGCCUUUUGAUGGUUUCGAAUGUUCUCCUGCUUCCCCAGAGUAGUCAGGGUAAUUGGUCCACAUGGUGAAGUCAGCGGAUUCACUCUUCUGUUCUACAUUGUAUUCAAUUAUAUUACCCAUCUGUCUGUUACUGCUUUUCGGGUAUAUUUUGAUUACAUUUUUGUCGGUUCAAUAUGUUUAUGAUUGGUUAGCAACUCUGAGAAAUAAACUCUCUUGGUGUUCUAGAACCCUUAACUACCUUGUUUUCUAUUUGUCUUCAUUUAACUGGCCAACUGCUGUUGGGUCGACUCUAUUCAGGAUGAUGACUGUUGAGUAAGCGAGGAAUCGUCUUCUUACGCCAGUUCGUAUGUUAAAUUGCGCUAACAUUUUUCAAUGUUCUCUUAUUGAUCCUUCCAUUUAAUCUCGCUAGCACCCGCGACCUCGUUACUAGGGUUGGUUAAUUUUCCCAUUUGGGACGACUUGUGACUCCUAGAUUUGAUUUGAUUUAUCCUACAUUUUGCGGAUUCAAUUUUUAUUUAACACAAAGCGCUUGGGACUUUUUACUAUAUUUGCAAGUUGACAUAUAAAAUGUCCAAAUUUUUUAAUCUUUUGUAAUUGAAAAUAAUUCUUUUACAUUUUCGAAUUUUGAAGGAAAAGUCAUGAGUAGAAAUUAGAGAGAAAUAAAAAAAAAAAAAUUGCCCCAAAAAAGAAGGGGGAUCGUAAGUUUCAAUUUCGCUAAACUCUGAAAAAAUAAUCCAUGAGAUCGUAUUCUAUGAACUAUUCAUUAAAGGAAUAAAUAAUGAUGCGAAAUUUGACUUGUCACCUAAAACUCUAUCAAGCGAUAUUUCUGAAAUUACUUCAAAAGUAUUGUAACGUGAUUGAAAAAGUUACAAUUUAAUAAGAACCAUACUUGCGUAAUUGUUACGUUCAAUUUUUAAUACAUUCAUAUGUUAAAUAGAUCUAUGUGAAGAUUGAGUCUUUUCUUCCUCCUCUUUCAGGUGAGUGACGUGAACAAAUUUCUCAGUCUUUGGAGAAACUCUUGUUCGAACCUUAUUGAUGGUUUAAAGACAAUCAAAGCCAUCAAUUACGUGAAUUUGUAUGUGAUGCCAUACAAUUAAAGGUUAAGAUAGACACGAUCCAUGUAGACUCAACCCAUGCAACAAUUUAUCUAGUCCUUAGGGUGCUUUGCGAUUGCCAUGACCUAAUUGAAAGUUAAUCAUAAUUGAAUGGCGCAACUGCUAUAUUACAUAUCCUAAUUUUGUUAUUUGUUGAUUUUUUUUCCUACUUGGAAGAGAAGUUGUAUAAUUUGUCUAGCCUUAUCUAUCUUAGUUGCAUCUUGAAUAUUUCACACUAUUGUACUUGGUGUCUUGGUAAAUUGCUUGAUUUGGUGCUUAAUGGCUUAAUAUUGACUGGACUCGUCGCAUUAUUACAUUGCCGUCUUGGAUUGUAUGCGUACUCAUUCUGAUUACCUAAAAGAGAAUAGAGUCUCAAAAUAGGAAAUCCUCUUGAUAAUUUACCAUUUUCUCAAAAGAACUUUCCGUUUCAACACACCGAUAGAUUUUUGUCAUUUUUAAAGCAUUAAUUCUCUCGUAUUAUGUAUAAUUUGGGUAUUGUAAAUGAAACCAUUUUACCAUUAAGCAAGGAUAACCAGUGCUCCAGAGAUACUUCUUUCUAAAACUUAGUUUUCUCCCUAGCCUGCCCAUUGUGUUUGUGCAGGUGCCUUUUCCAGAUCCCAUAGAGAAGUUGCUCUUUACUUAAUUUAUGGCACUAGGGGAGCAUAUUUGUUGGCACUCUGCUUUUUUAAAGGCUAAAUUCUGAUAAAAUUUUUUGAUACUUGAAAUUGUUUAGGUGAUCUUCUCUCACUAAAUCCCAAAUAUUAGGGAGAACCCGGAAAAACAAAAGAAAAUGAUAUGUUGGAUUUAGGAAGCCUGAUUCUAUCAUUAUUUAAUUUUGUUGGUUCUAUGCAUUGACCAUUUCACCUGCCAAACAUGGCAUUACCCGUUUGAGAGAGCGAGCAACAACAGAGGAAUGACAACCAACACAUCAAUCAUCAUAUACAAACCCAAUCACGCUCACUCGUAUUUGCACAUUUCAGAACCCCAUAGAGAAGUCCAAAACCCCCGCUCCUUCUUCGGAGGCCUUUAUGAUUCCUCUGCUUCCUCCGUAGCCUUCUCUCUCCCGCGCGCUGGCCCGCUUUCUGGUGAGAAAGAGUCUCGACCUUUCGAAGUCUCGACAAGCUGUUUGCAUUUUCUCUCUUCGAUUUCCCUCUGUUUCUUUUGCUGCUUUCGUGAUUAGAUGGCGACUGGAGAGAAUUUGGAGAGUAUAUCCAUGCAAGCUCUGCGACAGGAUCUUCUCUAGCGGACCAAUGUUGGGAGGUCACAUGAGGUGCCGCUGUCGAAAAUUAUUCACGUGAAUAAUUAAUUAAUCAAGAAGAAUCGGAUCCAUAUAUGAUUGUAAAAUACCGAUAAAUAAAUAUAGCGGAAUUAAAGCAUACCUGUUUGAAUCAUUGCUUCACUUGUAGAAAAGUAUAUCACUCUGAUAAUCAGGGAUCUAUCAGAAUGCCAGAUCUUCCUCUCUAUGACCUAUUUCGAUAUAGUAGCUUUCAAUGAUAUUAAAGCAACCGAUAGGUAUAACCUACCCUUUUAUAGGCUAGGGAGGGGACGUAGCAAACCCUAAUCAACAGCGUGUCAACUAGGCCCUUCCCAUUACGGGCUUCAGUCAAACACAAUUGCCUACACUUUGCUGCUCAACUAGGCCCGUUAACAAUAGAUGCCAAUACCCAAUUCAAUCAUAUCACUUUAGGGUUUAACAAAUAUUGGAAUAUCCAUUAACCCGAUUAUUUAAAAUAGAAAAUCAAUUAAUUAAUGUAAGCCUAUAUUAUAGGAAAUUUCCAACAUUCUCCCACUUGGGCUACAUUAAUUAACUUAUUUUAUUUUGAAAAAAGAUUUUAUAUUGAAAACGACACUAUCGAGUUAAUAACUGAAAAUUUUGUUUUAUGUGGCCACAACUUUAAAAAAAUAAUAUUCCAAUAAUGGCAUCUCAAUACCAAUCCAAUCCUAUAUAACCUCAAUAUAGGACUAUAGAGAUCAAUGUGUUAAGAAAAUAUCACAACACAAGAUCUUCCAUAAUCACAUAUAAUAAGUAUUAUAUUUUCAUGGAUCAUGGGCCUAGUAGUGUAGUAAGAAAUAGUGCCAAUAUGUGAUCAAGAUAUACACUAUUUCUUAUCGGUCCUCAAUGCAAUUUCUCAACGACAUGAAACUGCAUUAGCGUAAUUUCUAAACAACAUGAAAUUGCCUUAGUGCGAUUUCUAAACAACAUGAAAUUGCACAAUUAUGUUACAAUCCAACAUGAGAUCUCAUAAUCCGUAACAUCCAGUCAUCUUUAAAUUAAAAUUUGUUUAAAGAUACUAUUUUAUACUUCCAUUUCUCAGCCAACAGGAGAAAUGAUAACAAUAGAAUCAACAGUGAUGAUCAUAAAAAAAUCAAUGCUUUAAUUAAGAUCGUAAAAGCAUUAUCAGUUAACUACAAUAUCCAGAAAGACAAACUGUACAUAGCUCCCCCUAACAAAAGAGAUUAAAAGAGUCUAAAACACCCAUACUCUUAUACAUGGCCUUUAAACAAAAUGGGUCGUAAAUCUUUUGUUAAAGGAUUAACUAACAUGGACUUGGUUUUAAUAUUAUCAAUCAUAAUAUCUCACUUUUUGACCAAAUCCUUAACAAUAUAAUAUUUGAUCUCCAUGUGUUUGGAUGCAUUGAUAAUUUUGUCAUUUUAAAAUAAAACACAGCUGUAGUGUUGUCACAUAAAAUGCAAUAAGAUCAAUUAUGGACAAUGAGCAAUUCAACAAAAUAAUUAGCACAUCACAAACUCCCAUUUGGGCAGAGUGUAUAAUGUACAAUUAUUUUCUACAACAUGAAGAUUAUGAAACGAUAACAAGGAGAAUUACACAUAAUUGUCAAUGAUCCAUCUCCUUUGGGCAGACAAAUCAUUUAAAUUAUACAUCUCCAUGAUAUCAAUAUAUAGAGACGAUAAAAGAGAAUUACAUAUAAUCUUCAAGGAUCAAUCCCCUUUGGGCAGACAAAUCCUUUAAAUUAUAUAUUUUCAUUAUCUCAACAUAGAGGGGAAUUACACAUAACUCUAAAAAAUUUUAUCCCCUUUAGGCAAAUAAACCUUUUGAGUCACACAUCCCCAUCAUUCAUCUCUAAUAUAUCAAUAUAGAGGGGAAUUACACAUAACUUUCAAAAAAUUUAUCCCCUUUGGGCAGAUAAAUCUUUUUGAGUCAUACAUCCCCAUCUUUUAAUUUUGGAAUUUAUCUUCAUGCAAUUUUCAAAUUAAUAUACACAAUACCCCAUUUGGGCAGGUGAUUAUAUAUACUAAUUUUUAUCAAUAAGGAACUUCAAUAAAAUUUAUGUCCAAAAUUCAUCAAAUAAUAUGAAGCACUUUACAAUAUGUGCUUCCCAAGAUCAUAUUGCAUUUAUCAAACAGUAAUUUUUCCCACAAUUUUUUUUAAUGGGGGUUAGAAAAACGGUUUUAGUCCAAAUCACUGAAUUAACCCAACAAAAGAUAGGAUAGGUGCAUCUAGCACUUCAGUCAGCAUGUUUGGUAUUUAAGUUUAAAUUACUCGUGCACCAAAUACCAAACAAAGACACCCGGGCAGGAACUACAAUCUUUACAAGAAAAAUAAUGGCACCCGGGCUGCGUACUCAACCUCAACUUAAACAGAAUGAAGAACACUCUAAGCAAGCACUGUAACCAAUUAAAGUCAGGGAAAGGUUACAGUCAGGGAAAACAACCCACCGUUCUAUCACCUUUAGUCAAUAGGUUCUCGUGUUUAAAUUAACAAAUAAAAGUCCCACUAGCAAUCUUAAGCACUCAUGUCAAAUCCCAAGCACAUAUAGACAAGAGACCAAGACAAAACAGCAAAUAGAAAAGUGAAUGCUAAUUCUGCAGCAAGAAUUGCAAUAUGUUAUGAAAGAAAGUAUCACUUCCGCAAUUUUUUUUUAAUGUUUCUGAAUUCAAUCUAUGAUAAUGAGGUACAAUAUCUUCUGUCAUAAUGUCAAUUUAUGCGAGAGAGUGUGAAUAAAGUAAGAUCUUGCGCAUGGCACAAGCAAUAUUGUUUGUUACUAGCAAAAAUCAAGAUUGAUAUAGAAUAAGAUCUCUAAUCCAAUUGCCCUCUUAAGCUUACUUUCCCUUUUCUUCUACGCAAUGAUCGUUCACAUAAAAUACUAUCACAAACCAUUGUUUAUAGAGACAUAAUCGAAUGAGAAGUUCACCAUCCAUCAAAGAAAGCCAAGUUCAUCAAUCCAUUAGCAGUACCCACGAUUACCAUCAAUGGAAUUCAUCUAAAUUUCAUUGAAAAAACUGAUCUUGAAUCCGCCACAAAUUUUUUUUUUUUGGCUAACAUGACCUAACCGUAAUUGGCCUCGGCCACCCCACCUAGAAUCCAAAACUCAUGUAACUUUACAUCAUGAAGAGAAUCUCCAAACCUUGAAAAAACCAUAAGACCAUUACCACAACGAAAAAAACAUCACUAACGGUCUCCGAUUCCCACAGAAUCAUCCACUUCCAUCUAGCUACAAACACCUCACACAAAACCAGAACUACUCAAGAAGCCAUUGUUCUGACUACUUUUCCCUACUGCUCAGCCAAAAUGGAUUCCCAUAAAGAAUUAUCAAAUUAUACACUCAAUUCACACACAAAUCAAAAUCCCCAGCAAGCAUGCCACUUAUUCUCAUGCAAAACCACCUGAAGUAAUAAAAUCCCUAGUCCCAGGAGCAUUAUAGUGCCAAAGAAGAACAAUACUCAAAAGUAAAUCCACAUCCGCACGCCACAUUGCAAACGAAGAACCACCUCAACGAAUCACAUUCCAAUUGAAUCCAAACUAAAAAAAAACCCCAACUCCUUGACACCCGAAACAGGAGCCCUAGGGUUUCGCGAGGGGGCGCGGGACCACGCCCAAUCACACCGUCCUUCUCGCGCGGUGAAUCAAAUGUGCUCGUCGUCGGUGGGUUUCCGGUGUUUCAUGCAUAGAUCAUUAGAAAAUCUAAUAUUUUGAUGUCCAAUCUACUCAAUGUGAAUGCAUUAUUUUUAUUCAAUUAAACAAACACUGUCAGCUCCUCCCCGCCAUAAACAUAGCCCCAGGGCAUAAAAGAAGGAAGACCCUUCAUUCCACAGUUUCCAGAACAUUACUUAAGAAAAAACUUCUGAUUCAAGAGAUCAACUUAACCCUUGAAUAGGCUCACAAAACAAAAGAAUCUCUGCAAACCCAUCAUCCAAAAAUGCCGAAUGUCAGCAUCUAACAGGGUCAUUGCACAGAAACAAGAAUGUGAAACAUGCGCAUAAGAGGCUAUCAAUAGCAAAGCAAUCCAAAUCCAUACUCGUACCCCUCCCAUACCAACCCAUCCGAGAAAAACCAAAUCAAUUAUCGAACGAUCAUGCCAAAACAAUCAUGUCACUGAAGGAACGAACACGAAGCAAUGGUUUUCCUAAUUAAGAUUUCGAAAUCUAGAGAACAUAAAGGAAGAUGGGGACUUACUUUAAUGCAACAAAAGGAUGCUAAAACACAUACAUAAUAAUACCCAUGCAACGAUUUACAACGAACAAUAAUUUGAAAAUUCUAGAACUUUUCAUGUAUAAACCCUAGAAUUUCAAAUUUAAAAUUCUCUCUCAAUUCUCAACGAAAUUAUAUAAAUCAUAUAUGGUUGGAAAGAUCUUGACAUGUAGAACAAAAGCCCUAUGGUUUCAGGAUCAAUCAAGCAAAAAAUCCACAAGGAAGAUAAUGCCCAUAUUUGGCUCAAAGAGGAAAAUUUCGAAUUUGUCCAUAAAAAGAUAAAAUUUGGGUUCUACAAUCAUAUAUGACUAGCUCUGAUACCACAUGUAGAAAAUUAUUCACAUGAAUAAUUAAUUAAUCAAGAAGAAUCGGAUCCAUAUAUGAUUGUAAAACACCGAUCAAUAAAUACAGCGGAAUUAAAGCGUAUUUGUUUGAACCAUUGAUUUACUUGUAGAAAAGUAGAUCACUAUGAUAAUCAGGGAUCUAUCAGAAUGCCAGAUCUUCCUUUCUAUGACCUAUUUCGAUAUAGCAACUUUCAAUGUGAUUAAAGCAAACACUAAUCAACGGCGUGUCAACUGGGCCCUUCCCAUUAUGGGCUUCAGUCAAACACAAUUGCCUACACUUUGCUGCUCAACUAGGCCCGUUAAUAAUAGAUGCCAAUAUCCAAUUCAAUCAGAUCACUUUAGGGUUUAAGAAAUAUUGGAAUAUCCAUUAACCCGAUUAUUUAAAAUAGAAAAUCAAUUAAUUAAUGUAAGCCUAUAUUAUAGGAAAUUUCCAACAGCCGCAUGAUACUACAUGAGACAAAACAAAUGUUGUCGAAGAAUUUUGUCAUGAAGAACAUUUGUAAGGCAUCAUUCGUCCUUGGUAUUAAAAUUCAUAGGGAUCAUUCUCGCUGUAUGUUAUGUUUAUCUUAGAAGGCAUAUGUUGAUUGUAUUUUGGAAAAAUUCAACAUGUAGCAUUGCAAACUACGCAUUGUUCCUAUUUUUAAAAGAGACAAAUUAAGUCUCUCACAAUAUCCUCAAUCAAAUUUUGAGAAAAACCAAAUGAAGGAUAUACCAUAUUCUAGUGCACUUGGAAAUAUCAUAUAUGCUCAAGUUUGCACUAGACCGGAUAUCACCUUUAUGACAAGACUUCUAAAUAGAUAUCUGUCAAAUCCAAGAUUUUGAGAUACUUAAAAGGAACAAGAGACCAUAUGUUGAUUUACUAAUAUGUCCAUGAUUUGUGACUAGUAGCAUAUUCGGAUGUAGACUUUGCUAGUUGUUAGGAUGAUAGAAAGUCGACAAUAGGAUAUAUCUUCAUGUUAGUAGGAGGUGCAAUAUUGUGGAAAAGCAAGAAACGAAAAUCUGUAUUAUCCUCUAUUAUGCAAGCGGAGUUUAUAGCAUGCUUUUCAAUUGCUACUCAAGCUAUUUGGCUUCGAAACCUUAUUAGAGAAUUAAUCGUAUUUGAUUUUAUGGAUAGACCCAUAUAAUUAUAUGGUGAUAAUAACCGUGUAGUGUUAUUUGUCAAUGACAACAGAAAGUCUCAAGGGGUCUAAACAUAUGCAGAUCAAGUUUUUUACCAUAAAGGAAAUGAUACAGAAUUGUGACAUUACAGUAAAGCAUAUUCCCAUGGACGAUAUGUUAGCAAAUCCACUAAGGAAAGGCUUUCCCUUGUCUAUUUAAGCGACAUGUCAUGAACAUCAGCUUGAGAGAAUUAUUGGAUACUGUCAUUUAGUGGGAGCUACUUCAAAUUUGCUCUGAUAAAGUUUACAUCUAUGUUUUGUUAUAUUUGAUAAUAUUUUGAUAUAUGUCAACUCUUUUGGUAAGGAUUAUUAUUGAGUCGUAUACAUACAUCUAAUGAAAAUUUCAAACUAUUGUGUAAACCUUAAAUGAAAGCUAGAGGCAUCUAGUUGUUAGCUUUAUACAUAUGUAUAAUUACACAUAAAGAAAGGUUACCCAUAAAUAUAAAAUAUAUGUGGAUUCAUUAGAACCAUAAAGAUAUUCUCUAGUGGCACAUCCGGUUUUUUGUAAUACUUAAGGUAAGAGAAUAGUGACUGACAAAGAAGAUAACGUAUAAGAUAUUAUUCUUCAUGAGGUGUUAUUCAUUUGUUACAUAACCAUAUGAAUCCAUAUAAGUAAAGUUGAAAGCACUUGUGAUCAUGGAAGGCUCUGUGUAUAUAUAUGCAAUUACUUCCAUGAUCCAGUGUUUGAUACUUUAUAGGAUCAGAUUGAUCAUUGAGAAUUAUCUCUAAACCAACAUAAAAGUGCGCACAUACAGUGUAAUCUCAAUUAAUAUAGCAAAAGUGGGAGAAUGUAAUAAUUUUCCUAAUGUAGGCUACAUUAAUAAAGAUUGUGAUUUACCGUUUUUAUGAAGUUAGUCUAAUAAAGUAAUAUAUAAAGUUUCUUAGCAAUCGAAUAUGGGUCUGGCUUAUGUAGCUGAGUUGUGCUGGCUCAAGAUGAGAAGGCCCGGCCAAAACUCUAUAAAUAGGCUAAGGUCCCUCCUUUAACCCUCACUUUUUGCUAUUUUGAAAUGUAUGCGCCCACUACCUCACAUAAGGAACGUUUGUGAGAGGCGGUCUCAUCGAGUUAGGGUAUGGAGAGUGAUAGAGGAGAAGAUCUUUAGCAUUGAAAUAUCAUAUUGCUGUUGUUCUGCUCCUAGAAUCAUGAAUUCCAAAUCAGGUACGCAAAUCUUCAUCUUCUCCUUCAAUAUGUUUGAGUUCCUAGCUAUGUCGAUCUUGAGAAGUCAUUUCGAUGGCCAACACUUUGAUCAUGAACCAAGGUGAGACAGACUUCAAUUCUCCGGGUUUGGGUGUCAAACCUUUCACGAAGAGCUGGCCUAGAUUUCUUUAACGUGGGGAAAGGGUUGAUAACUGAAGCAUUCGAGUGGAAUGAAAGCCAUUCAAGUGGCUAUUUGAAAAUGGGGCAGAAAGGGGUCGAAUUGGAGGUUCUCGCCAACAUGCUUUGUGAGGCUAGGGAAGUUGGGCUCAAGAAGCCUCAAGCAGCUAGAUCAGGUGAUGAGCCGAUGGAUGAGGUAGCAAUGAUGGAUCGUGGCACGAUGGCAAUUGUAGGAAUUGCAUGUCUUGAUUUGAGAGAAAGGCUAGAAAUAUGGAUUGAAUUGGGACUAAAUUCUUAUAGGGAUGAGGUCUACACUGAGGAAUCUCGAGUUUUCAGUGAACCAGUUGAGGAAAACAAGUAUAAAAGCAGGGACACCGACAGCUACAAACAGUGACUCCAGUCAAUGCAUCUCAAGGGUUUGAAGGGAGUCCUUGAGAGCAUGAAAGGACAACUCAGAGAAGGUGAACAAGUAAUAAGCUUGAUAAGUUGCAUAAGAUCAGAUAUGUUAGCAGAUCCACUGAAAAAAGGCUUUCGCUCUUGUGUAUUUAAGCGACAUGUCAUGAACAUGAGCUUGGGAGAAUCAUUGGAUAGUGUCAUUUAGUGGGAGCUACUUCAAAUUCGCUCUAAUAAAGUUUACAUAUGUGUUUUGUUACAUUUGGUAACAUUUUGAUAUAUGGCAACUAUUUUGGUAUGGAUUAUUAUUAAGUUGUAUACAUAUAUCAAAUGAAAAUGUCAGAGUAUUGUGUAAACCUUGAGUGAAGGCUAAAUGCAUCCAGUUAUUAGAGUUGUACAUAUGUCUAAUUACACAUAAAGAAAUGUUAAUCAUAAAUAUAAAAUAUAUGUGGGUUCAUUAGAGCCAUGAAGAUAUUCUCUAGUGACACAUCUAGUUUUCUAUGAUAAUAAGAGAAUAACGACAGACGAAGAGGAUAACAUAUAAGAUAUUAUUUUUCAUGAGGUGUUACCUAUUUGCCACACAACCAUAUGAAUCCAUAUCAGUAAAGUUAAAAGCAUUUGUGAUCAUGGAAAGCUCUGUGUAUGUAUAUGCAUUUACCUCCAUGAUCUGAUGUUUGAUGCUUUGUGGGAUUGGAUUAAUUGUUCAGAAUUAUCUCUAGACUAACAUGAAAGUGUGCACAUACAAUGCAAUCUUAAUUAAUAUAGCCAAAGUGGGAGAAUGUAAGAAUUUUCCUAAUGUGGGUUAUAUUAAUUAAGAUUGUAAUUUACCGGUUUUACGAAAUUAGUCUAAUAAAGUAAUAUAUAAAGCUUCUUAGCGGUCGAAUAUGGGUCUAGCUUAUGUAGGCUGAGUUAGGCUAGCUUAAGAUUAGAAGGCCCGGCCACAACUGUAUAAAUAGGCUAAGAUCCCUCUUUUAACCCUCACUUUUUGCCAUUUUGAAACGUAUACACCCACUACCUCACAUAAGGAAUGUUUGUGAGAGGCACUCUCAUUGAGCUAGGGUAUGGAGGGUGAUAGAGGAGAAGAUCUUCAACAUCGAAGUAUUAGAUUUCCGUUGUUCUGCUCCUAGAAUCAUGGAUUCCAAAUCAGGUAUGCAAAUCUUGAUCUUCUCCUUUUAUAUGUUCGAGUUCCUAGUUAUGUCAAUCUUGAGCAGUCGUUUUGACGGCCAACAUUUUGAUCAUGAACCAAGGUGAGGCAAACUUCAAUUCCCCGGGUUUAAGUGUCAAACAUUUCACGAAGAGUUGGCCUGGAUUUCUUUGACGUGGGGAAAAGGCUAAUAAUUGAAGUAUCUAAGUGGAAUGAAAGCCAUUCAAGUGGCUAUUUGAGAAUGGGGCGAAAAGGGGUCGAAUUGGAGGUUCUCGCUGACAUGUUUUGCAGGGCUAGGGAAGUUGGGCUCAAGAAGCCUCAAGCAGCUAGAUCAAGUGAUGAGUUGAUGGAUGAGGCGGCAAUGAUGGAUCGUGGCAUGAUGGGAACUGCAGGAAUUGCAGGUCCUAAUUUGAGAGGAAGGCUAGAAAUAUGGAUCGAACUAGGGCUAAAUUUGUACAAAGAUGAGGUUUGCGCUGAGGAAUCCCGAUUUUUCGGUGAACUGGUUGAGCAAAACAAGUAUAAAAGCAGGGACGCCGAGAGCUACAAAUAGGAGGCUCCAAUCAAUGCUUCUCAAGGGAUUGAAGGGAGUUGUGGCUGCACCGACCUAGAGAGCAUCAAAGGACGACUCAAAGAAGGUGAACAAGCAUUAUGCUUGAUAAGUUGCAUAUGAUCAGAUAACAAAAAUGCAAUCGAUAUCAGCAUUCGACGCCGGCCAAGGAUUAUAUAUUUCUAAAGCAACCACUUUUAUCCCUCCAUGUCCAUUCUUUUGAUGGUUUUGAGUGGUCUUCUAAUCCCCAUAGUAUUUAGGAUAAUUGGUCUACAUGGAAAAGUCAACCGAUUCACUCUGGCUCUGUUUGUUUUGCGAAGAUAAAUGAUUUAAAAAAAUAUUUUCCUAAAAAUGAUAAUUUGUAUCACUUGAAGUAACCGGUCAAUUUAAAAUAUUUGCAUCAUCAACCACAAUAUAUGACUAGAUAUCUUUGUAGACGAUGAAAAUGUUUUCGUUCAUCUAUUUUUGUGUGGGUCUCCCCAUUGGGUAUAGGAUGCCUCACAGGGGCAUUGAGAUGACUGUGCAGGAUCCUCAUAGGGGUCUUGAGAUGACUGUGCAAGAUUGUCUGUGUCUACCAUUUCCUUUCCUGCUCUUGUGAUGGAGGUGUCCUUGCUUUGUCAUAUACUUGUUUGAAUUCAUCGAUUGAUUAUUUAGUUUCUAGUGCAAGGCUAUAAUGAUUCCAUGGAUCAGGUAUGAAGUCAUUCUUAAAAAAAAAAUAAAAAUCAGAUCAUUCAUUUUCCGCUGAAGAAAUGCACCCUAUUAUACACUAUAUUCAAUAAUAUCACCAUCUAUAUAUUGCUACUUUUUGGGUAUAUUUUCGUUAUGUUUUUUUUUUCAGGUCAAUAUGUUUAUGAUUGAUUAGCAACUUUGAGAAAUAGACUCUCUUGGUGUUCUAGAACAGUUAUCUUCCUCGUUUUUAUGUUUGCAUUUUAUAAGUGGUGAACUAUUGUUGGGUUGAACUCUAUUUAGGAUGAUGAAAUUGACUGAUAAUACCAAUUCAUAUGUUAAUUUGCACCUACACUUUUCAUUAAACUUGCAUAUGAACAGAAAAAUAGUAACGCAGUGCAAACAAUUCUAGAUUAUUAACAAUUCAAGCGAUUUCUCUUCUUGAUCGUCCCAUCUAAUCUUGUCAGCAGACUCGACCUUGAUUUUAGGGUUGAUUAAUUUCCCUCUUCGAGAUGACUUGUGACUCCUAUCAUAUAUUUUUUGAUUUCUUGUAACUUGUAUGGAGCUCGGACUUUAAUUUUAAUUAAUACAAUGCACUUGAGACCUUUCAAGAUAUUUUGACGUAAUUCUUUUUUAAAUCAAAAAGGGCUUUUUUACCUUUUCGAAUUGUGAAGGAAAAGUUUGAGUAGGAAUUAAAAGGAAAAUGAACAAAUUUUCCUCACAAAAGGGGUCUUAAGUUUCAAUUUCAUUGGACUUUGAAAAAAAUAUUUUAUGAAAUCACAGUUUAUAAAACAUUCAUCAUAAAACUAAAUAAUGAAGUGGAAUUUAACUUCUCACCUAGUACUCCAUCAAGGGCCUUUCUGACAAUAUUUCAAAAGUAUCAUAAGAUGAUGGGAUAAAUUUAACAAUUUACUAUGAGACAUAUACUUUUAAUAGAUUCAAAUGUUACAUAGAUCUAUGCAGAGAUUAAGUCCUUCCAUCCUCUUUUUUCGAAUUGAGUGCCACAAACUUCUUAUUGUUCCUCUAUCAUUGGUUAGGGGUGAGCAUCGGUCCAGGGUCAACCCUAGACCGACCCUGGACCGGCCCAACCAUGCCGAGCCUGGUCUAGUUCCCAAGGAGAUUAGGUCGGUCCUUAGUUAUAGAAUUCCUAGACUAGCACUAUGCGGGUUGGUCCUUGGUCCUAGAAGUUUAUGGUCGGUCCAACUCGGACCAACCUUGAUAUAUACAUAUAUUAUAAAAAAUAUUAUUUAUAAUUUUUUUAUAUAGAGAAAACCUUAAAAUAAACAGCGUCAACAACAUUAAAUGGCUUUUUAGUGAGGAAUUCAAGCAAUUUUACAUUGUUCUUUAAUAAUUUAGAUUUUUAAUGUCUUUUAUAGCAUCAAUAGUCAUAAUUUACGAAUGAGGAAAAUAUUUUUAUGAGGAGUCCUCACAGUGUCCAAAAUGGUAUAAAUAACUCUGUACGACAUCUUUCUCUAGUACUAGUUCUCUUUUAUCUUAUUUGUCCUCUUAGUCUUCAAUUUGCCAAAAUUGAAAGAAACAACUUCUCCGCUCACCACUCGACACUCACCUCACUCGCUUUGGGUCACUCGUGUUGCUCACCGCUCGAUGCUCGCUUGGUUUGUUACUCCUUGCUCAACACUCGAUGCUUACUCUGUUCAAGCUCACCUCACUCAAUCCUCACCGCUUGCCUUUCUUAGUUGACCUCGCUCGUUAUCGAACCCAUUGGGUCAGUCCAGUCAUUGGUUGUCCUUUCAAGAAGUACAAAAAAUGAAAUAAAAAAUUAUUGGUUGGUCCCGAAUUGACCUUGGAAUCGGACCGAACCCAUUAGACUAGUCCGAUCCUCAAUCGCUUUUUUUAAGAGUACAAAAAAUGAAAUAAAAAAUUAUCGGCUGGUCCCAGAUUGACCUUGGAAUUGGACCGAACCCACCGGGUCGAUCUGGUCCUCGGUCCCAAGCUCAAUAGCGUCGGUCCUCGGUCCCAAAAAUUGAGGACCAGUACUGUGCGGGUUGGUUCUAGAGUUAGGAGGUGGACCGGCCCAACCCGGAUCAUGCUCACCCUUACUAAUCAUGUGGGAUUUAUAUACAUGGCUCAUAUGUGGACUUACGUCCACGCAUCAAAUGUUCCCACCAUUACGGUGCUUUGUGCAUGCAAUGACACCUAAUUGAAAAUUAAUAUGUAAUUUUUUUGUCAAAAAUCCAUAAUCGAAUGACUAAGAUAUAGUAUACCCUAAUUUUUUUGCUUGUUGUGGUACUUGGAAAAUGAGUUGUGUAAUUUCUUUAGCCUUAUCAUUCUUAGUUGUUUUGUUUAGGGGUGAGCAUCGAUCCAAGGUCAACCCUGGACCAACCUUAAACUAGCCCAACCCUGCCGGUCCUAGUCCGGUUCCUAAGGAAACUGGGUUAGUCAUUGGUCCUAGAAUUUUUGGACAAGCACUGUGUGGUUCAGUUCCUGGUUUUGAGAAUUUUGGGUCGGUCCAACCCUGACUAUAUACACUGUGCGGGUCAGUUCUCGGUCUUGAGAAUUAUGGGUCAGUCCAACCCUAACUAUAUAUAUAUAUAUAUAUAUAUAUAUAUAUAUAUAUAUAUAUAUAUAUAUAUAUUUAUAUAUAUAUAUAUAUAUAUAUAUAUAUAUAUAUAUAUAUAUAUAUAUAUAUAUAUAUAUAUAUAUAUAUAUAUAUAUAUAUAUAUAUAUAUAUUAUUUUUAUAAUUUUUUUAUAUAGAGAAAAACUUAAAAUAAAUAGCGUCAACGGCAUUAAAUAGCUUAUAAGUGAGGAAUUCAAGUAAUUUUACAUUAUUCUUUACUAACUUAGAUUUUUAAUGUCUUUUACAGUGUCAAUAGUCAUACUUUACGAAGGAGGAAAAUGUUUUUGUGAGGAGUCCUCAUGGCAUCCAAAAAUGAAUAAACAGCUUUUUAUGGCAUCCUCCUCUAGUAUUCAUUCUCUUCUAUCUUAUUUGUCCUAUUAGUCUUCAAUUUGCCAAAAUCGAAAGAAACAACUUCUCUGCUCACUACUCAACACUCACCUCGCUUGCUUUGGGUCAUUUGUGUCGCUCGCCGCUCAAUACUCGCUUGGCUUGUUGCUCCCCGCUUGACAUUCGAUGCUCAUUCUGUUCGGUACUCACCCCACUUGACCCUCACCGCUUGCCUUUCUUAGCUGACAUUGCUCAUCAUCGAACCCUUAGGUUGGUACGGUCCUCGAUUGCCUUUUCAAGGAAUGAAAAAAAUAAAAUAAAAUAUUAUUAGCCGAUCCUGGGUUGACCUAGAAAUCGGACUGAACCCAUUGAGUCAAUCCGGUCCUCAAUCGUUUUUUUAAGGAGUAGAAAAAAUGAAAUAAAAAAUUAUCAUUUAGUCCCGAGCUGACCCUGGAACCGGACCGAACCCAUUGGGUUGAUCCCAAGCUCAAUAGAGUUAGUCAUUGGUUCCAAAAAUUGAGAACUGACACUAUGCGGAUUGCUCCUAAGGUUAGGGGGUGGACCGGUUCAACCCGAGCCAUUCUCACCCCUAGUUUUGUUCAUGUCCUCAAACUAUCAUACUUGGUAAACUUCUCCUAGAUUUGGUAUUCAAAUCCUUGAUAGGAAUGACAGAUUUAGCCGAACUCGUCCUAUUAUUACAUUGCCGCAAUACACAGCGCCUAGUAUCCACCAUUUACGACAAGGUGAUUAUGUACAUACUCAUAAUUACAACCAGUAGAUAAUGGAGUCUCCAAAUAGUAAAUUCUCCUGAUCACUUACUAUAUUCUCAAAAGGAUUUUCCUGUUAAGCACCUGAAUAAAGAAAGUUUGUUGUUAUCCAUGCACUUUCUAUCUUGAAUCAAAUGCAAUUUAUGCAUAGAAAAUGAAAAUAUUUCAUUAUUAAGUGGAGCACUCCUUAAGAAAAACUUUCUCAAAAUUCAUUUUCUCCUAUCCGAGGCAAUGUGUAUGGGCACACACUUUUUCCUAAGAGAGAGUAUUAGUGCAAUCUUUGCAGUAGGACCUUCUAGAGUGGACGAUAGGUGUGGGGUCACAUGAGGUGUCACACAGCCAAGAAGAGAUUGGAGAGAGAGAGUCACCAUUGGCGAUCGAUAAUGGCACGGAGGAAUUGCGACACCUUGGGUAUUCUCCAUGACAAAACCCCAAGAAAUGGUGGAAAUUCUUGGAGCUAAAGGAAAAUGUUAGAGCAAUUAAAUAAUAAAUCACAUUUUUGUCAAACAAUUUAAAAUUUUAGAACAGUUAAUAGUGAUCUGUUAGAGUAUGAAGGCAUGAUUUUAAUGCCCAAGAAAAUUCACGCCUUGUCUACAACAAGCAGUUUAGAUCGACCUGUUCAUUACUUAAUUUAUGGCACAAGUAGAGGAGCAUAUUCCUUGAAAUUAUCUAUAUAAACUUCUCCCAACUCCCAAAUAUAAGGGACAACAUGGGAAAAGAAAAUAAAAAAUGAGAUAAGAACAAUAGAAGUACCAAAAGCUAUGUACAUAACUCAUUUUAGUAUUAAAAAAAAUUUCAAAUAACUUAAAUACCACUUUUUUGAAAAAACGAUCAUUAAAGUGCUAACUUCAAUCUGAGUCACUAGAAAUUCGAUGUGGCCAUAUUUUAUUAAUUUCUCAGUUCUACAUUACUCACUGGCAUGCCACUUUAGUGCUAGUUUGUUUUAAAAAAUGAUCGCUGUAGUGCAAUCAUUGUUAAAAAGUAAUCACUUCAGUGUCAAAAUAAUGCCACCUCAGAUGAAAUUUUUAAUUAUAAAAUCGCAUAAUUUCUAGCAAGUUAUCGCCGGAGGCAAUUAAUUAAGUGGUCCUCCAAUUAGACACUUAAAUGAGCCGACGAAAACUUUUGACACUAAAGUGAGCAUCGUAUACAACUUUUGACACAUCUAGUAUCCAAAGAAAAAGAUAUGUUGGAUUGAGGCUAUUUCAGCUGCCAAACAUGGCAUUACUCGUUUGAGAGAGCGAGCAACAACCAAGGAAUGACAACCAACAAAUCAGUCAUCAUUUACAAAUUCACUCAUUCUCACUCGUAUUUGCACAUUUAAAAACUCAGAGAGAGAUGUUCAAAGCCCCUACUCCUUCGUGAGCUUUAUGAUUCCUCUUCUUCCUUUGUAGCCUUCUCUCUCGCGCGCGUUCGCUCGCUCUCUGGUGAGAAAGAGUCUUGACCUUUCGGAGUCUCCACAAACUGUCUGCGUUUUCUCUCUUCGAUAUCCCCCUGUUUUUUUUUUUUUUUUUCCUUUGCUGCUUUUGUGAUUUGAUUGCGACCGUUGAGAAUCUGGAGAGAGUAUAUCCGUGCAAGCUCUGCGAUAGGAUCUAUUCUAGCGGACCAAUGUUGGGAGGUCACAUGAGGUGUCACAUGGACAUGAAUCUACCGGAGAGAGAGCCGCCGUUGGUGAUCGAUAACAGCUCGGCAGAUGAGCGACGUCUUGGGUAUUAUCUCCGAGAAAACCCCAAAAAGACGUGGAAAUUCUCAAAGCUGAAGGAAAGUGCCCAGGAAAAGCCGUGCCCGGUCUGUGACGAGCGGUUCAGGUCGAUGAGGGCACUUUUUUGCCACAGGAAGAUUCACUCGGGAAAGGAUGACGAGAGCGGUGACUGGUGCAAAGGCCGCGGCAAAGGGUCCAGGUCAAUGAAAUUUUGCCAGGAUCACACAAGGCCGAUUCACGACAGGGAGAGAUUGAAUUUGAGUCUCUUGAAUGAAGAUCACUUUGUGGGUUCGAGCAAGACCAAGAGUGAUCUCCUGCUCAUCGUUUUAUCUGACGACGAGACAAUGCGCGUGACCAGGAGAAAGAGAACACCGCGAAUCGAGUAUGAUGUCGAUGAAAGAACUGAGGGAAUUAUGAAUGAUGUCGAUGAAAGAACUGAGGGAAUUAUGCUUUCUGCACCAAAUGGGUCUUCGUACAGUAGCAAGGCCGAACUUGACCCGGGAACAGUAGGAGCAAUUUCUUUGAUGAUGCUGUCCCAAGGUGAGACGGAAUUUAAUUCUCCAGGUUUGGGCGUCAAACCUUUCGGGAAGAGCUUGACCCCAGAUAUCUUUGACGUGGAGAAAGAGAAAGUGGGGGUAACUGAAACAUCCGAGUGCAAUGAAAGCCAUUCAAGUGGCUAUUUGAGAAUGGAGCAGAAAGGGGUCGAAAUGGAGGUUCCCACCGGCAUACUUUGCGGGGCUAGGAAAGUUGGGCUCAAGAAGCCUAGAAUAGCCAGGUCAGGAAAAGACACGAUGUAUGAGGCGGCGAUAAUGGAUGGUAACGUGAUGGGAGGUUCUGGGUCGAGAGAAAGGGCAGAACUAUGGAUCGAACUGGGGCUAAAUUCGUACAAGGAUAAGGUCUGCGCUGAGGAAUCCCAAGUUCUUAGUGAACCGGUUGAGAAAAACAAUGCCGAGAGCUACAAACAGGAGGCUCCAGUCGAUGCUUCUCAAGGGAUUGAAGGGAGUCGUGGCUGCACAGAACUCAAGAGCAUCAAUGACGACUCGGGGAAGCUGAACAGGCAGGUAUGCUCGACGAGUUGCGCGAGAUCGGAUAACGGAGCUGCACUCAAUAUUGGCGUUUGACGCCGGCCAAGGACCCUAUCUCUAAGGCAGCCGUUUUUAUCCCUCCUUGUUUGUUCUUUUGAUGAUUUCGAUUGUUCUCCUACUUCCCCGGAAUAGUCAGCGUAAUCGGUCCCCAUGGUGAAGUCAGCGGAUUCUCUUUCAUUCUACAUCGUAUUCAGUAGUAUUGCCCCUUUGUCUGUCGCUGUUUUCUUGGAAUAUUUUCAUUGCACUUUUUGUCGGGUCAAUAUGUUUAUGAUUGAUUAGCAACUCUAAGAAAUAGACUCUCUUGGUGUUCUACAACAAUUAACUACCUUGUUUUUCUAUAUGUAUCUACAUUUUAUAAGUGGUGAACUGUUGUUGGGUCAAACUCUAUUAAGGAUAAUGGCUAUCGUGGAAGCGGGGAAAUCGACUUCAAAUACUAAUUCGUAUGUUAAGUUGCACCGACACUUUUCAUUGAACUAGCGUAUGAACAGAGCAAAAGUAACGCAUUGCAGAUAGUUCUAGACUUAUUAACAAUGGAAGCAAGUUCUCUUCUUGAUCUUCCCAUCUAAUCUUAUCAGCACACUUGACCUUGAUUCUGGGUUGUUUAGUUUUCCUGUUUAGGGUGACUUGUGACUCCUAUCAUAUAUUAUUUGAUUUCUAAGUUUUAUGGAGCUUAGACUUUAAUUUUCAUUUAACACAAAGUACUUGAGACAUUUCAAAAGAUUUAGGCUUAUUAUGCUUUUUUUAAAAUUGAAAAUGACUUUUUUUAUCUAUUCAAAUUUUGAAGGAAAAGUCAUGAGUAGAAAUUAAAAGUAGAAAAAAAAAAUCUGUCAUGAAAAAUGGGUCUUGAGUUUCAAUUUCACCGGACUAUGAAAAAAAAUUUCACGAUGUUAUAAUUUAUAAACCAUUUAUCAUAAAAGUAAAUAAUGACGUGGAACUUAAUUUGUCACCUAGUACUCCAUCAAGGGGCCUUUCUUACAUUAUUUUGAAAGUAUUGUAACAUGCUUGAAUAAAUUGAACCAUUUAUUAUGAAGCAUACACUUCUAAUAAAUUCAAAUGUUAAAUAGAUGUAUGUGAAGAUUAAGUUCUUCCCAUAUCUUUUUUCAAUUUGAGUGCCACAAACUUCUUAUGAUUCUUGUAUCCUUGAAGAAACUCCUACUUGAACCUAGGCCGUUAAUCACGUGGCAUUCAUAUACCGGGCUCAUAUGAUUAAUAGUUAUGAUAGAUACGAUCGAUGUAGAUUUACAUCCAUGCAUCAAAUGGUCAUGCCAUUAUGAUGCUUUGUGCAUGCUCGAACACCUAAUUGAAAAUUAAUCUAUAAUUUUUCUCAAAAUCCGUAAUCGAAUGAGUGACAUAUAGAACAUCCUAAUUUUGUUUUUUUAUUUUUAUUUUUUGGUACUUGGAAAAUGAGUUGUCUAAUUUGUUUAGCCUUAUCCCUCUUAGUUGCUUUGUUCACGUUCUCAAACUAUCAUUCUUGGUAAACUUUUGUUAGAUUUGGUGCUCAAACGCCUAAUAAGAAUGAAAAAUUUGGCUAGACUCGUCCUAUUAUUACAUUGCCGCAACACGCGGUGCCUAGUAUCCACCAUUUACGGCUAGGUGAUUAUAUACAUACUCAUACUUAUUACCCAAUAGAGAAAGGUGUCUCGAAAUGGCAAAUUCUCCUGAUCACUUACUAUAUUCUCAAAAGGAUUUUCCUGUUAAGCACCUGAAUAAAGAAUAUUUUUUGUUUUCCAUGCACCUUCUAUCUUGGAUAAGAUGCAAACAAUGCAUAGAAAAUGAAAAUAUUUCCUUAUUAAGUAGGCUACCAAAACCUUCUCAAAAUUCGUUUUCUCCUAUCCGAGCCAAUGUGUUUGGACACGCACUUUUUCUAAAUCGCAUGAAGUUCAUCAUUGAUCAAUUGAUGUUGCUAAGAGAAGCAUACUUGUUUUUUGAAGGAUAAAUCCUGAUAAAAUUUCGGGAUCCUCAAAAUUAUUUGUAUAAUUUUUUUCUCAUAGAAUCCCAAAUAUUAAGGUGAACAAAGGAUUAAAAAAAAAGAAGAGGAAAAUGAUUAUGCUGGAAUAUGAAGAGCUUUUUUUUUUCUUCCAAGUUCCAGGCGUAGGACUAUUCCAGCUGCCAAACAUGGCAAUACCGGUUUGAGAGAGCGCGCAACGAACAACUAAUCCAUCGUCAUAUAGAAGCCCACUCACUCUCAUAUUUGCACAUUCAAAAACCCCUGCUUCUUCGUCGUCUGCUUUCUGAUUCCUCUGCUUCCUCUCUGCCCUUCUCUCUCUCUCUCUCUCUCUCUCUCUCUCUCUCGGUGAGGGAGAAAUUCUCGACCUUUCUGAGUUUCGAAUUCUUAUUGAUCCUUCCAUUUAAUCUCGCUAGCACCCACGACCUCGUUACUAGGGUUGGUUAAUUUUCCGAUUUGGGACGACUUGUGACUCCUAGAUUUGAUUUGAUUUAUCCUACAUUUUGCGGAUUCAAUUUUUAUUUAACACAAAGCGCUUGGGACUUUUUACUAUAUUUGCAAGUUGACAUAUAAAAUGUCCAAAUUUUUACAAUCUUUUGUAAUUGAAAAUAAUUCUUUUACAUUUUCGAAUUUUGAAGGAAAAGUCAUGAGUAGAAAUUAGAGAGAAAAAAAAAAUUGCCCCAAAAAAGAAGGAGGGGUCGUAAGUUUCAAUUUCACUAAACUCUGAAAAAAUAAUUCAUGAGGUUGUAUUUUAUGCACCAUUCAUUAAAUGAGUAAAUAAUGAUGUGAAAUUUGACUUGUCACCUAAAACUCUAUCAAGCGAUAUUUCUGAAAUGACUUCAAAAGUAUCGUAACGUGAUUGAAAAAAUUACAAUUUAAUAAGAACCAUACUUGCGUAAUUGUUACGAUCAAUUUUUAAUACAUUCAUAUGUUAAAUAGAUCUAUGUGAAGAUUGAGUUUUUUCUUCCUCCUCUUUCAGGUGAGUGACGUGAACAAAUUUCUCAGUAUUUGGAGAAACUCUUGUUCGAACCUUAUCGAUGGUUUAAAGACAAUCAAAGCCAUCGAUUACGUGAAUUUGUAUGUGAUGCCAUACAAUUAACGGUUAAGAUAGACACAAUCCAUGUAGACUCAACCCAUGCAACAAUUUAUCUAGUCCUUAGGGUGCUUUGCGAUUGCCAUGACCUAACUGAAAGUUAAUCAUAAUUGAAUGGCACAACUGCUAUAUUAUAUAUCCUAAUUUUGUUAUUUAUUGAUUUUUUUUCCUACUUGGAAAAGAAGUUGUAUAAUUUGUCUAUCCUUAUUUAUCUUAGUUGCAUCUCUAAUAUUUCACACUAUUGUACUUGGUAUCUUACUUGGUAAAUUGCUUGAUUUAGUGCUUAAUGGCUUAAUAUUGACUGGACUCAUCGCAUUAUUACAUUGCCGUCUUGGAUUGUAUGCGUACUCAUUCUGAUUACCUAAAAGAGAAUAGAGUCUCAAAAUAGCAAAUCCUCUAGAUAAUUUACCAUUUUCUCAAAAGAACUUUCCGUUUCAACACACCGAUAGAUUUUUGUCAUUUUUAAAGCAUCAGUUCUCUCGUAUUAUGUAUAAUUUGGGUAUUGUAAAUGAAACCAGUUUACCAUUAAGCAAGGAUAACCAGUGCUCCAGAGAUACUUCUUUCUAAAACUUAGUUUUCUCCCUAGCCUAACCAUUGUGUUUGCACAGGUGCCUUUUCCAGAUCCCAUAGAGAAGUUGCUCUUUACUUAAUUUAUGGCACUAGAGGAGCAUAUUUGUUGGUACUUUGCUUUUUUAAAAGGCUAAAUUCUGAUAAAAUUUUGUGAUCCUUGAAAUUAUUUAGGUGAUCUUCUCUCACUAAAUCCCAAAUAUUAGGGAGAACCCGGAAAAACAAAAGAAAAUGAUAUUUAAUUUUGUUGGGUUCUAUGCAUUGACUAUUCCACCUGCCAAACGUGGCAUUACCUGUUUGAGAGAGCGAGCAACAACAGAGGAAUGACAGCCAACACAUCAAUCAUCAUAUACAAACCCAAUCACUAUCACUCGUAUUUGCACAUUUCAGAACCCCAGAGAGAGAAGUCCAAAACCCCCGCUCCUUCUUCGGAGGCCUUUAUGAUUCCUCUGCUUCCUCCGUAGCCUUCUCUCUCCUGCGCGCUCGCCCGCUUUCUGGUGAGAAAGAGUCUCGACCUUUCAAAGUCUCGACAAGCUGUUUGCAUUUUCUCUCUUCGAUUUCCCUCUGUUUCUUUUGCUGCUUUCGUGAUUAGAUGGUGACCGGAGAGAAUUUGGAGAGUAUAUCCAUGCAGGCUCCGCAACAGGAUCUUCUCUAGUGGACCAAUGUUGGGAGGUCAUAUGAGGUGCCGCAUGAUACUGCAUGAGACAAAACAGAUGUUGUCGAAGAAUUUUGACAUGAAGAACAUUGGUGAGGCAUCAUUCGUCCUUGGCAUUAAAAUUCAUAGACAUCGUUCCCGCUGUAUGUUAUGUUUAUCUUAGAAGGCAUAUGUUGAUUGUAUUUUGGAAAAAUUCAACAUGCAGCAUUGCAAACUAGGCAUUGUUCCUAUUUUUAAGGGUGACAAAUUAAGUCUCUCACAAUAUCCUCAAUCAAAUUUUGAGAAAAACCAAAUGAAGGAUAUACCUUAUGCUAGUGCACUUGGAAGUAUCAUGUAUGCUCAAGUUUGCACUAGACCAGAUAUUGCCUUUAUGACCGGACUUCUAGGUAAAUAUCAGUCAAAUCCAGGACACAAUCACUAGGUUAUUACCAAAAAGAUUUUGAGAUACUUAAAAGGAACAAGAGACCGUAUGUUGAUUUACUAAUACCAUGAUUUGUGACUAGUAGCAUAUUCGGAUGCCGACUUUGCUAGUUGUUAGGAUGAUAGAAAGUCGACAAUAGGAUAUAUCUUCAUGUUAGUAGGAGGUGCAAUAUUGUGGAAAAGCGAGAAACAGAAAUCUAUAUUAUCCUCUACCAUGCAAGCGAAGUUUAUAACAUGCUUUUCAAUUACUACUCAAGCUAUUUGGCUCCGAAACCUUAUUAGAGAAGUAAUGGUAUUUGAUUUUAUGGAUAGACCCAUACAAUCAUAUUGUGAUAAUAACCAUGUAGUGUUAUUUGUCAAUGACAACAGAAGUCUCAAGGGUCUAAACAUAUGCAGAUCAAGUUUUUUACCAUAAAGGAAAUGAUACAGAAUUGUGACAUUACGGUAAGCAUAUUCCCACGGACAAUAUGUUAGCAGAUCCACUAAGGAAAGGCUUUCCCUUGUGUAUUGAAGCGACAUGUCAUGAACAUGGGCUUAGGAGAAUCAUUGGAUACUGUCAUUUAGUGGGAGCUACUUCAGAUUUGCUCUAAUAAAGUUUACAUCUAUGUUUUGUUAUAUUUGGUAAUAUUUUGAUAUAUGUCAACUCUUUCGGUUAGGAUUAUUAUUGAGUCAUAUACAUAUAUCUAAUGAAAAUUUCAAACUAACCUUAAAUGAAAGCUAGAGACAUCUAGUUAUUAGCCUUAUACAUAUGUAUAAUUACACAUAAAGAAAGGUUAACCAUAAAUAUAAAAUAUAUGUGGGUUCAUUAGAACCGUAAAGAUAUUCUCUAGUGGCACAUCCGGUUUUUUGUAAUACCUAAGGUAAGAGAAUAGUGACCGACAAAGAUGAUAACAUAUAAGAUAUUAUUCUUCAUGAGGUGUUAUUUAUUUGUUACAUAACCAUAUGAAUCCAUAUCAGUAAAAUUGAAAGCAUUUGUGAUCAUGGAAGGCUCUGUGUAUAUAUAAGCAAUUACCUCCAUGAUCCAGUGUUUGAUACUUUAUGGGAUCAGAUUGAUUAUUGAGAAUUAUCUUUAAACCAACAUAAAAGUGCGCACAUACAGUGUAAUCUCAAUUAAUAUAGCAAAAGUGGGAGAAUGUAAUAAUUUUCCUAAUGUAGGCUACAUUGAUUAAGAUUGUGAUUUACCAUUUUUACGAAGUUAGUCUAGUAAAGUAAUAUAUAAAGUUUCUUAGUAGUCGAAUAUGGGUCUGGCUUAUGUAGGAUGAGUUGGGCUCGCUCAAGAUGAGAAGGCCUAGCCAAAACUCUAUAAAUAGGCUAAGGUCCCUCCUUUAACGCUCACUUUUUGCUAUUUUGAAAUGUAUGCGCCCACUACCUCACAUAAGGAACGUUUGUGAGAGGCGGUCUCAUCGAGUUAGGGUAUGGAGAGUGAUAGAGGAGAAGAUCUUUAGCAUUGAAAUAUCAUAUUGCUGUUGUUCUGCUCCUAGAAUCAUGAAUUCCAAAUCAGGUACGCAAAUCUUCAUCUUCUCCUUCAAUAUGUUUGAGUUCCUAGCUAUGUCGAUCUUGAGAAGUCGUUUCGAUGGCCAACACUUUGAUCAUGAACCAAGGUGAGGCAGACUUCAAUUCUCUGGGUUUGGGUGUCAAACCUUUCACGAAGAGCUGGCCUAGAUUUCUUUAACGUGGGGAAAGGGUUGAUUACUGAAGCAUUUGAGUGGAAUGAAAGCCUUUCAAGUGGCUAUUUGAAAAUGGGGCAGCAAGGGGUCGAAUUGGAGGUUCCCACUGACAUGCUUUAUGGGGCUAGGGAAGUCGAGCUCAAGAAGCCUCAGGUAGCUAGAUCAGGUGAUGAGCUGAUGGAUGAGGUAGCAAUGAUGGAUCGUGGCACGAUGGCAACUGCAGGAAUUGCAUGUCUUGAUUUGAGAGAAAGGCUAGAAAUAUGGAUUGAAUUUGGGGCUAAAUUCUUAUAAGGAUGAGGUCUACGCUGAGGAAUCCCGAGUUUUCGGUGAACUGGUUGAGGAAAACAAGUAUAAAAGCAGGGACAUCGACAGCUACAAACGGGAGGCUCCAGUCAAUGCAUCUCAAGGAAUUGAAGGGAGUCCUCGAGAGCAUGAAAGGACAACUCAUAGAAGGUGAACAAGCAGUAUGCUUGAUAAGCUGCUUAAGAUCAGAUAUGUUAGCAAAUCCACUGAGAAAAGGCUUUCACCCUUGUGUAUUGAAGCGACAAGUCAUGAACAUGGGCUUGGGAGAAUCAUUGGAUAGUGUCAUUUAGUGGGAGCUACUUCAAAUUCACUCUAAUAAAGUUUACAUCUGUGUUUUGUUACAUUUGGUACCAUUUUGAUAUAUGGCAACUAUUUUGGUAUGGAUUAUUAUUAAGUUGUAUACAUAUAUCAAAUGAAAAUGUCAGAGUAUUGUGUAAACCUUGAGUGAAGGCUAGAGGCAUCUAGUUAUUAGUAUUGUACAUAUGUCUAAUUACACAUAAAGAAAUGUUAAUCAUAAAUAUAAAAUAUGUGGGUUCAUUAGAACUAUGAAGAUAUUCUCUAGUGACACGUCUAGUUUUCUAUGAUAAUAAGAGAAUAAUGACAGACAAAGAGGAUAACAUAUAAUAUAUUAUUUUUCAUGAGGUGUUAUCUAUUUGCCAGACAACCAUAUGAAUCCAUAUCAGUAAAGUUGAAUGCACUUGUGAUCAUGGAAAGUUCUGUGUAUGUAUAUGCAUUUACCUCCAUGAUCUGAUGUUUGAUGCUUUAUGGGAUUGGAUUAAUUGUUGAGAAUUAUCUCUAGACUAACAUAAACGUGUGCACAUACAAUGCAAUCUCAAUUAAUAUAGCCAAAGUGAGAAUGUAAGAGUUUUCCUAAUGUGGAUUAUAUUAAUUAAGAUUGUAAUUUACCGUUUUUAUGAAAUUAGUCUAAUAAAUUAUUAUAUAAAGCUUCUUAGCGGUCAAAUAUGGGUCUAGCUUAUAUAGGCUGAGUUAGGCUAACUUAAGAUGAGAAGGCCCGGCCACAACUCUAUAAAUAGGCUAAUAUCUCUCUUUUAACCCUCACUUUUUGUCAUUUUGAAACAUAUGCACCGACUACCUCACAUAAGGAAUGUUUGUGAGAGGCACUCUCAUUGAGCUAGAUCAAGUGAUGAGCUGAUGGAUGAGGCGGCAAUGAUGGAUCGUGGCACGAUGGGAACUGUAGGAACUGCAAGUCCUAAUUUAAGAGGAAGGCCAGAAAUAUGGAUCGAACUGGGGUUAAAUUUGUACAGAGAUGAGGUCUGCGUUUAGGAAUCCUGAGUUUUUGGUGAACCAGUUGAGGAAAACAAGUAUAAAAGCAGGGAUGCCAAGAGCUACAAACAAGAGGCUCCAAUCAAUGCUUCUCAAGGAAUUGAAGGGAGUUGUGGCUGCACCGACCUCGAGAGCAUCAAAGGAUGACUCAGAGAAGGUGAACAAGUAGUAUGCUCGAUAAGUUGCAUAAGAUCAAAUAACGAAAAUGCAGCCAAUUACAGCAUUCAACGCCGGCCAAGGAUUAUAUAUUUCUAAAGCAACCGCUUUUAUCCCUCCGUGUUCGCUCUUUUGAUGGUUCCGAGUGGUCUCCUAAUCCCCAUAGUAGUUAGGAGAAUUUGUCUACAUGGUAAAGUCAACUUAUUCAUUAUGGCUCUGUUUGUUUUGUGAAGAAUAAAUGAUUUAAAAAAUAUUAUCCUAAAAAUGAUAGUUUGUAUCACUUGAAGUAACCGAUCAAUUUAAAAUAUUUUCAUCAUCAACCACAAUAUAUGACUAAAUAUCUUCGUAGACAAUGAAAAUGUUUUUCGUUCAUCUAUUUUUGUGAGGAUCUCCCCAUUGGGUAUAGGAUGCCUCACAGGGGCAUUGAGAUGACUAUGCAAGAUCCUCAUAGGAGUCUUGAGAUGAUUGUGCAAGAUUGUGUCUGUGUCUGCCAUUUCCUGCUCUUAUGAAGGAGGUAUCCUUACUUUGUCAUAUACUUGUUUGAAUUCAUCGAUUGCUUAUUUAGUUUUUGGUGCAAGGCUAUAAUGAUUCCAUGGAACAGGUAUGAAGUCAUUCUUAAAAAAACAUUUUUUAGAUCAUUCAUUUUCCACUGAAGAAAUGCACCCUAUUUAUACACUAUAUUCAAUAAUAUCACCAUCUAUCUAUUGCUACUUUUGGGUAUAUUUUCAUUAUGUUUUUUGUUAGGUCAAUAUGUUUAUGAUUGAUUACAACUCUGAGAAAUAGACUCUGUUGGUGUUCUAGAAUAGUUAUCUUCCUCGUUUUUAUGUUUGCAUUUUAUAAGUGGCGAACUAUUGUUGGGUUGAGUCAAAAGGUCGAAUUGGUUUUCUCGCGGUACUGUUCACCGUCUCUCCUAAGAGGAGCGAUUUUGCUACUGUUCAUCAUCUCUGGUUCUCGCUUGGCCUGGGCGUUCCAGCCUUCGUUUUGCUCCGAUUUUAGAGGGUUUUCUUCCUCUUGAGACACCCCUUCUUCCCACCGAACGAAUUGGCAAGUUUCUCGCCCUAAGUGGACACCUCAUCUGCCUUCUUGCACUGUUCCGCCCAUCACGACACUGUAGUUGCGAGUCUGCUUGAGCUGCUGCGGGAGCUGUUCCUGGGCUUCGAGGUGGGUGCAAAGGGCCGAUCAGCUUCCUUCCUCUUCACUUCUCAGCCUUAGUAUGGAGUUCCUCCCCUUGGUUGCAGUAUAAAGGGCUUCGCUGAUUGGGGGCCGUUGGUCUUGAUGGUGUAUGUCCCCACUGAGACCCAUCAAGGCUCUAGCAAGGGGAAGGGUCCGAACUCCCCUCGGCAAGCUGGAAGCUUGGCCUAGAAUCCCCGACCCGUAGGGGGAAGCUCAACGAUGGGCAGUAAUGCCGAACAUGGGCCAUCCUUUAGGCCUCCUCGGAAUGACAGGUCUAGGGGUUGAAGUCGUUCGCGGGCUCCGAACAAGAGGGUCCCUAGUAAGCCACCCAACUCAGCCAAGCCUCCCUUAGCCUAGUCGUGGGCUAAUGUGGCGCAGUUGGCUGCGAAAAGCUAUGAGCUCCCCUAUGUGCCACCUGACUUUGUAGGGGGGGGAACCGAUUAUCAAUCUCACUAGGGAGGUGCUGCAAGUAGCAGAUCCCAAAUGGAAUGAGUUCCUAAUUGGGUAUCUUGUGGGGAAAAAACUCCAAUUUCAACUUGUUGAACAAGCAUUGAAGAAUAACUGGGGAUCUAAGCUAGUGGAUGUACUAGCCGAAGAUCAAGGUUUCUUUUACUUCCAUGUCUUGGAUUUGGUGUUCCGAAGGAAGAUCUUGGAGGAGGGACCCCUCACUGUUGCUCAGGUUCCUCUCAUUUUUCAGCAGUGGAAGCCUCUCAUGGAAUUGAAGAAAGAAAAGCAAUCUUCCAUUCCGGUAUGGAUUGGAAUCAAGAACCUUCCACUUGAUCUUUGGUCUGUACCGGUGAUUGGAGCCAUUGCUAGCUCCAUGGGUAAGCCCCUCUUUGUGGACCAGGGUACCAUGGGCGAGAGGAUGAUCUCGUUUGCUCGAGUUUGUGUUGAGAUCCAAGCUAACCAACCUAGGGUCUCCUCGGUUGAUGUCAAUGUGGAUGGAGUGUCGAGGUCCAUUGCAAUUGAAUUUGAAUGGUGGUCCGUUGGUCACAAUUGUCACACUGCCCAGAACCCUUCUCGGCCUCCUUUGGCACCGGUGAAGCACCGGUGAAGUCCCGUGCAGCCCUUGCUAUUUUGAACCCUUCUUUGCCUCUCGUCCCUGAUCCAGCAGCACCUAAUGAGGUGGAACAAGGAUGGAAGAAAGUGGAAGGUAAGAAGAAGAAGCCCACCCCUCAGGCGGAUGAUAUUGCAACCAGCCAUGCUAAUUCAAGUGAUGUAAGGAGGCUAUCCAAGCUCAAUACCGUGGCAAUGGAGAAGAGACUCCCUGGCGUCUACUCUCGCAAAGGCCCUAGCGAUUCUCUGACCAUUUUAGAAUCAGCUGAGAAAGCCCCUUCUCUCAUGGUUGGGACUGCCACCCCUUCGGAGCCAUCCAAACCCAAGCUGCCCAUUUCGAGCGAGGUGGCUAGGGUCUCGAACAACCUAUUUUCCCCUUUCAUAUGACGAUCUUCUCUCCCCUAGCUCUUCACCGAAGGCGUCUACUGGGAUCAGGAGGCCCACUCAAGACCCGGAUCCUUCCCCUUCUACUUUGCAGGAUGGAGUGCUCGCCCUAGCGCCAGGCCCUCCACCUUUGACGGCCUAGCCUGCUCAGCCUUCCACUAGGCGUAGCUCCUCCAAAAUGAGGUAACUUAUCUCCUAUUCUCUUGUAAAUAUAUAUAUAUAUAUAUAUAUAUAUAUAUAGGUUAUUGGAAUAUUAGGGGGCUUGGUGCCCCUCUUAAGCAAGCAGAGGUUAGGAAUUUUGUCUUGGCUAACCAGUUGUAUUUGGUCAGGAUAGUUGAGACAAAAGUUCCCCUCAAUCUCUUUAAUGCCAUUUCUCGGAGUUUGUUGCCAAACUGGUGUUGGCAGGCCAAUUCUCUGAUCGAGGUAUGAUCUGAGUUGGUUGGGAUCUUGCUGCGGUUUCCUUUGAGAUUAUGUCUUUGUUGGAUCAUGCGAUUCAUGGGAAUAUAAGAAGGUUAGAUAUUGGAGUGGCUUGUUAUGUCUCUAUUAUUUAUGCUGAGCAUUCCUUUACUACAUUGCAUCCUCUUUGGGAGAAUUUGGUGGCUAGAAGUUCUUCUCUUCAGGACUUGUCUUGGCUAGUCAUGAGAGAUUUCAAUGCUAUUAAAGACCCCUCUGACAGGCUGGGUGGUUCGGAUCUCUGGUUGUCAUGCUUUGAUGACUUCGGACAUUGUAUUGAUAAAGCAGAGUUGAAAGACCUCAGAUAUGUGGGAUUUUGGUACACUUGGUCAACUUCUUCAAACCCCUCGCGCAAGGCAAGGAAGAUUGACAGAGUCCUGGUUAACACUGGCUGGAGCCGGGUUUUUUCCUACUCGGAGGCUACCUUCCUUGUGCCUGGGAUUUCUGACCACUCACCUGUGGUGGUUAAGGUUAAAGACUCGAUCUCUCGGAGGAAACCGUUCAAAUUCUUUGAUUUUUGGAUGCAGCACCCAGACUUUGAAUUAAUUGUGAAGCAAGUUUGGGAGGCUCCAUCUCCAGGUGUGCCUAUGUUUAGGCUUGUUUCUAAGUUAAAGGCCUUGAAAGGACGGCUCAAGCAGCUGAAUAGAGACUCAUUUGCCAAUAUCUCCGUAAGGACUUCUGAAACGAGGGAAGCCUUAAAGCUGACUCAAGUGGAUCUCCUUUAAGAUCCUACUAGUGAGAUGCUCGCAGAACAGGAGAAGGUUCAACGCUAAUCCUUCGUAGAGCUUUGAUCCCAGGAGGAAUCAUUUUUUAGACAGAAAUCUAGGAUCAAAUGGAUCGAGGAGGGUGAUCGCAAUACGAAAUUCUUUCACCAAUGCGUCAAUAAAAGACAGUUGAGAAAUAGAAUUCUCUCUGUGGCGGAUUCCUUAGGUAGCCAAAUCACUGAGCUUCAGCUGGUUUAGCAGCAUUUUGUGGAUUAUUUUCAUGAUCUCCUUUUGCUGAGGCUAGAGCAAGAUACUCCAUCGGUUUCAGAGAUUAGGGGGGUUAUUCACACCCACUUAAAUGUUGACCAUAUUGCCUUUCUUGAGCAACUCAUUUUGGAUCUUGAGAUUUGGGAUACUCUAUUCUCCCUUCCUCGGGGGAAGGUGCCUAGGCCGAAUGGAUUCAUGGUUGAGUUCUUCAAGGAGAAUUGGGAUACGAUGGGUCCUCUGGUCACCGAAGCCGUCAGGGACUUCUUCAUCUUGAGGAGGAUCCUUAAGGAAAUCAAUAACACCACCUUGGUUUUGGUUCCUAAGGUCCCCAAUGCAACUACUGUCGAUGACUUUAGGCCCAUUACUUGUUGUAACACGGUAUACAAGAUUAUUACCAAAGUGUUGGCGAAUAGGGUCGCCGCCGUGCUUAAGGACCCUGUUAGCCCUACUCAAAGUGCCUUCGUCAAAGGACGAAGAAUCAUGGACAAUAUCCUCUUGGCGCAGGAGCUUUUCUCUGGGUUUCACCUUGAACCCUAUACUCCAAAGUGCACUAUUAAAGUUGACUAUAGGAAGGCAUAUGACACCGUUGACUGGCGGUUCCGUGAGAGUGUUCUGCUUGCCUUUCGAUUCCCUGACCGGCUCAUUCACUUCAUCAUAACCUGUGUGAGGACGUCUCGAUUCUCCAUUGCAUUGAAUAGGGAGCUGCAUGGCUUCUUUCCUAGUGGGCAUGGUUUGCGGUAGGGAGACCCCAUCUCUUCCUACUUAUUCACGCUAGUUGUGGAGGUGCUCUUUAAGAUUCUUGGGAGGUGCUCAACGCAACCGAAUUUUAGAUUCUUCUAGAGGUAUAAGCCCACUAGCCUCUCGCACCUGUUCUUCGCAGAUGACGUCUUCCUACUUUGUGAGGGUCACUUGCCUUCUAUGAAGCUUCUUAGGGAGGGUCUCCAACUGUUUUCUUCCUGGAGUGGCCUUCUUCCUAACUCAAGGAAAAGCAAGGUGUUCCUCUCAGGGGGCUCGACGGCCUUGAGGAAUCAAAUUCUUCUGGACCUCGGCUUCGUUGAGGGCAACCUCCCACUCCGUGAUGUGGGUGUUCCUAUCAUCUUGUCGAGGCUUGGGAAAGCGGAUUGUGCGGAUCUUGUGAGGCGCAUCACCUCUAGGGUCCAGUCUUGGACUCAUCGAUUCCUUUCCUUUGCUCGACUACUUCAGUUGAUCAGGUCAAUCCUCUAUGCCAUUCAGGCCUAUUGGGCAAGUGUCUUCAUUAUUCCUACAGCAGUGCUGGAUCAGAUUGAGCGUAUUAUCAGAUAAUUUUUGUGGAAAUGACCUGAGUUAGGCAGUGGGGGUGCUAAGGUCUCGUGGGAGGACGUCUGCCUUCCUAAAUUAGAGGGAGGUCUUGAUAUCCGGAGAUUGCGUGAGUACAAUAAGGCAGCUAUGCUCAAGUACAUCUGGAAUCUUUUUUCAGAUAAGGAGUCGUUAUGGUGUAAGUGGGUCCAUUCAACCUUCUUAAAAAAUAGGAACUUCUGGGUUGUGAAGAAGCCAUCCUAUUGCUCUUGGGCCUGGAAAAAAAUACUACAACUCAGAUCGAAUUUCCGACUUCGCUUCUACUGGAGGAUAGACAAUGGUUUAUCGGCGUCGCUCUGGUUCGAUAAUUGGCACCCUCGGGGCCCUCUGAAUCUAUUUUUCACAGAUUCGUUCAUCUACAGCUCAGGUCUCUCUAGAUAGGUAUCAGUGGCUGAUCUUUUCUCUGAGGAUGGUUGGGCUAUUAGAUCAGAGAUUGAGUCUUGGGGAUCGCUGCUUCCUUCCUUAUCUGGAGUCUAGGAUUGUUUUGGUUGGAGGGAGAACUCCACAGGUGUGUUCUCGGUUGCCUCGGCUUGGGAGACCAUAAGGUGGAAGAAGGAGAGAGUUAGAUGGCAUCGGUUCAUCUGAAGCAAUGCUAUCCUGCCUUGACACCAACUCAACCUUUGGCUCAUCACCAAGCGAAGGUUGCCUACACAGUCUCUUCUCAUGUCUCAUGGUAGGAUUGACGCUGCUUCCUACCCUUUUUGUAACAAGGUACCUGAUUCUAUCAAUCACCUCUUUUUUGGGUGUCGCAUUACUUCGAGUAUUGCUUUCUUUUGGGCUGCCAGGUGCAAUCUUCCCUAGACCAAUAGGACUUUGGAGGAGACUCUUAGUUGGGCUAUCUCUCUACCCUUGGGGAAGGAGUUCUACAAAAGUAUUGUCCGUUUUUCCUUUGGUGCACUCUGUCACAUCAUUUGGAAGAACAUGAACAAUAUUAUCUUUAGGGGGGAGCCGCUUUCUCUUUCGGCCAUGAAGAGGCAUCUCCUCAAGGUCAUUAAAGAUAAGGCUGCUACCUUCAAAGAUGUAGAUAACUCCUACAAAUCAUGAGGAUUCAGCGCUCGUGGGAGUUGGACCCUUGUAUCUUCUCUUCCGCUAAUUGUGGACCGAUGGGCUAGGCGUCUUAUUCUAGGUCGUCCUGGGUGUCGGUCUGCUUUUUGCUUUUUGGCCGUUCUCGGUUGCCUCUUGGUUGUUUUUCCUCAGCUUCCGUCCACUCAUAAUGAGCAUGUCCAUGUUGAGUGUAAGUUUUUGAAGCCGUUUGAUUGUACAGUUUGACAUUUUCCUAAUAUAUCACUUACUUUCACCCAAAAAAAAAAAAAACUAUUGUUGGGUCGAACUCUAUUUAGGAUGAUGAAAUUGACUUAUAAUACCAAUUCAGAUGUUAAUUUGCACCUACACUUUUCAUUAAACUUGCAUAUGAACAGAACAGUAGUAACGUAGUGCAAACAAUUAUGGACUUAUUAACAAUUGAAGCGAUUUCUCUUCUUGAUCUUCCCAUCUAAUCUUGUCAGCAGACUCAACCUUGAUUUUAGGGUUGAUUAAUUUCCCUCUUUGAGGUGACUUGUGACUCCUAUCUAAUAUUUUCUGAUUUAUUGUAACUUGUAUGGAGCUCGAACUUUAAUUUUAAUUAAUACAAUGCACUUGAGACUUUUCAAGAUAUUUUGACGUAAUUCUUUUUUAAAUCAAAAAGGGCUUUUUUACCUUUUCGAAUUGUGAAGGAAAAGUUUGAGUAGGAAUUAAAAGGGAAACGAACGAAUUUGCCUCAUAAAAGGGGUCUUAAGUUUCAAUUUCACUGGACUCUGAAAGAAAUAUUUUAUAAAAUCACAAUUUAUAAAACAUUCAUCAUAAAACUAAAUAAUGAUGUGGAAUUUAACUUCUCACCUAGUACUCCAUCAAGGGCCUUUUUGACAAUAUUUCAAAAGUAUCAUAACAUGAUGGUAUAAAUUUAACAAUUUACUAUGAGACAUAUACUUUUAAUAGAUUCAAAUGUUACAUAGAUCUAUGCAGAGAUUAAGUCCUUCCCUCCUCUUUUUUCGAAUUGAGUGCCACAAACUUCUUAUUGUUCCUCUAUCCUUGGUUAGGGGUGAGCAUUGGUCCAGGGUUAACCCUAGACCAACCCUAGACCGUUCCAACCAUGCUAAGCCUGGUCUGGUUCCUAAGGAGGCUAGGUCGGUUCUUAGUUAUAGAAUUCCUAGACUAGCACUAUGCGGGUUAGUCCUCGAUCUUAGAAGUUUAAGGUCGGUCCAAUCCGUACCAACCUUGACUAUAUAUACAUAUAUAUAUAUACAAUACACACACACACACACACACACACACACACACACACACACAUACAUAUAUUAUAUUAUUUAUAAUUUUUUAUAUAGAGAAAACCUUAAAAUAAAUGACGUCUACAACAUUAAAUGGCUCUUUAGUGAGGAAUUCAAGCAAUUUUACAUUGUUUUUUAAUAACUUAGAUUUUUAAUGUCUUUUACGGCGUCAAUAGUCAUAAUUUACGAAUGAGGAAAAUAUCUUUCUCUAGUACUCGUUCUCUUCUAUCUUAUUUGUCCUCUUAGUCUUCAAUUUGCCAAAAUUGAAAGAAACAACUUCUCCGCUCACCAUUCGACACGCACCUCACUCGCUUUGGGUCACUCGUGUCACUCACUGCUCAAUGCUCGCUUGGCUUGUUACUCCCUGCUCGACACUCGAUGCUUACUUUGCUCGAUGCUCACCCCACUCAACCCUCACCGCUUGCCUUUCUUAGUUGACCUCGCUUGUUAUCGAAUCCAUUGGAUCGGUCCAGUCAUCGGUUGUCCUUUCAAGAAGUACAAAAAAUGAAAUAAAAAAUUAUUGGUUGGUCUCGAGUUGACCUUGGAACCGGACCGAACCCAUUGGAUUAGUCUGGUCCUCAAUUGCUUUUUUAAAGAGUACAAAAAAUGAAAUAAAAAAUUAUCAGUUGGUCUCGGAUUGACCUUGGAAUCGGACAAAACCCAUCGGGUCGGUCCGAUCCUCAGUCCCAAGCUCAAUAAGGUCGGUCCUAGGUCCCAAAAAUUGAUGACCAAUACUGUGCGGAUUGGUUCUAAGGUUAGGGGGUGGACCGGCCCAACCCGAAUCGUGCUCACCCCUACUAAUCAUGUGGGAUUUAUAUACAUGGCUCAUAUGUGGACUUACGUCCACACAUCAAAUGUUCCCACCAUUACGGUGCUUUGUGCAUGCAAUGACACCUAAUUGAAAAUUAAUCUAUAAUUUUUUUGUCGAAAAUCCAUAAUUGAAUGACUGAGAUAUAGUAUACCCUAAUUUUUUUGUUUGUUGCGGUACUUGGAAAAUGAGUGGUGUAAUUUCUUUAGCCUUAUCCUUCUUAGUUGUUUUGUUUAGGGGUGAGCAUCGAUCCAAGGUCAACCCUGGACCAACCUUAAACCAACCCAACCCUGCCAGUCCUAAUCCGAUUCCUAAGGAAACUAGGUCGGUCAUUGGACCUAGAAUUUUUGGACCAGCACUGUGCGAGUCAGUUCUCGGUCUUGAGAGUUUCGAGUUGGUCCGACCUGAACCAACCUUGACUAUAUAUAGAUAUAUAUAAUUUAUAUAAUUUUUUUAUAUAGAGAAAACCUUAAAAUCAAUAGCGUCAACAACAUUAAAUAACUUAUUAGUGAGGAAUUCAAGUAAUUUUACAUUAUUCUUUACUAACUUAGAUUUUUAAUGUCUUUUACAGUGUCAAUAGUCAUAAUUUACGAAUGAGGAAAAUGUUUUUGUGAGGAGUCCUCAUGGCAUCCAAAAAGGAAUAAACAGCUCCUUAUGGCAUCCUCCUCUAGUAUUCGUUAUCUUCUAUCUUAUUUGUCCCAUUAGUCUUCAAUUUGCCAAAAUCGAAAGAAACAACUUCUCUGCUCACUACUCAACACUCGCCUCGCUCGCUUUGGGUCAUUUGUGCCGCUCGCCGCUCAAUACUCGCUUGGCUUGUUGCUCCCCGCUUGACAUUCGAUGCUCAUUCUGUUCGAUACUCACCCCACUUGACCCUCACCGCUUGCCUUUCUUAGCUGACAUCGCUCAUCAUCGAACCCUUAGGUCGGUACAGUCCUCGGUUGCCCUUUCAAGAAAUGCAAAAAAUAAAAUAAAAUAUUAUUAGUUGGUCUUGGGUUGACUUGGAAAUCGGACUAAACCCAUUGAGUCAACCCGGUCCUCAAUCGCUUUUUUAAGGAGUAGAAAAAAUGAAAUAAAAAAUUAUCGUUUAGUCCCGGGCUGACCCUGGAACCGGACCGAACCCAUUGGGUCGAUCCCAAGCUCAAUAGAGUCAGUCAUUGGUUCCAAAAAUUGAGAACCGGCGCUAUGCGGAUUGCUCCUAAGGUUAGGGGGUGGACUGGUUCAACCCGAGCCAUUCUCACCCCUAGUUUUGUUCAUGUCCUCAAACUAUCAUACUUGGUAAACUUCUCCUAGAUUUGGUAUUCAAAUCCUUGAUAGGAAUGACAGAUUUGGCCAGACUCGUCCUAUUAUUACAUUGCCGCAAUACACAGCGCCUAGUAUCCACCAUUUACGACAAGAUGAUUAUGUACAUACUCAUAAUUACAACCCAAUAGAUAAUGGAGUCUCCAAAUAGUAAAUUAUCCUAAUCACUUACUAUAUUCUCAAAAGGAUUUUCCUGUUAAGCACCUGAAUAAAGAAAGUUUAUUGUUAUCCAUGCACUUUCUAUCUCGAAUCAAAUGCAAUUUGUGCAUAGAAAAUGAAAAUAUUUCAUUAUUAAGUGGAGCACUCCUUAAGAAAAACUUUCUCAAAAUUCAUUUUCUCCUAUCCGAGGCAAUGUGUAUGGGCACACACAUUUUCCUAAGAGAGAGUAUUAGUGCAAUCUUUGCAGUAGGACCUUCUGGAGCGGACGAUAGGUGUGAGGUCACAUGAGGUGUCACACAGCCAAGAAGAGACUGGAGAGAGAGAGUCACCAUUGGCGAUCGAUAAUGGCUCUGAGGAAUCGCGACACCUUGGGUAUUCUCCAUGACAAAACCCCAAGAAAUGGUGGAAAUUCUUGGAGCUAAAGGAAAAUGUUAGAGCAAUUAAAUAAUAAAUCACAUUUUUAUCAAACGGUUUAAACUUUUAGAACAGUUAAUAGUGAUCUGUUAGAGUAUGAAGGCAUGAUUUUAAUGCCCAAGAAAAUUCACGCCUUGUCUACAACAAGCAGUUUAGAUCGACCUGUUCAUUACUUAAUUUAUGGCACAAGUAGAGGAGCAUAUUCCUUGAAAUUAUCUAUAUAAACUUCUCCCAACUCCCAAAUAUAAGGGAAAACAUGGGAAAAGAAAAUAAAAAUGAGAUAAGAACAAUAGAAGUACCAAAAGCUAUGUACAACACUCAUUUUAGUAUAUAAAAAAAAAAAAACGAAUCACUUAAAUACCACUUUUUUGAAAGAACGAUCAUUAAAGUGCUAACUUUAAUCCGAGUCACUAGAAAUUCGAUGUGGCCAUAUUUUAUUAAUUUCUCAGUUCUAUAUUACUCGCUGGCAUGCCACUUUAGUGCUAGUUGGUGUUAAAAAAUGAUCGCUGCAGUGCAAUCAUUGUUAAAAAGUAAUCACUUCAGUGUUAAAAUAAUGCCACCUCAGAUGAAAUUUUUAAUUAUAAAAUCGCAUAAUUUCUAGCAAGUUAUCGCCGGAGGCAAUUAAGUGGUCCUCCAAUUAGACACUUAAAUGAGCCGACGAAAACUUUUGACACUAAAGUGAGCACCGUAUACAACUUUUGACACAUCUAGUAUCCAAAGAAAAAGAUAUGUUGGAUUGAGGCUAUUUCAGCUGCCAAACAUGGCAUUACUCGUUUGAGAGAGCGAGCAACAACAAAGGAAUGACAACCAACAAAUCAGUCAUCAUUUAUAAAUUCACUCAUUCUCACUCGUAUUUGCACAUUUAAAAACUCCAGAGAGAGAUGUUCAAAGCCCCUACUCCUUCGUGAGCUUUAUGAUUCCUCUUCUUCCUCUGUAGCCUUCUCUCUCGCGCGCGUUCGCUCGCUCUCUGGUGAGAAAGAGUCUUUGACCUUUCGGAGUCUCGACAAACUGUCUGCGUUUUCUCUCUUCGAUAUCCCCCUGUUUUUUUUUUUUUUUUUCCUUUGCUGCUUUUGUGAUUUGAUUGCGACCGUUGAGAAUCUGGAGAGAGUAUAUCCGUGCAAGCUCUGCGAUAGGAUCUAUUCUAGCGGACCAAUGUUGGGAGGUCACAUGAGGUGUCACAUGGACAUGAAUCUACCGGAGAGAGAGCCGCCGUUGGUGAUCGAUAACAGCUCGGCAGAUGAGCGACGUCUUGGGUAUUAUCUCCGAGAAAACCCCAAAAAGACGUGGAAAUUCUCAAAGCUGAAGGAAAGUGCCCAGGAAAAGCCGUGCCCGGUCUGUGACGAGCGGUUCAGGUCGAUGAGGGCACUUUUUUGCCACAGGAAGAUUCACUCGGGAAAGGAUGACGAGAGCGGUGACUGGUGCAAAGGCCGCGGCAAAGGGUCCAGGUCAAUGAAAUUUUGCCAGGAUCACACAAGGCCGAUUCACGACAGGGAGAGAUUGAAUUUGAGUCUCUUGAAUGAAGAUCACUUUGUGGGCUCGAGCAAGACCAAGAGUGAUCUCCUGCUCAUCGUUUUAUCUGACGACGAGACAAUGCGCGUGACCAGGAGAAAGAGGACACCGCGAAUCGAGUAUGAUGUCGAUGAAAGAACUGAGGGAAUUAUGAAUGAUGUCGAUGAAAGAACUGAGGGAAUUAUGCUUUCUGCACCAAAUGGGUCUUCGUACAGUAGCAAGGCCGAACUUGACCCGGGAACAGUAGGAGCAAUUUCUUUGAUGAUGCUGUCCCAAGGUGAGACGGAAUUUAAUUCUCCAGGUUUGGGCGUCAAACCUUUCGGGAAGAGCUUGACCCCAGAUAUCUUUGACGUGGAGAAAGAGAAAGUGGGGGUAACUGAAACAUCCGAGUGCAAUGAAAGCCAUUCAAGUGGCUAUUUGAGAAUGGAGCAGAAAGGGGUCGAAAUGGAGGUUCCCACCGGCAUACUUUGCGGGGCUAGGAAAGUUGGGCUCACGAAGCCUAGAAUAGCCAGGUCAGGAAAAGACACGAUGUAUGAGGCGGCGAUAAUGGAUGGUAACGUGAUGGGAGGUUCUGGGUCGAGAGAAAGGGCAGAACUAUGGAUCGAACUGGGGCUAAAUUCGUAUAAGGAUAAGGUCUGCGCUGAGGAAUCCCAAGUUCUUAGUGAACCGGUUGAGAAAAACAAUGCCGAGAGCUACAAACAGGAGGCUCCAGUCGAUGCUUCUCAAGGGAUUGAAGGGAGUCGUGGCUGCACAGAACUCAAGAGCAUCAAUGACGACUGGGGGAAGCUGAACAGGCAGGUAUGCUCGACGAGUUGCGCGAGAUCGGAUAACGGAGCUGCACCCAAUAUUGGCGUUUGACGCCGGCCAAGGAUCCUAUCUCUAAGGCAGCCGUUUUUAUCGCUCCUUGUUCGUUCUUUUGAUGAUUUCGAUUGUUCUCUACUUCCCCGGAGUAGUCAGCGUAAUCGGUCCCCAUGGUGAAGUCAACGGAUUCUCUUUCAUUCUACAUCGUAUUCAAUAGUAUUACCCCUUUGUCUGUUGUUGUUUUCUUGGAAUAUUUUCAUUGCACUUUUUGUCGGGUCAAUAUAUUUAUGAUUGAUUAGCAACUCUAAGAAAUAGACUCUCUUGGUGUUCUACAACAAUUAACUACCUUGUUUUUCUAUAUGUAUCUACAUUUUAUAAGUGGUGAACUGUUGUUGGGUCAAACUCUAUUAAGGAUAAUGGCUAUCGUGUAAGCGGGGAAAUCGACUUCAAAUACUAAUUCAUAUGUUAAGUUGCACCGACACUUUUCAUUGAACUAGCGUAUGAACAGAGCAAAAGUAACGCAUUGCAGAUAGUUCUGGACUUAUUAACAACGGAAGCAAGUUCUCUUCUUGAUCUUCCCAUCUAAUCUCAUCAGCACACUUGACCUUGAUUCUAGGGUUGAUUAGUUUUCCUGUUUAGGGUGACUUGUGACUCUUAUCAUAUAUUAUUUGAUUUCUAAGUUUUAUAGAGCUCAGACUUUAAUUUUUAUUUAACACGAUGCACUUGAGACGUUUCAAAAGAUUUAGGCAUAUAAUGCUUUCUUUGAAAUUGAAAAUGACUUUCUUUAUCUUUUCAAAUUUUGAAGGAAAAGUCACGAGUAGAAAUUAAAAGGGAAAAAAAAAAUCUGCCCCAGAAAAGGGGUCUUGAGUUUCAAUUUCACCGGACUAUAAAAAAAAUAUUUCACGAUAUCAUAAUUUAUAAACCAUUUAUCAUAAAAGUAAAUAAUGACUUGAAACUUAAUUUGUCACCUAGUACAGUAGUACUCCAUCAAGGGGCCUUUCUUACAUUUGUUUAGAAGUAUUGUAACAUGAUUGAAUAAACUGAACCAUUUACUAUGAAGCAUACACUUCUAAUAAAUUCAAAUGUUAAAUAGUUGCAUGUGAAGAUUAAGUCCUUCCCACCUCUAUUUUCGAAUUGAGUGCCACAAACUUCUUAUGAUUCCUGUAUCCUUGGAGAUACUCCUACUUGAACCUAGGCCGUUAAUCAUGUGGCAUUCAUAUACGGGCUCAUAUGAUUAACAAUUAUGAUGGAUACGAUCGAUGUAGAUUUACAUCUGUGCAUCAAAUGAUCCUGCCAUUACGAUGCUUUGUGCAUGCUCAAACACCUAAUUGAAAAUUAAUCUAUAAUUUUUUUUCUCAAAAAUCCGUAGUCAAAUGACUGACAUAUAGUCUUUACCAUAAAAAAAAUAAUAAUUAACUUUACCAAAAAAAAAAAAAUUGACUGACAUAUAGAGCAUCCUAAUUUUGUUGUUUUUUUUUUUUUUUUGGUACUUGGAAAAUGAGUUGUCUAAUUUGUUUAGCCUUAUCCUUCUUAGUUGCUUUGUUCAUGUUCUCAAACUAUCAUACUUGGUAAACUUUUGUCAAAUUUGGUGCUCAAAUGCCCAAUAGGAAUGAAAAAUUUGGCUAGACUCGUCCUAUUAUUACAUUGCCGCAACACGCGGUGCCUAGUAUCCACCAUUUACGGCUAGGUGAUUAUAUACAUACUCAUACUUAUUACCCAAUAGAGAAUGGAGUCUCGAAAUGGCAAAUUCUCCGGAUCACUUACUAUAUUCUCAAAAGGAUUUUCCUGUUAAGCACCUGAAUAAAGAAUAUUUGUUGUUUUCCAUGCGCUUUCUAUCUUGGAUAAGAUGCAAACAAUGCAUAGAAAAUGAAAAUAUUUCCUUAUCAAGUAAGCCACCAAAACCUUCUCAAAAUUCGUUUUCUCCUAUCCGAGCCAAUGUGUUUGGACCAGCACUUUUUCUAAAUCGCAUGAAGUUCAUCAUUGAUCAAUUGAUGUUGCUAAGAGAAGCAUACUUGUUUUUUGAAGGAUAAAUCCUAAUAAAAUUUCGUGAUCCUCGAAAUUAUUUGUAUAAUUUUUUUUCUCAUAAAAUCCCAAAUAUUAAGGUGAACAAAGGAUUAAAAAAAAAAACAAAAGAGGAAAUGAUUAUGCUGGAAUAUUAAGUGCUUUUUUUUUUCCUUCCAAGUACCAGGCGUAGGACUAUUCCAGCUGCCAAACAUGGCAAUACCGGUUUGAGAGCGCGCGCAACGAACAACUAAUCCAUCGUCAUAUAGAAGCCCACUCAUUCUCAUAUUUGCACAUUCAAAAACCCCUGCUUCUUCGUCGUCUGCUUUCUGAUCCUCUGCUNNNNNNNNNNNNNNNNNNNNNNNNNNNNNNNNNNNNNNNNNNNNNNNNNNNNNNNNNNNNNNNNNNNNNNNNNNNNNNNNNNNNNNNNNNNNNNNNNNNNNNNNNNNNNNNNNNNNNNNNNNNNNNNNNNNNNNNNNNNNNNNNNNNNNNNNNNNNNNNNNNNNNNNNNNNNNNNNNNNNNNNNNNNNNNNNNNNNNNNNNNNNNNNNNNNNNNNNNNNNNNNNNNNNNNNNNNNNNNNNNNNNNNNNNNNNNNNNNNNNNNNNNNNNNNNNNNNNNNNNNNNNNNNNNNNNNNNNNNNNNNNNNNNNNNNNNNNNNNNNNNNNNNNNNNNNNNNNNNNNNNNNNNNNNNNNNNNNNNNNNNNNNNNNNNNNNNNNNNNNNNNNNNNNNNNNNNNNNNNNNNNNNNNNNNNNNNNNNNNNNNNNNNNNNNNNNNNNNNNNNNNNNNNNNNNNNNNNNNNNNNNNNNNNNNNNNNNNNNNNNNNNNNNNNNNNNNNNNNNNNNNNNNNNNNNNNNNNNNNNNNNNNNNNNNNNNNNNNNNNNNNNNNNNNNNNNNNNNNNNNNNNNNNNNNNNNNNNNNNNNNNNNNNNNNNNNNNNNNNNNNNNNNNNNNNNNNNNNNNNNNNNNNNNNNNNNNNNNNNNNNNNNNNNNNNNNNNNNNNNNNNNNNNNNNNNNNNNNNNNNNNNNNNNNNNNNNNNNNNNNNNNNNNNNNNNNNNNNNNNNNNNNNNNNNNNNNNNNNNNNNNNNNNNNNNNNNNNNNNNNNNNNNNNNNNNNNNNNNNNNNNNNNNNNNNNNNNNNNNNNNNNNNNNNNNNNNNNNNNNNNNNNNNNNNNNNNNNNNNNNNNNNNNNNNNNNNNNNNNNNNNNNNNNNNNNNNNNNNNNNNNNNNNNNNNNNNNNNNNNNNNNNNNNNNNNNNNNNNNNNNNNNNNNNNNNNNNNNNNNNNNNNNNNNNNNNNNNNNNNNNNNNNNNNNNNNNNNNNNNNNNNNNNNNNNNNNNNNNNNNNNNNNNNNNNNNNNNNNNNNNNNNNNNNNNNNNNNNNNNNNNNNNNNNNNNNNNNNNNNNNNNNNNNNNNNNNNNNNNNNNNNNNNNNNNNNNNNNNNNNNNNNNNNNNNNNNNNNNNNNNNNNNNNNNNNNNNNNNNNNNNNNNNNNNNNNNNNNNNNNNNNNNNNNNNNNNNNNNNNNNNNNNNNNNNNNNNNNNNNNNNNNNNNNNNNNNNNNNNNNNNNNNNNNNNNNNNNNNNNNNNNNNNNNNNNNNNNNNNNNNNNNNNNNNNNNNNNNNNNNNNNNNNNNNNNNNNNNNNNNNNNNNNNNNNNNNNNNNNNNNNNNNNNNNNNNNNNNNNNNNNNNNNNNNNNNNNNNNNNNNNNNNNNNNNNNNNNNNNNNNNNNNNNNNNNNNNNNNNNNNNNNNNNNNNNNNNNNNNNNNNNNNNNNNNNNNNNNNNNNNNNNNNNNNNNNNNNNNNNNNNNNNNNNNNNNNNNNNNNNNNNNNNNNNNNNNNNNNNNNNNNNNNNNNNNNNNNNNNNNNNNNNNNNNNNNNNNNNNNNNNNNNNNNNNNNNNNNNNNNNNNNNNNNNNNNNNNNNNNNNNNNNNNNNNNNNNNNNNNNNNNNNNNNNNNNNNNNNNNNNNNNNNNNNNNNNNNNNNNNNNNNNNNNNNNNNNNNNNNNNNNNNNNNNNNNNNNNNNNNNNNNNNNNNNNNNNNNNNNNNNNNNNNNNNNNNNNNNNNNNNNNNNNNNNNNNNNNNNNNNNNNNNNNNNNNNNNNNNNNNNNNNNNNNNNNNNNNNNNNNNNNNNNNNNNNNNNNNNNNNNNNNNNNNNNNNNNNNNNNNNNNNNNNNNNNNNNNNNNNNNNNNNNNNNNNNNNNNNNNNNNNNNNNNNNNNNNNNNNNNNNNNNNNNNNNNNNNNNNNNNNNNNNNNNNNNNNNNNNNNNNNNNNNNNNNNNNNNNNNNNNNNNNNNNNNNNNNNNNNNNNNNNNNNNNNNNNNNNNNNNNNNNNNNNNNNNNNNNNNNNNNNNNNNNNNNNNNNNNNNNNNNNNNNNNNNNNNNNNNNNNNNNNNNNNNNNNNNNNNNNNNNNNNNNNNNNNNNNNNNNNNNNNNNNNNNNNNNNNNNNNNNNNNNNNNNNNNNNNNNNNNNNNNNNNNNNNNNNNNNNNNNNNNNNNNNNNNNNNNNNNNNNNNNNNNNNNNNNNNNNNNNNNNNNNNNNNNNNNNNNNNNNNNNNNNNNNNNNNNNNNNNNNNNNNNNNNNNNNNNNNNNNNNNNNNNNNNNNNNNNNNNNNNNNNNNNNNNNNNNNNNNNNNNNNNNNNNNNNNNNNNNNNNNNNNNNNNNNNNNNNNNNNNNNNNNNNNNNNNNNNNNNNNNNNNNNNNNNNNNNNNNNNNNNNNNNNNNNNNNNNNNNNNNNNNNNNNNNNNNNNNNNNNNNNNNNNNNNNNNNNNNNNNNNNNNNNNNNNNNNNNNNNNNNNNNNNNNNNNNNNNNNNNNNNNNNNNNNNNNNNNNNNNNNNNNNNNNNNNNNNNNNNNNNNNNNNNNNNNNNNNNNNNNNNNNNNNNNNNNNNNNNNNNNNNNNNNNNNNNNNNNNNNNNNNNNNNNNNNNNNNNNNNNNNNNNNNNNNNNNNNNNNNNNNNNNNNNNNNNNNNNNNNNNNNNNNNNNNNNNNNNNNNNNNNNNNNNNNNNNNNNNNNNNNNNNNNNNNNNNNNNNNNNNNNNNNNNNNNNNNNNNNNNNNNNNNNNNNNNNNNNNNNNNNNNNNNNNNNNNNNNNNNNNNNNNNNNNNNNNNNNNNNNNNNNNNNNNNNNNNNNNNNNNNNNNNNNNNNNNNNNNNNNNNNNNNNNNNNNNNNNNNNNNNNNNNNNNNNNNNNNNNNNNNNNNNNNNNNNNNNNNNNNNNNNNNNNNNNNNNNNNNNNNNNNNNNNNNNNNNNNNNNNNNNNNNNNNNNNNNNNNNNNNNNNNNNNNNNNNNNNNNNNNNNNNNNNNNNNNNNNNNNNNNNNNNNNNNNNNNNNNNNNNNNNNNNNNNNNNNNNNNNNNNNNNNNNNNNNNNNNNNNNNNNNNNNNNNNNNNNNNNNNNNNNNNNNNNNNNNNNNNNNNNNNNNNNNNNNNNNNNNNNNNNNNNNNNNNNNNNNNNNNNNNNNNNNNNNNNNNNNNNNNNNNNNNNNNNNNNNNNNNNNNNNNNNNNNNNNNNNNNNNNNNNNNNNNNNNNNNNNNNNNNNNNNNNNNNNNNNNNNNNNNNNNNNNNNNNNNNNNNNNNNNNNNNNNNNNNNNNNNNNNNNNNNNNNNNNNNNNNNNNNNNNNNNNNNNNNNNNNNNNNNNNNNNNNNNNNNNNNNNNNNNNNNNNNNNNNNNNNNNNNNNNNNNNNNNNNNNNNNNNNNNNNNNNNNNNNNNNNNNNNNNNNNNNNNNNNNNNNNNNNNNNNNNNNNNNNNNNNNNNNNNNNNNNNNNNNNNNNNNNNNNNNNNNNNNNNNNNNNNNNNNNNNNNNNNNNNNNNNNNNNNNNNNNNNNNNNNNNNNNNNNNNNNNNNNNNNNNNNNNNNNNNNNNNNNNNNNNNNNNNNNNNNNNNNNNNNNNNNNNNNNNNNNNNNNNNNNNNNNNNNNNNNNNNNNNNNNNNNNNNNNNNNNNNNNNNNNNNNNNNNNNNNNNNNNNNNNNNNNNNNNNNNNNNNNNNNNNNNNNNNNNNNNNNNNNNNNNNNNNNNNNNNNNNNNNNNNNNNNNNNNNNNNNNNNNNNNNNNNNNNNNNNNNNNNNNNNNNNNNNNNNNNNNNNNNNNNNNNNNNNNNNNNNNNNNNNNNNNNNNNNNNNNNNNNNNNNNNNNNNNNNNNNNNNNNNNNNNNNNNNNNNNNNNNNNNNNNNNNNNNNNNNNNNNNNNNNNNNNNNNNNNNNNNNNNNNNNNNNNNNNNNNNNNNNNNNNNNNNNNNNNNNNNNNNNNNNNNNNNNNNNNNNNNNNNNNNNNNNNNNNNNNNNNNNNNNNNNNNNNNNNNNNNNNNNNNNNNNNNNNNNNNNNNNNNNNNNNNNNNNNNNNNNNNNNNNNNNNNNNNNNNNNNNNNNNNNNNNNNNNNNNNNNNNNNNNNNNNNNNNNNNNNNNNNNNNNNNNNNNNNNNNNNNNNNNNNNNNNNNNNNNNNNNNNNNNNNNNNNNNNNNNNNNNNNNNNNNNNNNNNNNNNNNNNNNNNNNNNNNNNNNNNNNNNNNNNNNNNNNNNNNNNNNNNNNNNNNNNNNNNNNNNNNNNNNNNNNNNNNNNNNNNNNNNNNNNNNNNNNNNNNNNNNNNNNNNNNNNNNNNNNNNNNNNNNNNNNNNNNNNNNNNNNNNNNNNNNNNNNNNNNNNNNNNNNNNNNNNNNNNNNNNNNNNNNNNNNNNNNNNNNNNNNNNNNNNNNNNNNNNNNNNNNNNNNNNNNNNNNNNNNNNNNNNNNNNNNNNNNNNNNNNNNNNNNNNNNNNNNNNNNNNNNNNNNNNNNNNNNNNNNNNNNNNNNNNNNNNNNNNNNNNNNNNNNNNUAGUCUAAUAUAAGAAAGAGAUCUAUAUCACGUAGAUAAUGCUUAACUUCUAAUAGAUAGUCAUUUUUAAACUCAUACAAAUGUUUUAGCUGGAAUUCUCAUAAUAUUUUUUUCAAUUUGGGAUUACUUUGCUAGGAUUUUUUAGGGACUCCAAUACACAUUAUGCUCUUCAUGUUGGAAUGGAUAAUGUCCAAUACUUUUUUAUUAAGCUCCUUUAUUUUCUCUUUUGAGUUGAGCUUUUAGUAUUUUCCAAUAGGAAACAAAUUGUGUUAAUUUUCUUAAUUAACCAACAAAAAUGUAUUUUUGACUUGUUCCAUUUAUUGGGCAUAUCCUUGAUCUUUUUUUGCUUUGGCAUAUGAACAGAAAUUCGAUACUAACACACAUAUAUCGCUUUGAUGAAAUGGUUCGUGUCAUAGAUCUUUAUCAAAUAUCCAAUAUUGCUCAAGAGAUGGGAAUCCAUCUCUACAUUUUUCAUGUUUGGGAAAAUAAGAAUUCAAAUGUGGAUUUGGUGUCCCCAUGAAAGAAAAUUCCUCAGAAAGUGCGGAAUUCGAUUACCUUACAAUAAAUGGUAUCGAGAUUUUCAUAGACACCUUAAAGACUUUUCAAGUUUGACUGACUUUGUCCCACGGCCAAAUUUUGUUGAAAGCUCAACCAUGCUACUGUGAUUAAAUAAUAAUUGUCGAGAACUUUUCCAAGGUACCAAAUUUUCCCCAAUUUGGCAUUGUCUUAAGACAAACUUAAGAAAUUGACCAGAUCUCCCAGAGUAAGAAUCAACUCCAAACAAACUAGCAAUGGGUCAAUAUAUAAGUGAUUCUUAACUUCCUUAACUUCGUUUGGAGUUCUUCGACAACUAAUUUAGGGAUAAGUACACUAAUGGUGCCAUAAGCUGUGUACGGUGCUCACUUGGUACCAAAAAUUUCCGUCGAAUCAUUUAAGUGCCAAAAAAUUUGAAAAACGCUCACUUUAGUGCCAAUGCCGAUCUGAUCGGCCGGAAAUCUGACGUGGCCUUUUUUUUUAUUAAUUUCUUAUGCUGAUAUGGCUCACCGGAGUUUCCAUUAGAUCACUUAGACCUUCAAACAACGUCGUUUUAGCAUCCUAACACCAAAACGACGCCGUUUUGUGUCUUUCCCCCAAAUUCAAAACCCUAAAUCCCCAAACGACGCUGUUUUUGUGUCGUCUUCUUCCCUGAGCAAAUUCGUCUUCUUCCUCGAACAGAUCCAGCAACACCAACAGCACCAAACCAACAACACCAGCAGCGGAGAACCAGCAACACCAGUAAUUUUCCAGAAAAGAAACCACGCAUUCGCAUCCGGCCACCCCAGUAGUUCUCCCCCAUUUUUAAUCACCUUAUCAACCUUUCAAAUCCCCGAAUCUCAGCCUCACCAUCCCCUUUUCCCAAGAAAUAUAGUUGGGUGCAGAGGAAACGCGAGCUCGAAGAAUCCCCAGAAGCAUGAACAAUCUGGCCAAUGGUAGCCGCAAAGAUCUGGAACGCCACGGAGGUUGUCGGCGAAGCCAGCUGCUACAAAGGCGGUGGCCGUGGCCCCGCCAUCCCCUCCUCCGUCCUCAUCGUCGACACCUCCCUCUUUCGCGGGAUUUUCUGUUCGUUUUUUUUUUCUUUCUUUCUUUUGUCUUUCUGUGGCAAGCAACUGCAAUGGAGGUUGAGGGAUAGAGGCUGAGCGACGGUGGCCAAGGGACGGCGGCUAAGUGACGGUGGCUGAGGGACAGCGGCUGAGCGACGGUGGACGAGCAAUGGCGGACAAAAAAACCCUAAUUUCAAUCUCCAAAUAAAAUUAACAAAACGGCGUCGUUUUUGUGAGGCUAUCCACGUAGGAUGGCAAAACAACGUCGUUUUCCUAAGGAAGACGGAAAACGACGUCGUUUAAAAGGCUUCUUGAUUUUUUUUUUUAAAUAUAAAAGCCACGUAAUCAUUUUGGCUGGAAUCUGUCGUCGGUGGCACCAAAGUGAUUGUUUUUCCUCCGUUUUGGCACUUAAGUGAUCCGGCGGAAACUUUUGGCACCAAAGUGAGCGCCGUACAUAACUUAUGGCAUCAUUAGUGUACUUAUCCCACUAAUUUAAAUUUGUUGCUUAAGUGAUAAAAAAAAACCCAAAACUCAUUUAAAAUCUUGAAAUCAAAAACUUGAUUUGAGCAUAUAUUUGAAAACUAGAAAUCGCAAUUUUUCCAAUAGCAUGAGAAUGACGCGAAUCUGAUAUUGGACCAAAAGGUUAUGACUUUAGGAAAAAGAUACCAUGAAAAAUUAAAACAAAUAAUCAGGUUGUGCCACUUUACCCACCCUGAUUCAACCGGGCCGGAGGUUAUCCGUUUGAGGGUGACUUGGGCCAGGGUCAUCCGGCCCAGGGUUACUCUGGUCCAAGUUUACUAAGCCUAGGUCGUCCCAUCCCUUUUGCGCAUUUUUAACUAUGUCCACAAUUUUGACGCGAAGAGUUCUAUUUUCUGGCUUUCAGUUUGAUACUCACUUUGAUUCAAUUUUCUGUUGGAGAUUUCGACGAUAUCCGGAAUGAAGGUGCGGAAACUCUUUUAAUAAAUGUGAUAAUGGUUAUCAUGCUGAGGUAAUAACUUGAAAAUAAAAUACAAUGUGGUUACGCCAAGAUAAAAAUGGAGUUUACAUAUCAAAGUAGUCGUUAUUUUACUAAAAAAAAAUCUUGAAAAUUCCAUAAUUUCUCUGUGCGGUUAUUCUACUUGCUUUAAUUCUUACAUUAGAAUAAUCCUGCGUAUGUCACGAUUUUCUCAAAAUUUGUCGGAAAAGUUACGGUUACUUUCAUGAAACUAUUUUCAGCUUUCAAAACCAGUCUUAUGGGAAUGAAAGGACAAUACACCCUAUGUCUAAGUAGGCCAAAUAAUAACAUGGUUCCAUCAUUUUCAAAACUAAUCAUGCAUCGUCAAAUAAACAUCAUUUGAUUAAUUGUGAAAGUGUACAUUCACAACUUAGCACACAUGUAUAAUUUUUGCACGUCAUGCUAGGGGUGUGCAGAACAGAUCACCCAAACUAGAAACCUUAUGGAACGGAUCAAGUAUGAUGUCAAUGAAAGAACUGAGGGAAUUCUGUUUUCCACACCAAAUGAGUCUUCGUACAGUAGCAAGGCCGAACAAGACCUGGAAACCGUAGAAGCAGUUUCUUUGAUGAUGCUGUCCAAGGUCAGACAGACUUUAAUUCUUCAGGUUUGGGCGUCAAACCUUUCGGGAAGAGCUUGACCCCGGAUUUGUUUGACGUGGAGAAAGAGAAAGCGGGGGUAACUGUGCAAUGAAAGCCAUUCAAAUGGCUAUUUGAGCAUGGAGCAGAAAAGGGUCGAAAUGGAGGUUCCCGCCAGCAUACUUUGUGGAGCUAGGGAAGUUGGGCUCAAGAAGCCUAAAGUAGCCAAAUCAGGCGAAGACCCGAUGUAUGAGGCGGCGAUGAUGGAUGGUGACAUAAUGGGAGAUUUUAGGUCAAGAGAAAGGGCAGAAAUAUGGAUGGAACCGGGGCUAAACUCGUACAAAGAUAAGGUCUGCGCUGAGGAAUCCCAAAUUCUUGGUAAACCGGUUGAGAAAAACAACGCUGAGAGCUACAAACAGGAGGCUCCAGUCGAUGCUUCUCAGGGGAUUGAAGGGAGUUGUGGCUGCACAGAACUCAAAAGCAUCAAGGACGACCGGGAGAAGUUGAACAUGCAGGCAUUCUCGACGAGUUGCGUGAGAUCGGAUAACAGAGCUGCACCCAAUAUUGGCGUUUGACGCCAGCCUAUUUCUAAAGCAGCCGUUUUUAUCCCUCCUUGUCUGUUCUUUUGAUGGUUUCGAUUGUUCUCCUACUUCACCGGAGUAGUCAGGGUAAUCAAUCCCCAUGGUGAAGUCAGCGGAGUCUCUCUCUCAUUCUACAUCGUAUUCAAUAGUAUCUCCCCUUUGUCUGUUGCUGUUUUUCUGGAAUAUUUUCAUUAAAUUUUUUGUCGGGUCAAUAUGUUUAUGAUUGAUUAGCAACUCCCAGAAAUAGACUUUCUUGGUGUUCUAGAACAAUUAACUACCUUGUUUUUUCUAUACGUAUCUACAUUUUAUAAGUGGUGAACCAUUGUUGGGUCAAAAUGGCUAUCGUGUAAGCGGGAAAAUCGACUUCAAAUACUAAUUCAUAUGUUAAUUGCACCGACACUUUUCAUUGAACACAUUGCAGAUAGUUCCGGACUUAAUAACAACAAAAGCGAGUUCUCUUCUUGAUCUUCCCAUCUAAUCUCAUCAGCACACUUGACCUUGAUUCUAGGGUUGAUUAGUUUUCCAAUUUAGGGUGACUUGUGAUUCCUAUCAUAUAUUAGUUGAUUUCUAAGUUUUAUGGAGCUCGGACUUUAAUUUUCAUUUAACACAAAGAACUUGACACAUUUCAAAAUAUUUAGAUAUGUAAUGGUUUAAAAAAAAUGAAAAUGACGUUUUUAUCUUUUCAAAUUUUGAAGGAAAAGUCAUGAGUAGAAAUUAAAAGGAAAAAAAAUUUGCCCCAAAAAUUUAUUCUUGACUUUCAAUUUCACCGGACUAUCAUAAAAAUAUUCCACAAGGUCAUAGUUUAUAAAUCAUUUAUCAUAAAAGUAAAUGAUGACGCGGCAUUUAAUUUGUCGCCUAGUACUCCAUCAAGGGGCUUUCUAACGUUAUUUUAAAAGUAUUGUAUCAUGUUUGAAUAAACUGAACCAUUUACUAUGAAGCAUACACUUUUAAUAGAUUCAAAUGUUAAAUAGAUCUAUGUAAAGAUUAAGUCCUUCCCACCUCGUUUUUCGAAUUGAGUGCCACAAACUUCUUAUGGUUCCUAUAUCCUUAGAGAUACUCUUACUUGAACCCACGCCGUUAAUCAUGUGGUAUUCAUAUACAGGGCUCAUAUAAUUAGCAGUUAUGAUAGAUACAAUCGAUGUAGAUUUACAUCCAUGUGUCACGGGCUAAUCGAUUGGGAUCGUGACCGUGCGGUCACUCAGGCACUUUUGGAUCAACUUGGAUCGUUGAGAUGCCUAGGGCAAGCCUUGAUCACACACUUUCUAGAGAGGGAAGCUCUGGAAAGAAAAUAGCCUUUGUAUUACUGAAUGAUUGGAUGGAUACAAAUGAGUAGGAGGGUAUCCCUUUUUAUAUUAAAGUUCCUCGAAUUACAUCCAUUCAUCGAGUUUUCAUCCGGUGGACGAGAUCCCACCGCCCCAUCUACCAACUACCAACACUAAUAGCAGGAGACUUCUAGAAUUUGUCGUAAUGAUCGUAUCACCCGCCCCGGGAACGUUCCGGAAGAGCACUUGUUGGAAAUCCUAGCAAUUGCGGGAGGUCCUCCUCGGAAAGGCAUGGCCCUUUAGUUGCAGAAACCUCUUGGCCGUGACACAUGCAUCAAAUACUCAUGCCAUUGCAAUGCUUUGUGCAUGCUCAAACACCUAAUUAAAAAUUAAUCUAUAAUUUGUUUUCCAAAAGAUCCGUAAUCCAAUGACUGACAUAUAGUGCAUCUAAUUUUGUUGUUUUUUUUUUUAUUUUUUGGUACUUGGAAAAUGAGCUGUCUAAUUUAUUUAGCCUUAUCCUUCUUAGUUGCUUUGUUCAUGUUCUCAAACUAUCAUACUUGGUAAACUUUUGUCAGAUUUGGUGCUCAAACGCCCAAUAGGAAUGACAAAUUUGGCUAGACUCAUCCUAUUAUUACAUUGCCGCAACACGUGGUGCCUAGUAUCCACCAUUUACGGCUAGGUGAUUAUAUACAUACUCAUACUUAUUACCCAAUGGAGAAUGGAGUCUCGAAAUAGCAAAUUCUCCUGAUCACUUACUAUAUUCUCAAAAGGAUUUUCCUAUUAAGCACCUGAAUAAAAUAUAUUUGUUGUUUUCCAUGCACUUUCUAUCUCAGAUAAGAUGCAAAUAAUGCAUAGAAAAUGAAAAUAUUGCCUUAUUAAGUAGGCCACCCAAAACCUUCUCAAAAUUCGUUUUCUCCUAUCUGAGCCAAUGUGUUUGGACAUGCACUUUUUCUAAAUCGCAUGAAGUUCAUCAUUGCUUAAUUGAUUUUGCUAAGAGAAGCAUACUUGUUAGUACUAUGAUUUUUUUGAAGGAUAAAUCCUAAUAAAAUUCCGUGAUCCUUGAAAUUAUCUGCAUAAUUUUUUUCGCAUAGAAUCCCAAAUAUUAAGGUGAACAAAGGAUUAAAAAAGAAGAAGAGGAAAAUGAUUAUGUUGUGAAAGAACAUUCCUCUAUGUUGUGGCACCGAAGAUUGGGACAUAUCUCCAUAGAAAGAAUUAAGCAAUUAGUAAAUGAUGGAGUACUCGGUAUUUUAGAUUUUACUGAUUGUAAUACUUGUGUGGACUGCAUAAAGGGAAAGCAGACUAAUAAAUCAAAGAAAUGUGCCAAGAGGAGUACAGAAAUAUUAGAAAUCAUACAUACGGAUAUAUGUAGUCCGGAUAUGGACUCUUGUGGUCAGAAAUACUUCAUCUCCUUCAUAGAUGAUUACUCACGUUAUAUGUAUCUCUACUUGAUUCAUAAUAAAUAUGAAGCAUUAAAUGCCUUUAAGGUAUUUAAGGCGGAAGUAGAGAAACAAUGUGAUAAGCAAAUUAAGAUUGUGAGAUCAGAUAGUGGUGGAGAAUUCUAUGGUAAAUACACUGAAGAUGGACAAGCACCUGGUCCAUUUGCAAGAUUUCUUCAAGAGCAUGGAAUAGUUGCCCAAUACACUAUGCUUGGUUCUCCGGACCAAAACGACGUAACGGAAAGAAGAAACCGGACCUUAUUGGACAUGGUGCGUAGUAUGCUUAGUAGCUCCAAACUUCUUAAAUCCUUGUGGACUGAAGCACUUAAGAUGGCAGUGUACAUAUUAAACCGAGUUCCGACAAAGGCUGUUCCAAAGACACCUUUUGAAUUAUUUAAGGGUUGGAAACCGAGUUACAUCAUGUGCGCGUUUGGGGAUGCCCGUCUGAAGUGAGAGUUUAUAAUCCACAAAAAAAGAAGUUGGACCCGAGGACCAUAAGUGGGUAUUUCAUUAAAUAUGCCGAAAGGUCUAAAUGAUACAGGUUUUAUUGUCCAUCUCAUACCACUAGGAUUGUGGAAUCAAGAAAUGCUAAAUUUCUUGAAAAUGACUUGAUCAGUGGGAGCGAUCGACCGAGGGACCUUGUUCCUAAGGAAGAUCAUUCAGACACUCAACCUUCCACCUCAAGUUUAAGGUUGGUUGUUGCUUAUAAUGCCCAUUCAGUUCAGCCGGCUAUCGAACAACCAAUCGUUGAAGUUCCACAACCUGCUGAUAUUGAUCUAGUAGAUCCAAUUGUUCAGCAAUUACCAGAAACUGUUGAACAACCAGUUGAGCAACAUGCUCCUCAAGAGAAUGUUGAUGCAACCUUGAGAAGAUCUGCUAGAAUAAAGAAAUCGGCUAUUCCUAGUGAUUAUAUUGUGUAUUUACAAGAGUCUGACUACAAUAUUGGAGCUGAGAAUGAUCCCGAAACGUUUUCACAAGCCAUGGAUAGUGAUAAAUCUAAUUUGUGGUACAAUGCCAUGAAGGAAGAGAUGAGUUCUAUGGCAUCUAACGAAGUCUGGGAUUUGGUUCAGUUACCUGAUGGUGCGAAGGCCAUUGGUUGUAAAUGGGUCUUCAAAACUAAGAAGGACUCAUUGGGUAACAUUGAAAGAUAUAAAGCUAGACUCGUUGCCAAAUGAUUCACUCAAAAGGAAGGAAUCGAUUACACGAAGACUUUUUCUCCUGUAUCUAAGAAAGAUUCUCUUCAUAUUGUUUUGGCAUUGGUUGCCCAUUUUUAUAUGGAAUUACAUCAUAUGGAUGUGAAAACGGCGUUCCUCAAUGGAGAAUUGGAGGAGGAGGUUUACAUGAAACAACCUGAAGGAUUCCCCUCUAGUAAAGGUGAGCAUUUGGUGUGCAAGCUUAAGAAAUCUAUAUAUGGCUUGAAACAAGCAUCCCGCCAAUGGUACUUAAGGUUCCAUGAAAUCAUCUCUUCAUUCGGUUUUGUAGAAAAUGUCAUGGAUCAAUGUAUAUACCAGAAGGUCAGUGGGAGUAAAAUUUGUUUCCUUAUGCUGUAUGUGGAUGAAAUAUUACUUACAACCAAUUAUAAGGGGUUGCUACAUGAGGUGAAACAAUUUCUCUCUAAGAGUUUUGACAUGAAGGAUAUGGGUGAGGCAUCUUAUGUCAUUGGCAUUAAGAUCCAUAGAGAUAGAUUGAGGCAUUUUAGGACUAUCUCAAGAAACCUAUAUCAAUAAGGUCCUAGAGAGAUUUCGGACGAAAGAUUGUUCACCAAGUAUAGCACCCAUUGUGAAGGGCGACAGGUUCAAUUUGAACCAAUACCCGAAGAACGAUCUAGAAAUGGAACAAAUGUACAACAUUCCAUAUGCUUCUGCUGUUGGAAGCUUGAUGUAUGCUCAGGUUUGCACUCGACCUGACAUCGCUUUUGCUGUGGGAAUGUUGGGAAGAUAUCAGAGUAAUCCAGGUUUAGACCACUGGAGAGCUGCAAAGAAAGUGAUGAGAUACCUUCAAGGUACCAAAGACUAUAUGUUUAUGUAUAAACGAACUGACAACCUGGAAGUGGUCGGUUAUUCGGAUGCGGACUUCGCGGGUUGUGUUGAUUCACGAAAAUCAACAUCUGGAUACAUUUUUAUGUUAACUGGCGGAGCCGUGUCAUGAAGAAGUGCCAAGCAGACUUUGACUGCUACUUCCACUAUGGAGGCUAAGUUCGUUUCUUGUUUUGAGGCUACCUCGCAUGGUAUAUGGUUGAAGAGUUUCAUUGCUGGGCUUAGAAUUGUUGAUUCAAUUUCUAGGCCAUUAAGAAUAUAUUGUGACAAUUCAGCUACGGUUUUUAUGGCUAAAAAUGCCAAAAGUGGCAGUCGAAGUAAGCAUAUCGACAUUAAGUAUUUAGCCAUAAGGAAACGUGUUAAGAAAAAUAGAGUGGCCAUUGAACACGUUAGCAUUGAAUUGAUGAUAGCCGAUCCUUUAACUAAAGGCAUGCCACCAAUGAAGUAUAAGGAUCAUGUAACUAGUAUGGGAAUAGGUCCCAUCAUGUGAUUUGUUGUUAUAUGAACGAUUUUGUUGUAUGAAACUCUUAUUCAAUUGUAAUGUUGAUUAUCAAUUUUGGUGUACACAUUUUGUUGUUUAUGAGAAUAACAUUUAUCCUUGGUUCUGGAAUGAACAUGGGGUUUAUUCAUUAAGAUAUGUUGUCACAUAUAGACUGACAUUAAAGAAAUAAGAUGCAUUGUGAUACAUGGAAGAUAUUACUCACUCUUAAAGGACAUGUCGCCAUGAUCCAUGUGUUUUGUUUCUUUUCUUUAAGCAUAAAGUUUUUGUGGAAUUAGUUGGAUAAUCCAUAUGAUGAAAAUGAUGGGAUCAAGUGGGAGAAUGUUAUUUAUUUUUUGUGAUCCCACAUUUUAGACCCACAUUUUCUCUUAAAGUUGCGAUUAUUCGACAUGAAGUUUUUCCACGCUUCGUACUCUUUCGUGACAACCGCCCAUUUGGUAACCGUCUUGAUGGGAGAUGGGAUAUAAAAGGGAACGUACGUUCAUUUCUGAUGGGUGAUGACAAGGUCUAACACAAACUCUCAUAUUUGGGAAUACACCAUCAGUACGUGAGGGAAUUCGGUUAGUAGCGUGUCCCCAAUUUUUCUUUGAUUUCAGAUUUUUCUAACAAAUGUGAAUAAGAACAAUGGUUGGAGGUUUGUCUUUAACUGAUUCUGGCUUCCGCAUCAUGAAUUUUAUUUCUUACAAUGAGUUAUCACAUGGCCAAGAAUAUACUGCGGAGAGAGCCAUCAUUGGCGAUCGGUAACGGCUCGGGGAAAGCGAGACAUCUUAGGUAUUGACUCCGAGAAAACCCCAAGAAAUCGUGGAAAUUCUUGGGGCUGAUGGAAAAUGCCCAAGAAAAUCCGUGCUCAGUCUGCCACAAGCGAUUCAGGUCCACGACAGCUCUGUUUGGCCACAUGAAAAUUCACUUGAACAAGGACGACGAGCGCGGCGACUGGUGCGCGGACCGUGGCAAAGGGUCCAGGUCGAUGAAAUCAUGCCGGGAUCGUGCGAGGCCGAUCCACGACAGGGAGAGAUUGAAUUUGAGUCUCUCCAGUGAAGAUCGCUAUGUGGGCUUGAGUAAGACCAAAUCGCUAUGUGGGCUUGAGUAAGACCAAAGGUGAUCUCCUGCUUAGCGUUUUAUUUGACGACGAGGCAAUGCACAUGACCAGGAGGAAGAGGACACCGCGAGUCAGCUGCGAUGUCGAUGAAAGAACUGAGGGAGUUCUGUCCUCCGUACCAAAUGGGUUUUCGUUCAGUAGCGAGGCCGAGCGAGACCCGGCAAACGAAGCAGCAGUUGAGUUGAUGAUGAUGUCCCGAGGUGAGGCGGGCUUCAAUUCUUCGGGUUUGGGCAUCGAACAUUUCCGGAAGAGCUCGGCCCUGGAUUUCAUUGACAUGGAAAAACUGAGGUAACUGAAGCAGCCGAGUACAAUGAACGCCAUUCAUGAGGCUAUACGAGAAUGGAGCAGGAAGGGGUCGAAUUGGAGGUUCCUGCCGGGACGCUUUGUGGGGCUUUGGGAAGUUGAGCGCAAAAAGCCUGAAGCGGCCAGAUCAGACGAACAGCAAAUGUAUGAGGUGGCAAUGAUGGAUGGUGACAUGAUCCGUAUUGCGGGUUCCGAUUCGAGAGCUAAAGCAGAACUAAGGAUUGACAAGCUGCGUGAGAUCGGAUUCAUUGUCUACUCCAUCGGCAAGCCGCUGGAUCCCUGGCACAAGGACGUGCCCGCCGUGACAUAAUGGAGACCCACCUGAUAUUGGCGUUUGUCGCCAGCCAAGAUCCAAUAUUUUUAAAGCAGCCUUUUUUAUCCCUCCAUGUUCGCCUUUUGAUGUUUUCGAAUGUUCUCCUGCUUCCUCAGAGUAGUCAGGGUAAUUGGUCCACACGGUGAAGUCAGCGGAUUCACUCUUUUAAUCUGCAUUGUAUUCAAUUAUAUUAGCCAUCUGUCUGUUACUGCUUUUCGGGUAUAUUUUGAUUACAUUUUUGUCGGUUCAAUAUGUUUAUGAUUGGUUAGCAACUGUGAGAAAUAAACUCUCUUGGUGUUCUAGAACCCUUAACUACCUUGUUUUCUAUUUGUCUUCAUUUAACUGGCCAACUGCUGUUGGGUCGACUCUAUUCAGGAUGAUGACUGUUGAGUAAGCGUGGAAUCGUCUUCUUACGCCAGUUCGUAUGUUAAAUUGCGCUAACAUUUUUCAAUGAACUUGCAUGUAAACCAAACAUCAGUAAUGCAGUGCCGACAAUCACGGACUUAUUAAGAAUUCACCAUCAGAAUGAUUCGGGGAAGCGAGUUCUCUUAUUGAUCCUUCCAUUUAAUCUCGCUAGCACCCACGACCUCGUCACUAGGGUUAGUUAGUUUUCCCAUUUGGGACGACUUGUGACUCCUAGAUUUGAUUUGAUUUAUCCUACAUUUUGCGGAUUCAAUUUUAUUUAACACAAAGCGCUUGGGACUUUUUACAAUAUUUGCAGUUGACAUAUAAAAUGUCCAAAUUUUUAUAAUCUUUUGUAAUUGAAAAUAAUUCUUUUACAUUUUCGAAUUUUGAAGGAAAAGUCAUGAGUAGAAAUUAAAGAAAUAAAAAAAAAUUGCCCCAAAAAAGAAGGGGGGUCGUAAGUUACAAUUUCACUAAACUCUGAAAAAAUAAAAUAAUCAAUGAGGUCGUAUUCUAUGAACCAUUCAUUAAAGGAAUAAAUAAUGAUGUGACAUUUGACUUGUCACCUAAAACUCUAUCAAGCGAUAUUUCUGAAAUUACUUCAAAAGUAUUGUAACGUGAUUGAAAAAAUUACAAUUUAAUAAGAACCAUACUUGUGUAAUUGUUACGAUCAAUUUUUAAUACAUUCAUAUGUUAAAUAGAUCUAUGUGAAGAUUGAGUCUUUUCUUUCUCUUCUUUCAGGUGAGUGACGUGAACAAAUUUCUCAGUCUUUGGAGAAACUCUUGUUCGAACCUUAUCAAUGGUACUCUGCUAAGACUAUUUUCUCAGCAUCGGUGCAGUCCAACAGCCGGAAAAUUCGUUCCAUCCCAUCAAUCCAAUGCUCUGCCUCCUCAGGACUUCCCAUUCCAUUAAACUUAAGUGGCUUCAGCUUCAAAAACUGCUCCACUAGUCCUUGAGUACGGCGUUCUACUCCAGGCUGUUGCUGCGCCUGCCUCUCCAUCAGAUUUCCAAUAUUUGCUAAUGCCUGCAGGAUAUCUUCCAUUCGGGGUUCAGCCCUUGCAGUAGAGGCUUCAGCCCUCGAUGGAUGAGCACUUCCAGCUCGCACCAUAACUUUCCUGCAAUUUCCAAGCAUUGCCUCAGGAAUAAUCUGAGACUCACUGCCUCCAUUCAAAGCAAUUACUACUACUACAUAAGUAACAUAUACAUGUUACUGGUACCUAAAGGCAAUUCAAAAUAAACUAUUGGGGAUCUACGAGUGAAUACCCAUCACCCGUUAUUCAAUUAUUUCGUUUUAGAUCCUAUGGUGUGCAUUGUCAUCAUGUUCCUCAAUUCCAAAUGAGGCUCCUUAUCACUCCACCUAUAACCAUUCGCUCUGAUACCAAAAAGGAGCGUUGUAGCACCCCGAACCCUUCGGCGAUCGCCACAAGCUCAGAUGUUACACUUUAUUACCUUUCUUUCUUUCGAACAAGCGUCCUAAUUUGCAGACACUUUUUUUUUUUUAAAACGAUCGGUCCCAACGCGACUCAUAGCGGAAGCAAAUUAAACAUCACCAUCUAUCCCCCUACCAAUCCAUGAUACAAAUACACACCAGCUAAACAUCGGGAUUUUAUAAACAACUUCGACACUUUGCUUACAUACAUAUAUAGCAAGAUGGGAUUCCCUUCGGGUCGGUACAAAACAAGAAAGGCUAGGACUCUACCAUGUCCUGCCUAAAAUCUCAAAAAGAAACCUCGACCCCUAACAUCAUUCAAGCACAAACCCCCCCCCCCCUCAUCGAAAGUGUCGACUAUCUACAUCAAAAAGAGAUCCAGCUCCUACUCAUCGCGCGCAGGUCUCACACCCAACCCGGUGCAUCAGGCGGUGGCGGCGGCAACAUCCCUCGCAUAGCUCCAUCCCGACGAACGUGCACAGAAAUGAACUCCUGAAUGACAGGACCCCCAGCCAGGCCUAUGUCAUACAUCACUAGACAGCGUACUCGAAUAAAAGUCAGUCCGGGAACAGAGGGACAGUCUAUCUCAGCACACUCAACCUCUACAUCGGACGGUAGACCAUAAAACACACCACGCGUGACGGCAGGAAGCGGCAUACUGGCUAAUCUGAAAUGUUAUCCCCAAAAGGGGUGAGUACAACCACUCAGCAGAUAGGGAAAUCCAAUAACAACUCAAUGCAUCAUGCAAAUUACACAUGCAUUACAGGCAUUACUUACCUUGAAGCUAGGCACACACUAUCAUGCAUCAUCGUAUCACAUCACAUAUCAUCAUCAUCAUCAUCAUCAUCAUGCAUAUCAUAUCAUGGGUGAUCAUCAUAUCACAUCGCAUAUCAUCAUCAUCAUCAUCAUGCAUAUCAUCAUGCAUAUCAUGUCAUAUCAUGGGUGAUCAUCAUAUCACAUCACAUAUCAUCAUCAUCAUCAUCAUGCAUAUCAUCAUGCAUAUCAUAUCAUGGGUGAUCAUCAUAUCACAUCGCAUAUCAUCAUCAUCAUCGUCAUGCAUAUCAUGUCAUAUCAUGGGUGAUCAUCAUAUCACAUCACAUAUCAUCAUCAUCAUCAUCAUGCAUAUCAUCAUGCAUAUCAUAUCAUGGGUGAUCAUCAUAUCACAUCACAUAUCAUCAUCAUCAUCAUCAUGCAUAUCAUAUCAUGGGUGAUCAUCAUAUCACAUCACAUAUCAUCAUCAUCAUCAUCAUGCAUAUCAUCAUGCAUAUCAUAUCAUGGGUGAUCAUCAUAUCACAUCACAUAUCAUCAUCAUCAUCAUCAUGCAUAUCAUCAUGCAUAUCAUAUCAUGGGUUCAUUUUUCAUCUUUUAUCUUUAAGUUUGAUCACCACAUCACCCAUUUCUCAUAUCAUCAAUUUCAUCAUCCCUUCGGGCAAAGACCUCCAACAGGGUUCCCAGCAUUCCAGCCAUCCCAUGGCCACCGGGCUUUCGGCCCCCCACAUUCCGGGCAUCUCGCAUCUCAACUAGCAUCACAAGGCAUUCCCUUCGGGCAGAAACCUCCGACAGGGCUUCCAACCUUUACCCUUCUAGCCAGGCAUCCCGCACCCAAAUCCUGGCAUCGCGAGGCAUUCCUUUCGGGCAAAGACCUCCGACAAGGCUUUCGGCCCCCCACAUUCCGGGCAUCCUGAAUCUCCCAGGGAAUUUCGGCAAUGUAUCUAUACAUUCCGGCCAUCAUCCUCCACCACAACCACUUCCUCAUUUACCAUCAUCCACAUAUACCAUUUCUUUAUCUCAAUUUAACAUGGCAAUUGGCAUGGUAUCAAACAAAUAACACUUGACAUGGAAUUCACACUUGCAUCUCAAUUCAUAUGUCAUACACAUGCCAAAACUUUAUCCCAUACACAUCUCAAUCCAAUACAUGUGCAAAGACCUCAUCAUACAUAUGCCACACAAAUAGAAUUGAAUCCAUGGCCAAAAUAAAAAUCCAUUUUAUUUUAUUAUUAUAUUAUUAUUAUAUUAUUAUUAUUUAUUUAUUUAUUUAUUUUAUUAUUUAAUAUCAAUAAAUUCCCAAAAUUACAAAAAUCCAAGAAAUUAUUAAACAAACCCAUAGGAUGAUAUUUACUUGCAAAUUCAUGGCCAAUAUGAAUUGUUUUACCAAAUUCCACAAUUUUCCCAAAACAUCCUAUGAUUCUCGGAUUUAAACCAAAUGCACAGUUUCCGAAUAAAUUCAAUUAAAAUAUCCAUUCGGCCUCCAAAAAUUACGAAAUUUUACAAGGUGAUAUCCAAGACAUUUUCGUGCAUUUUUCAUGAAGAACUCCAAGUCAAAUUCCGUAUAGAUUAUUUUAUUCAACCUCACGAAGCUUCUAGAACCCUUACCGCAUCGUCCAGAAUACACAUCUCCGAAAUAUUAAGAUUUCACCCAUCUAUUAUCUUUAGUUUCUUCUGAAAUUUGGAUAUGUUAUGUAUAAAGGUGUCAUUUACAAGUUUCAUGAAGAGAUCUAGGUCAAAUAACCAAAGUAUGGUCACCAUUUAAGUCCAUCAAGUCUCGGGUGUCUCGGAACACAUCACCAGAAUCAUCGUCUCCAAGAUCUAGCCGAUUUACUAGGCUAUACUGGUUCAUUUCUCUUAAAAUUUGAGUAUGUUGUAGUUUAAGGUGUUACCUAAAACUUUAAUGAAGACAUCGAAGUCAUAUUUUCAUCAAAAACCAACAUGCAACCAAGAAUCCAACAAGAGGUCAGUGAAAACUUCACAGAUCUGAGGUCUCCGUAUAACAAGGCUUUAUCCCCUAAAAUAUCCAUCAUUUUUCACGAAAUUUCAGUAUGUUAUACUACAAGAUGUUAGCUACAACUUCCAUGAAGACAUCGAAGCCAAAAUCGGUUUCCAAACAUACAUGCAAGCUCAAACAAGUUACUGACUCCUACAAACCGAGCAAGAACAGUCACACGGCUUGAAAACAACCAACCCUUACCUCGGUUUUUCUCACAAAUAACACCCAAAAUCGAACAUGGAACCCAUAUACACACAUGCAAGAGAAGUUAUAGGACUCCACUUGCCUCUAAGAUGAACAACGAUGGCGUAUGGACGGCGGGACACGGCGAUCGGACAGCGAACGAACGGCGGCACCCCUCGGCUCCACCUCCUUCCUCUCUCAGUCUCUCCCUUUCUCUCGCGAUUUCUCUCUCUCUCUCACUCUCUCUCUCGGCCAAAUGAAGAAAACCGGCCACUCUCUCUCUCCUCAUCCCCUUUAUACUCCCCUAAUCCCAUGAUUAGUAAUGAUUGAUUUGCCUCAACCAAUGGCCAAUGCAUGGCCUCCUCCUUGCCACUUGUCUUGAUCCAUGCAAGAUGGGCCUUGGAGUUGGGCUUGGGCUUGGGCCCAUCCGGCCACUCCUCCUUGGGCUGGUCGACAGCCUCCUUGUGGGCUCUAAUGGGCCGGCCAACUUGGCCCAUUAGGGUUCCAUUCUUGGGCUUAAGGCCCAAUCAAAUUUUAACCUCUUUUUUUUUUUUUUGAAUUCCUUUCUAUAAUUAUUUCCAAAUUCAAAUUCUAUCUUGGCCAAAGUCUUGGGGCAUUUUAUUUAUUGAAAUUUAAUUUUUAAAGCACAUGGCCAAGCAUAAAUUAUUAAUCUAUCGAAUUUGAAUUUUCACAACCAUAAGCACAAAUCAUCCAAUUAAAAGACUAAUGGCUAAAACAUAAGCCAUGGAAAUUCUAUCACCUAAUUAAAGACUUUAACACACCUUAUAGCUUGGCUUUGAAUUUUUGGGAUGCCACAUGAAUCUAUAUUAAUAAAAUGUGUGUGUGUGUGUGUGUGUGUGUGUGUGUGUGUGUGUGUGUGCAAUUACCUCCAUGAUCCAGUGUUUGAUACUUUAUGAGAUCAUAUUGAUUAUUAAGAAUUAUCUCUAGACCAACAUAAAAGUGCACACAUACAAUGUAAUCUCAAUUAAUAUAUCAAAAGGGGAAGAAUGUAAUAGUUUUCCUAAUGUAUGCUACAUUAAUUAAGAUUGUGAUUUACCAUUUUUAUGAAGUUAGUCUAAUAAAGUAAUAUAUAAAGUUUAUUAGUAGUCAAAUAUGGGUCUGACUUAUGUAGGCUGAGUUGGGCUGGCUUAAGAUGAGAAGGCCCGGCCAAAACUCUAUAAAUAGGCUAAGGUCCCUCCUUAAACCCUCACCUUUUGCUAUUUUGAAAUGUAUGCACCCACUACCUCACAUAAGGAGCGUUUAUGAGAGGCAGUCUCAUCAAGUUAGGGUAUGGAGAGUGAUAGAGGAGAAGAUCUUCAGCAUUGAAAUAUCAAAUUACUGUUGUUCUGCUCCUAGAAUCAUGGAUUCCAAAUCAAGUACACAAAUCUUCAUCUUCUCCUUCAAUAUGUUUGAGUUCCCAGCUAUUUCGAUCUUGAGAAGUUGUUUCGAUGGCCAACACUUUGAUCAUGAACCAGGGUGAGGCAGACUUCAAUUCUCCAGGUUUGGGUGUCAAACCUUUCACGAAGAGCUGGCCUGGAUUUCUUUAACAUGGGGAAAGGGUUGAUAACUGAAGCAUCCGAGUGGAAUGAAAGCCAUUCAAGUGGCUAUUUGAGAAUGGGGCAGAAAGGGGUUGAAUUGGAGGUUCCCGCCGACAUGCUUUGCAAGGCUAGGGAAGUCGGGUUCAAGAAGCCUCAAGCAGCUAGAUCAGGUGAUGAGCCGAUGGAUGAGGUAGCAAUGAUGGAUCAUCGCACAAUGGCAGCUGUAGGAAUUGCAUGUCUUGAUUUGAGAGAAAGGCUAGAAAUACAAAUCGAAUUGGGGCUAAAUUCUUAUAGGGAUGAGGUCUACCCUGAGGAAUCCCGAGUUUUCGGUGAAUCGGUUAAGGAAAACAAGUAUAAAAGUAGGGACACCGAGAGCUACAAACAGGAGGCUCCAAUCAAUGCAUCUCAAGGGAUUGAAGGGAGUCCUCGAGAGCAUGAAAGGACAACUCAGAGAAGGUGAACAAGCAGUAUGCUCGAUAAGUUUCAUAAGAUCAGAUAUGUUAGUGGAUCCAUUGAGAAAAGACUUUCACCCUUGUGUAUUUAAGCGACAUGUCAUGAACAUGAGCUUGGGAGAAUCAUUGGCUACUGUCAUUUAGUGGGAGCUACUUCAGAUUUGCUCUAAUAAAGUUUACAUCUGUGUUUUGUUACAUUUGGUAGUAUUUUGAUAUAUGGCAACUCUUUUAGUAUGGAUUAUUAUUGAGUUGUAUACAUAUAUCAAAUGAAAAUCUCAGAGUAUUAUGUAAACCUUGAGUGAAGGCUAAAGGCCUCCAGUUAUUAGCGUUGUACAUAUGUCUAAUUACACAUAAAGAAAGGUUAAUCAUAAAUAUAAAAAAUAUGUGGGUUCAUUAGAACCAUGAAGAUAUUCUCUAGUGACACAUCCAAUUUUCUACGAUACCUAAGGUAAGAGAAUAAUGACAGACAAAGAGGAUAACAUAUAAGUUAUUAUUCUUCAUGAAGUGUUAUCUACCAUAUGAAUCCAUAUUAGUAAAGUUGAAAGCACUUGUGAUCAUGAAAAGCUCUGUGUAUGUAUAUGCAUUUACCUCCAUGAUCCGAUGUUUGAUGCUUUAUGGGAUCGGAUUUAUUGUUAAGAAUUAUCUCUAGACUAACAUAAACGUGCGCACAUACAAUGCAAUCUCAAUUAAUAUAGCCAAAGUGAGAGAAUGUAAGAGUUUUCCUAAUGUGGGUUACAUUAAUUAAGAUUGUAAUUUACCGUUUUUACGAAGUUAGUCUAAUAAAGUAAUAGAUAAAGUUUCUUAGCGGUCGAAUAUGGGUCUAGUUUAUGUAGGCUGAGUUAGGCUAGCUUAAGAUGAGAAGGCCUGGCCACAACUCUAUAAAUAGGCUAAGAUCCUUCUUUUAACCCUCACUUUUUGUCAUUUUGAAACGUUUGCACCCCUACCUCACAUAAGAAAGGCACUCUCAUUGAGCUAAGGUAUGGAGGGUGAUAGAGGAGAAGAUCUUCAACAUCGAAGUAUUAGAUUGCCGUUGUUCUGCUCCUAGAAUCAUGGAUAACAAAUCAGGUAUGCAAAUCCUCAUCUUCACCUUUUAUAUGUUCGAGUUCUUAGUUAAGUCAAUCUUGAUAAGUCGUUUCAACGGCCAACAUUUUGAUCAUGAACCAAGAUGAGGCAAACUUCAAUUCCCCAAGUUUAGGUGUCAAACCUUUCACAAAGAGCUGGCCUGGAUUUCUUGAUGUGGGGAAAGGGCUAAUAAUUGAAGCAUCUAAGUGGAAUGAAAGCCAUUCAAGUGGCUAUUUCAAAAUGGGGUGGAAAGGGGUCGAAUUGGAGGUUCUCGCUAACAUGCUUUGCGGGGCUAGGGAAGUCAGGCUCAAGAAGCCUCAAGCAACUAGAUCAAGUGAUGAGUCGAUGGAUGAGGCGGCAAUGAUGGAUCGUGGCACGAUGGGAACUGCAAGAAUUGCAAGUCCUAAUUUGAGAGGAAGGCUAGAAAUACGGAUCGAACUGGGGCUAAAUUUGUACAGAGAUGAGGUCUGCACUGAGGAAUCCCGAGUUUUUGGUGAACCGAUUGAGGAAAACAAGUAUAAAAGCAGGGACGCCAAGAGCUACAAACAGGAGGCUCCAAUCAAUGCUUCUCAAGGGAUUGAAAGGAGUUAUGGCUACACCAACCUCGAGAGCAUCAAAGGACGACUCAGGGAAGGUGAACAAGCAGUAUGCUCGAUAAGCUGCAUAAGAUCAGAUAACGGAAAUGCAACCAAUAUCAGCAUUCGACGCCGGCCAAGAAUUAUAUAUUUCUAAAGCAACCUUUAUUAUCCCUCCAUGUUGUUUCUUUUGAUGGUUUCGAGUGGUCUCCUAAUCCCCAUAAUAGUUAGGAUAAUUGGUUUACAUGGUAAAGUCAACUGAUUCACUCUGGCUCUAUUUGUUUUACGAAGAAUAGAUGAUUUUAAAAAUAUUUUCCUAAAAUGAUAGUUUGUAUCACUUGAAGUAACCAGUCAAUUUAAAAUAUUUUCAUCAUCAACCACAAUGUAUGACUAAAUAUCUUUGUAGACGAUGAAAAUGUUUUUCGUUAAUCUAUUUUUGUGAGGGUCUCCCCAUUAGGUAUAGGAUGCCUCAUAGGGGCAUUGAGAUGACUGUGUAGGAUCCUCAUAGGGUGUGGCACCCCUCGACACGGCCCCUGAUCCGCUAGGGUCACCACAGCCUAUUCACCUAUCACUUGUCCUAAUAACAUUCCACUAUGAUACCAUUUUAAUUGCAGCGGGUCCAUACAACCUGGGGGUUUACAUCUUUUAGAUCGGUCCCAGCGCAGUUCAUAUGACAGAAGCAUACUCAACAUCUCCCUAACCCGUACACAAACUAAAUAAUAUGAUGCAAUACAUACCAACUACAACCUUUCACAUAUAUAUGCAUUUUAUGGCCAAAUCACUUUUAUUUACAUACUAAGAUGGAUUUCACAAGUCGGUACAACAAAAAGGGCCAAGACUAACUAAGCUCGACUAAACUCAAAAAGAAACCCGACCAUACAUCAGAUGUGAACAUCUAUCCAUCAGCUAGUGUCGGCCAUCCUAAAAAGUGUUAACCUCCACUAGUCACACGCUCCUAUCACACCCAUCCUGGUGCAUUGGCUGGCGGCGGUGGCAUCAUCCCCAUCAUCCUCCCAUCUCUACGAUCAUGGACAAACAAAAACUCUUGUACAACGGGACCAUCAGGUAAGCCCACAUCGUACAUGACCAGAACACGGACGCGGAUAAACACCAAACCAUGAACACCGACGCAAGGGUGCUCCGAGCACUCGACCUCGACAUCAUACGAUAUCCAUAAAAUGUAUCGCGCGUGACAGGUGUUAGAGGCAUCUUUCAAUCUAAAAUGUUAGUCUCCAAAGGGGUGAGUACAACCGCUCAGUAGCAAAGAUCCACCAAACUACACAAUGCAACAAGCAAGGCAAUCAAGAUAUCACGAGUAAAGCACAUAUCAUCCAUGCUAUCAAGCAUACAUCACCAUGCAGUCGUGCAUAUAUCACUGUGCAGUCAUGCAUAUCUCACCAUGCCAUCGUACAUAUAUCACCAUGCAGUCAUGCAUAUCUCACCAUACCAUCAUGCAUAUAUCACCAUGAUUCAUAUCAUCCAUGCUAUCAUGUAUAUACAUCCCCAUGAGAUCCAUUCAAGCCUUCAUGAUCGCAUUCUCAAUGUCAAAUAGCAUCAAUUUACUUUUAUAAGCAAAUCAUGCAUCAUGCCAUAUGCAUACACCCAUGCACAUGAUUCAAUUUCAAUAUUUAUCUUUCACAAGGAUCUCAUUAUUUUUCAUUUAGGGACCAAUGUUUGCAUCCCUCAAAUUAUCGCUUGCACCCAACCUGGCAUUGCGAGGAGCCUUCGGCACAAACCUCCAGGCAUCCGACACAAACCUCCGAGCAUCUCGCACCCCAACUAGCAUCACGAGGAAUCCCCCCCAGCACAAACCUCCAGGGCUUCUGAAAUUACGUACCACCAUACUACCAAGUAUUCCCCCUGGACAUUACGUACCAUAUAUCACCAGGCAUCUCAAAACUCCCAAGGACCUCCGGGCAUGUAUUCAUAAUACAACCAGGCAUCCGGCUCAAACCUUCGGGAAUCCCGACACUCCUAGGGCAUCGUCGGCUCACACCUCCGACGGUCUCAUUAUUAUUACAAUUUAUGAUCACAUAUAUGUCUUACUUUCAACAUGACAUUUGAUGCAAUAAUAUCAAAGGUCUCAACCAACUUUUGAUGUCAUAUGAUAUGCCCAAAUAUCACCAUAUAUGCAGUACUAGCUUCUUCAAAGAAAAAUGGUUUCACCGACCUAUACUUGUUUGUUUCCUCUCAUUUUUUAGUAUGUUAAUCAUCAAGAAGUCCUCUACAACUUUCAUCAAGAAGUUGAAGUCAGAUUCCAACUAGAACAUCGCAUGCAACUCACGAAAUCACCAAAGGUCGGAUUGUUUUUCGAGGAACAAAACACUAAGCUAGAACACAACUCCUAUAACUUCAAAAUUUCUCACCUCAACCACAUCCGAAAUUCACCAUUCAUCACACACAAACACAUCAAGCAAAGGGUAGAUCAAUGGACUCUACUUGCCUCUAAUCCAAGCAAAACACAGCAAGCACAUGGCAGGGUAAGGCGGCUCGACGGCGGGACUCGGCGCACGCACAGUAGUGAUGGUUCUCCUUCUUCCUUUCUCUCUUCCUCUCUUUCUCUCCUUCUCGCGCAUGACAACUCUCUCUCUCUCUCUCUCUCUCUCUCUCUCUCUCUCUCUCUCUCUCUCUCUCUCUCUCUCUCUCUCUCUCUCUCUCGGUCGAAAACCCUCUCUCUCAAUCCGCCUCUCCUCUUUUCUUUCCCCUUCAUCAUUGGCAAUCAUUUGAUUUUACAUGGCUCCUUACACUUGGCUACAACGGACUAACACUUGGCAAGCUUCUCUUGCCACUUGGGGAUUUGCAUGUAGGUUGAUGGGCCUCUCUUUGGGCCGGGCCUCUCCCUCCAUCCGGUCAAUGACAGCCCUCUCCCUUUGGGCUCGCGGGCUAGACCUUAAUGGCCGAACGGUGGGGCUCUUGUGGACUGGUCUUGGCCUUAUAAUUUCAGCCCACUCCUUCUCUUAAUCUACUCUAAAUCACCACUUAUAUAAAUACCUAAUUGAAAUUUAUAAAACCAUAAAACUUGCAACAUAAAUUAAUAAAAUCCAACCUAUAAAUCACAUGGCCAAGAAUAGAAUUUUCUUAUCAAUUAAUUAUCCAUCAAAAGCUCGGCCUUAAUCUUAUUGCAAAUCAUGGGUCAAAUGGCUUCAAUAUACAUUGAUGGUACUUCCAUCACCUAUCCAUGGCUCAUAACAUAUCUAGGGAUUGUCAUGAAAUUCUAGGAUGCCACAUAAGGGUCUUGAGAUGACUGUGCAAGAUCGUCUGUGUCUGCCAUUUCCUGCUCUUGUGAUGGAGGUGUCCUUGCUUUGUCAUAUACUUGUUUGAAUUCCUCAAUUGCUUCUUUAGUUUCUGGUGCAAAGCUAUAAUGAUUCCACGGAACAAGCAUGAAGUCAUUCUUAAAAAAGCAUUUUUCAAAUUAUUCAUUUUUUGCUGAACAAAUGCACCCUAUUAUACACUAUAUUCAAUAAUAUCACCAUCUGUCUAUUGCUACUUUUUGGGUAUAUUUUUGUUAUGUUUUUUGUCAGGUUAAUAUGUUUAUGAUUGAUUAGCAACUCCGAGAAAUAGACUCUCUUGGUGUUCUAGAACAGUUAUCUUCCUCGUUUUUAUGUUUGCAUUUUGUAAGUGGCGAACUAUUGUUAGGUUGAACUCUAUUUAGGAUCAUGAAAUUGACUUAUAAUACCAAUUCAUAUGUUAAUUUGCACCUACACUUUUCAUUAAACUUGCAUAUGAAAAAAACAAUAGUAACGUAGUGCAAACAAUUCUGGACUUACUAACAAUUGAAGCAAUUUCACUUCUUGAUCUUCCCAUCUAAUCUCGUCAGUAGACUCGACCUUGAUUUUAGGGUUGAUUAAUUUCCCUCUUCGGGGUGACUUGUGACUCCUAUCAUAUAUUUUUUGAUUUCCUGUAACUUGUAUGGAGCUCGGACUUUAAUUUUAUUUAAUAUAAUGCACUUGAGACUUUUCAAGAUAUUUUGACGUAAUUCUUUUUUAAAUCAAAAAUGGCUUUUUUACCUUUCGAAUUGUGAAGGAAAAGUUUGAGUAGGAAUUGAAAGGAAAACAAACAAAUUUGCCUCACAAAAGGGGUCUUAAGAUACCAUUUCACUUGACUCUAAAAAAAUUAUUUUAUGAAAUCACAGUUUAUAAAGCAUUCAUCAUAAAACUAAAUAAUGAUGUGGAAUUUAACUACUCACCUAGUACUCCAUCAAGGGCCUUUCUGACAAUAUUUCAAAAGUAUCAUAACAUGAUGGUAUAAAUUUAACAAUUUACUAUGAAACAUAUACUUUUAAUAGAUUCAAAUGUUACAUCUUCUUAUUGUUCCUCUAUCCUUGGACAUAGUCUUACCUGAGCCCAAGCCACUAAUCAUUAGGGGUGAACAUCGGUCUAGGGUCAAUCCUAGACUGACCCUGGACCAGCCCAACCAUGCCAAGCUUGGUCUAGUUCCCAGGGAGACUAGGUCAAUUCUUAGUCCUAGAAUUCCUGGACCAGCACUGUGUGGGUUGGUCCUCAGUCCUAGGAGUUCAAGGUCGGUCUAACCCGGACCAACCCUAUAUAUAUAUAUAGAUAUAUUAUUUAUAACUUUUUUAUAUAGAGAAAACCUUAAAAUAAACAACGUCAACAACAUUAAAUAGCUAUUUAGUGAGGAAUUCAAGCAAUUUUACAUUGUUCUUUAAUGACUUAGAUUUCUAAUGUCUUUUACGGUGUCAAUAGUCAUAAUUUAUGAAGGAAUAAAAUUUUGUUAUAAGGAGUCCUCACAGUGUCCAAAAUGGCAUAAACAACUCUUUAUGGCAUCUUCCUCUAGUACUCAUUCUCUUCUAGUUUAUUUGUCCUCUUAGUCUUCAAUUUGCCAAAAUUGAAAGAAACAACUUCUCUGCUCACCACUUGACACUCGCCGCACUCGCUUUGGGUCACCCAUGUUGCUCACUGCUCGAUGCUCGCUUGGCUUAUUGCUCUCUGCUCGACACUCGAUGCUCACUUUGUUCGACACUCAUCCCACUCAACCCUCACCGCUUGCCUUUCUUAGUUGACCUCGCUCGUCAUCAAACCCAUUGGGUCGGUCCAGUCAUCGGCUAUCCUUUCAAGAAGUACAAAAAAUGAAAUAAAAAAUUAUUAGUUGGUCCCGAGUUGACCCUGGAACCGGACUGAACCCAUUGGAUCAAUCCGGUCCUCAAUCGCUUUUUUAAAAAGUACAAAAAAUUAAAUAAAAAAUUAUUGGUUGGUCCUCGGUCCCAAGGUAAAUAAGGUCGGUCCUCGAUCCCAAAAAUUGAAGACUAGUACUAUGCGGGUUGGUUCUAAGGUUAGGGGGUGGACUGACCCAAUCUAGACCAUACUCACCCCUACUAAUCAUGUGGGAUUUAUAUACAGGGCUCAUAUGUGGACUUACGUCCACGCAUCAAAUGUUCCCACCAUUACAGUGCUUUGUGCAUGUAAUGACACCUAAUUGAAAAUUAAUAUGUAAUUUUUUUUGUCAAAAAUCCAUAAUCAAAUGACUGAGAUAUAGUAUACCCUAAUUUUUUUGUUUGUUGCGGUACUUGGAAAAUGAGUGGUGUAAUUUCUUUAGCCUUAUCCUUCUUAGUUGUUUUGUUUAGGGGUGAGCAUCGAUCCAAGGUCAACCCUGGACCAACCUUAAACCAACCCAACCCUGCCAGUCCUAAUCCGAUUCCUAAGGAAACUAGGUCGGUCAUUGGACCUAGAAUUUUUGGACCAGCACUGUGCGAGUCAGUUCUCGGUCUUGAGAGUUUCGAGUCGGUCCGACCUGAACCAACCUUGACUAUAUAUAGAUAUAUAUAAUUUAUAUAAUUUUUUUAUAUAGAGAAAACCUUAAAAUCAAUAGCGUCAACAACAUUAAAUAACUUAUUAGUGAGGAAUUCAAGUAAUUUUACAUUAUUCUUUACUAACUUAGAUUUUUAAUGUCUUUUACAGUGUCAAUAGUCAUAAUUUACGAAUGAGGAAAAUGUUUUUGUGAGGAGUCCUCAUGGCAUCCAAAAAGGAAUAAACAGCUCCUUAUGGCAUCCUCCUAUAGUAUUCGUUAUCUUCUAUCUUAUUUGUCCCAUUAGUCUUCAAUUUGCCAAAAUCGAAAGAAACAACUUCUCUGCUCACUACUCAACACUCGCCUCGCUCGCUUUGGGUCAUUUGUGCCGCUCGCCGCUCAAUACUCGCUUGGCUUGUUGCUCCCCGCUUGACAUUCGAUGCUCAUUCUGUUCGAUACUCACCCCACUUGACCCUCACUGCUUCCUUUCUUAGCUAACCUCGCUCAUCAUCGAACCCUUUGGUCGGUAUGUAACACACUCAAAUUUCAGAGGAAACGAAAGAGAAUAGAGGGGUGAAAUCUAAAAAUUUCGAAGAAGUGUAUUCUGGACGACGCGGUAGUGGUUCCAGAAGUUUCGUGGGGUUGUAUAAAUUAAUCUAAAAAGAAUUUGGCUUAGAGUUCUUCAUAAAAAGUGCACGAAAAUUUGUUGGCUAUCACCCUGUAAAUUUUCGUAAUUUUUGGAGGCCAUAUGAGUAUUUUAAUCGAAUUUAUUUGGAAACUGUGCAAUUCUGGUCAUUAUCCAAAUAUCAUGUGCUAUUUUGUGAAAAUUGUGAAAUUAUGUGAAAUUCAAUUUGGCCAUGAAUUUUGUAUGAAAUUGUGAUCCUAUUGAUUUUUUUAGUGAUUGUUUGAAUAUUAUGAUUUUGGGAAAAUCAUAAAUAUUAAAUGUAAUAUUUAUUUAUGAAAAUAAAUAAAUAAAAAUAAUAAAAUAAUAAUAAAAUAAAGGUGGAUUAUUUUAUUGGCCAUGAAUUCUAUUGAAUUUAUUAUGCAUUGUUAUAUGACAUUGGUGUAUGUAUGAUCAUGAAUUGUGAUGCAUGUGUGAAUCAUAUGCCAUGUAAUAAUGAGAAUAAAUGGAUGAUGCGGAAAGUGAUAUGUGAGUAAGAGGUUGUGGUGGAGGAUGUGGCCGGAAUGUACAGAGAUGCAUUGCUGGAAUUCCCUGGGAGAUUCAGGAUGCCCGGAAUGUGGGGGGCCGGAAGCCUUGUCGGAGGUUUUUGCCCGAAAGGAACGCCUCGCGAUGCCAGGAGUUGGGUGCGGGAUGCCUGGCUAGAAGGGUAAAGGCCGGAAGCCCUGUCGGAGGUUUCUACCUGAAGGGAAUGCCUCGUGAUGCUAGUUGAGAUGCGAGAUGCCCGGAAUGUGGGGGGCCGAAAGCCCAGUGGCCAUGGGAUGGCUGAGUUUGCCGGGAGCCCUGUCGGAGGUUUCUGCCCGAAGGGUUGAUGAUGAGAUUGAUGAAUGGGUGAUGUGGUGAUCAAAAUUGAAAGAUAAAGAUGAAAAUUAAACCGUGAUAUGAUAUGCAUGAUGAUAUGCAUGAUGAUGAUGAUGAUGAUGAGAUGUGAUGUGAUAUGAUGAUCACCUAUGAUAAUAUAUGCAUGAUGAUGCAUAAUGAUGAUGAGAUGUGAUGUGAUAUGAUGAUCACCUAUGAUAAUAUAUGCAUGAUGAUGCAUGAUGAUGAUGAGAUGUGAUGUGAUGUGAUGAUCACCCAUGGUAUGAUAUGCAUGAUGAUAUAUGCAUGAUAUGCAUGAUGAUGAUGAUAUAUGCAUGAUAUGCAAGAUGAUAUAUGCAUGAUGAUGAUGAUGAUGAUGAUGAUGAUGAGAUGUGAUGUGAUAUGAUGAUCACCUAUGAUAAUAUAUGCAUGAUGAUGCAUAAUGAUGAUGAGAUGUGAUGUGAUAUGAUGAUCACCCAUGAUAUGAUAUGCAUGAUGAUAGAUGCAUGAUGAUGAUGAUAUAUGCAUGAUGAUGAUGAGAUGUGAUGUGAUAUGAUGAUCACCUAUGAUAUGGUAUGCAUGAUGAUAUGCAUGAUGAUAUGUAUGAUGAUAUGCAUGAUGCAUUGGGUUGUUAUUGGAUUUCCCUAUCUGCUGAGUGGUUGUACUCACCCCUUUUGGGGAUAACAUUUAAGAUUAGCCAAUAUGCCGCUUCCUGCCGUCUCGCGGGGGGUAUUCUAUGGUCUACCGUCUGAUGUAGAGGUUGAGUGUGCGGAGAUAGAUUGUCCCUCUGUUCCCAGACUGACUUUUAUCCGAGUGCGAUGUCUAGUAAUGUAUGAUAUCGGCCUGGCUGGGGGCCCUGUCAUACAAGAGUUCAUUUCUGUGCACGUUCGACAGGAUGGAGCUAUGCGAGGGAUGCUGCCGCCGCCACCACCUGAUGCACCGGGUUGGAUGUGAGACCUGCGCGCGACGAGUAGGAGCUGGAUCUCUUUUUGAUGUAGAUAAUCGACACUUUCGAUGGGGGGUUUUUGUGCUCGCAUGAUGUUGAGGGUCGAGAGUCUCCUUUUGAGGUUUUAGGCUGGACAUGGCUGAGUCCUAGCUUUUCCUUGUUUUGUAUCGACCCAAAGGGAAUCCCAUCUUGCUAUAUAUAUAUAUAUAUGUAAACAAAGUGUCGAAGUUGUUUAUAAAAUCCUGAUGUUUAGCUGGUGUGUAUUUGUAUCAUGGAUUGGUAGGGGGAUAGAUGGUGAUGUUUAAAUUGCUUCCGCUAUGAGUCACGUUGGGGACCGAUCGUUUUAAAAAAAAAAAAAUGUGUCUGCAAAUUAGGACGCUUGUUUCGAAAGAAAAAAAAAAGAAAGGUAUUAAAGUGUAACAUCGGCGCUGGUGAUGACCUGCGAAGGGUUCGGGGUGUCACACCAGCGACCCCGGCCAACCCUCCCCACUCCGUCGCCGGCAGUUCCCGGUGGCCGGGGGGAGGUGGCGAGGGCCUGUGAGCCCUCGCCGGAUCUGGGCGAGGGUCGCGACCCUCGCCCCAGAUCUGGGGGAGGGCUCGCAUGGGGCGAGGGUUGUGGGCCCUCGUCGCCUCCCCGCUGCCGCCGGAAAGGGCCGGCGAUGGAGUGGGGAGGGUCAGCCGGGGUCGCCGGGCCCUAGCCAGGGGCCGGCGAGGCCGGACCCUCGCCCCAGAUCUGGCAAGGGCUCGCAGCCCUCGCCGCCGGUCAGCUGGGGGUCGGCAACCCCGGCCGACCCUCCCCCCUCCGUCGCUGCCCUUCCCGGCGACGGCAGGGAGGCAAUGGCGGCGAGGGCUCAACCCUCAGCCGCCCCCUUCGACCUCCUCCCCCUCCCCCAUUUUUUAAUUUUUCUUAAUUUUUUGAAUAUUUUAAAUAAAAUUAAGUUUAAAUUUAAUUUAAUUAAUUUUUAUAUUAUUAUUUACACGUCAGACGUGAAACGGCAUCGUUUUUGCAUUUUCUCACCACGUCAGCGUGCAAAACGACGCCGUUUUGGACCAAAAUCACCGGAAAAUUGCCACGUCAGCCAUUUAGCCGGAUUUUCGUCGAAGUGGCACUUAAGUGUUCCAUUUUACUCCGAUAUUGGCAUUUAAGUAUACCAUUUCAAAGUUAUGGCACUUAAGUGUCCCUCCAUGCCAAGUUAUGGCACUCCAGGUGUCCCAACCUCCUUAUCCUUCUUAGUUGUUUUUUUAGGGGUGAGCAUCAAUCCAGGGUCAACCCUGGACCAACCUUGGACCGGCCCAACCCUACCGGUCUUGGUCUGGUUCCUAGGGAAACUAGGUCGGUUAUUGGUCAUAGAAUUCUUGGAUCAGCAUUGUGCGGGUCAUUUCUCAGUCCUGAAAGUUUCAGGUCAGUCCAACCCGGACCAACCCUGACUAUAUAUAUCUAAUAUAUUAUUUAUAAUUUUUUUAUAUAAAGAAAGCCUUAAAAUAAAUAGUGUCAAAGACAUUAAAUAGCUUAUUAGUAAGGAGUUCAAGUAAUUUUACAUUAUUCUUUACUAACUUAGAUUUUUAAUGUCUUUUACAGUGUCAAUAGUCAUAAUUUACGAAAGAGGAAAAUGUUUUUGUGAGGAGUCCUCAUGGCUUUCAAAAAGAAAUAAACAGUUCCUUAUGGCAUCCUCCUCUAGUAUUCGUUCUCUUCUAUCUUAUUUGUCAUCUUCUAUCUUAUCUGUCCUCUUAGUCUUCAAUUUGCCAAAAUCGAAAUAAACAACUUCUCCGCUCGCUACUUGACACUCGUCUCACUCACUUUAGGUCAUUCGUGCCGCUCGCCGCUCAAUGUUCGCUUGGCUUGUUACUCUCUGCUUGACAUUCGAUACUCAUUUUAUUCGACACUCACCCCACUUGACCCUCACUGCUUCCUUUCUUAGCUAACCUCGCUCAUCAUCGAACCCUUUCGGUAUGGUCCUCGGUUGCCCUUUCAAGAAAUACAAAAAAUGAAAUAAAAAAUUAUUUGUUGAUCUUAGGUUGACCUAGAAAUCGGACUGAACCCAUUGGUUCAAUCCGGUCUUCAAUCGCUUUUUUAAGGAGUAGAAAAAAUGAAAUAAAAAAUUAUAGUUUGGUCCCGGGCUAACCCUGAAAAAAUAAAAGUUAUCGCCAGAGGCAAUUAAGUGGUCCUCCAAUUAGACACUUAAAUGAGCCGACGAAAACUUUUGACACUACAGUGAGCACCAUAUACAACUUUUGACACAUCUAGUAUCCAAAGACAAAUAUAUGUUGGAUUGAGGCUAUUUCAGCUGCCAAACAUGGCAUUACCCGUUUGAGAGAGCGAGCAACAACAAAGGAAUGACAACCAACAAAUCAGUCAUCAUAUACAAAUUCACUCAUUCUCACUCGUAUUUGCACAUUUAAAAACUCCAGAGAGAGAUGUUCGAAGCCCCUACUCCUUCGUGAGCUUUAUGAUUCCUCUUCUUCCUCUGUAGCCUUCUCUCUCUCGCGUUCGCUCGUUCUCUGGUGAGAAAGAGUCUCGACCUUUCAGAGUUUAGACAAACUGUCCGCAUUUUCUCUCUUCGAUAUCAUUCUGUUUUUUUUUUUUUCUUUGCUGUUUUCGUGAUUGGAUGGCGACCGGAGAGAAUCUGAAGAGAGUAUAUCCGUGCAGACUCUGCGAUAGGAUCUAUUCUAGCGGACCAAUGUUGGGAGGUCACAUGAGGUGUCACAUGGCCAUGAAUCUACCGGAGAGAGAGCUGCCGUUGGUGAUCGAUAACAGCUCGCCAGAUGAGCGACGUCUUGGGUAUUGUCUCCGAGAAAACCCCAAAAAGACGUGGAAAUUCUCAAAGCUGAAGGAAAGUGCCCAGGAAAAGCCGUGGCCGGUCUGUGACAAGCGGUUCAGGUCGAUGAGGGCUUUUUUUUCCCACAUGAAGAUUCACUCGGGAAAGGAUGACGAGAGCGGUGACCGGUGCGAAGGCCGCGGCAAAGGGUCCAGGUCAAUGAAAUUUUACCAGGAUCACACAAGGCCAAUUCAUGACAGGGAGAGAUUGAAUUUGAGUCUCUUGAAUGAAGAUCACUUUGUGGGCUCGAGCAAGACCAAGAGUGAUCUCCUGCUCAUCGUUUAAUCUGACGACGAGACAAUGCGCGUGACCAGGAGAAAGAGAACACCACGAAUCGAGUAUGAUGUCGAUGAAAGAACUGAGGGAAUACUGUUUUCGGCACCAAAGGGGUCUUCGUACAGUAGCAAGGCCGAACAAGACCAGGAAACCGUAGGAGCAAUUUCUUUGAUGAUGCUGUCCCAAGGUGAGACGGACUUUAAUUCUCCAGGUUUGACCGUCAAACCUUUCGGGAAGGGCUUGACCCCGAAUUUCUUUGACGUGGAGAAAGAGAAAGUGGGUAACCGAAACAUCCGAGAGCAAUGAAACCAUUCAAGUGGCUAUUUGAGAAUGGAGCGGGAAGGGGUCGAAAGGGAGGUUCCCGCCGGCAUACUUUAUGGGGCUAGGGCAGUUGGGCUAAGAAGCCUAAAGUAGCCAGGUCAGGCAAUGUAUGAGGCGGCGAUAAUGGAUGGUAACGUGAUGGGAGGUUCUGGGUCGAGAGAAAGGGCAGAACUAUGGAUCGAAGUGGGGCUAAAUUCGUACAAAGAUAAGGUCUGCGUUCAGGAAUCCCAAGCUCUUGGUGAAUCGGUUGAGAAAAACAACCUGAGAGCUACAAACAGGAGGCUCCAGUCGAUGCUUCUCAGGGGAUUAAAGGGAGUCGUGGCUGCACAGAACUCAAGAGCAUCAAUGACGACUCGGGGAAGUUGAACAGGCAGGUAUGCUCGACGAGUUGCGCGAGAUCGGAUAACGGAGCUGCACCCAAUAUUGGCGUUUGACGCUGGCCAAGGACCCUAUCUUCUAAAGCAGCCGUUUUUAUCCCUCCUUGUUCAUUCUUUUGAUGAUUUCGAUUGUUCUCCUACUUCCCCGGAGUAGUCAGCGUAAUCGGUCCCCAUGGUGAAGUCAGCGGAUUCUCUUUCAUUCUACAUCGUAUUCAAUAGUAUUACCCCUUUGUCUGUUGCUGUUUUCUUGGAAUAUUUUCAUUGCACUUUUUGUCGGGUCAAUAUGUUUAUGAUUGAUUAGCAACUCUAAGAAAUACUCUCUUGGUGUUCUACAACAAUUAACUACUUUGUUUUUCUAUAUGUAUCUACAUUUUAUAAGUGGUGAACUGUUGUUGGGUCAAACUCUAUUAAGGAUAAUGGCUAUCAUGUAAGUGGGGAAUUCGACUUCAAAUACUAAUUCGUAUGUUAGGUUGCACCGACACUUUUCAUUUAACUUGCGUAUGAACAAAGCAAAAGUAACGCAUUGCAGAUGGUUCCAGACUUGUUAACAACGGAAGCGAGUUCUCUUCUUGAUAUUCCCAUCUAAUCUCAUCAGCACACUUGACCUUGAUUCUAGGGUUGAUUAGUUUUCUUAUUUAGGGUGACUUGUGACUCCUAUCAUAUAUUAUUUGAUUUCUAAGUUUUAUGGAGCUCGGACUUUAAUUUUUAUUUAACACAAAGCAUUUGAGACAUUUCAAAAGAUUUAGACAUAUAAUGCUUUUUUUGAAAUUGAAAAUGACUUUUUAUCUUUUCAAAUUUUGAAGGAAAAGUCACGAGUAGAAAUUAAAAGGGGAAAAAAAAUCUGCCCAAAAAAGGGGUCUUGAGUGUCAAUUUCACCAGACUAUUAAAAAAAUAUAUCACGAUGUCAUAGUUUAUAAACCAUUUAUCAUAAAAGUAAAUAAUGACAUGGAACUUAAUUUGUCACCUAGUACUCCAUCAAGGGACCUUUCUUACAUUAUUUUAAAAGUAUUAUAACAUGAUUGAAUAAAUUGAACCAUUUACUAUGAAGCAAACACUUCUAAUAAAUUCAAAUGUUAAAUAGAUGUAUUUGAAGAUUAAGUCCUUCCCACCUCUUUUUUCGAAUUGAGUGCCACAAACUUCUUAUGAUUCCUGUAUCCUUGGAGAUACUACCACUUGAACAUAGGCCGUCAAUCAUGUGGCAUUCAUAUACGGGGCUCAUAUGAUUAACAGUUAUGAUAGAUACGAUCGAUGUAGAUUUACAUCCAUGAAUCAAAUGGUCCUGCCAUUAUGAUGCUUUAUGCAUGCUCAAACACCUAAUUGAAAAUUAAUCUAGAUUUUUUUUCUCAAAAAUCCGUCAUCGAAUGACUGACAUAUAGAACAUCCUAAUUUUGUUGUUGUUGUUUUUUUUUUUUUUUUGGUACUUGGAAGAUGAGUUGUCUAAUUUGUUUAGCCUUAUCCUUCUUAGUUGCUUUGUUCAUGUUCUCCAACUAUCAUACUUGGUAAACUUUUGCCAGAUUUGGUGCUCCAACGCCCAAUAGGAAUGAAAAAUUUGGCUAGACUCGUCCUAUUAUUACAUUGCCGCAACACGCGGUGCCUAGUAUCCACCAUUUACGGCUAGGUGAUUAUAUACAUACUCAUACUUAUUACCCAAUAGAGAAUGGAGUCUCGAAAUGGCAAAUUCUCCGGAUCACUUACUAUAUUCUCAAAAGGAUUUUCCUGUUAAGCACCUGAAUAAAGAAUAUUUGUUGUUUUCCAUGCGCUUUCUAUCUUGGAUAAGAUGCAAACAAUGCAUAGAAAAUGAAAAUAUUUCCUUAUCAAGUAGGCCACCAAAACCUUCUCAAAAUUCGUUUUCUCCUAUCUGAGCCAAUGUGUUUGGACCAGCACUUUUUCUAAAUCGCAUAAAGUUCAUCAUUGAUCAAUUGAUGUUGCUAAGAGAAGCAUACUUGUUUUUUGAAGGAUAAAUCCUAAUAAAAUUUCGUGAUCCUCGAAAUUAUUUGUAUAAUUUUUUUUCUCAUAAAAUCCCAAAUAUUAAGGUGAACAAAGGAUUAAAAAAAAAAACAAAAGAGGAAAAUGAUUAUGCUGGAAUAUGAAGAGCUUUUUUUUUUUCUUCCAAGUUCCAGGCGUAGGACUAUUCCAGCUGCCAAACAUGGCAAUACCGGUUUGAGAGAGCGCGCAACGAACAACUAAUCCAUCGUCAUAUAGAAGCCCACUCACUCUCAUAUUUGCACAUUCAAAAACCCCUGCUUCUUCGUCGUCUGCUUUCUGAUUCCUCUGCUUCCUCUCUGCCCUUCUCUCUCUCUCUCUCUCUCUCUCGGUGAGGGAGAAAUUCUCGACCUUUCUGAGUUUCUACCAACUGUUUGCGUUUUCUCUCUUCAAUUUCGCUCUGUUUUUCUGCUUUUUUCGUGAUUCGGUGAUUAUCGGAGAGAAUCCCGCGAAACAGUAUCUGGCAAGGUCUGCGACAAGAUUUUCUCGAGCGGACGAGUGUUGGGAGGGCACAUGAGUUGUCACAUGGCCAAGAAUAUACUGCGGAGAGAGCCAUCAUUGGCGAUCGGUAACGGCUCGGGGAAAGCGAGACGUCUUGGGUAUUGUCUCCGAGAAAACCCCAGGAAAUCGUGGAAAUUCUUGGGGCUGAUGGAAAAUGCCCAAGAAAAUCCGUGCUCGGUCUGCCACAAGCGAUUCAGGUCCACGACAGCUCUGUUUGGCCACAUGAAAAUUCACUUGAGCAAGGACGACGAGCGCUGCGACUGGUGCGCGGACCGUGGCAAAGGGUCCGGGUCAAUGAAAUCUUGCCAGGAUCGUGCGAGGCCGAUCCACGACGGGGAGAGAUUGAAUUUGAGUCUCUCCAGUGAAGAUCGCUAUGUGGGCUUGAGUAAGAAGACCAAAGGUGAUCUCCUGCUUAGCGUUUUAUUUGACGACGAGGCAAUGCACAUGACCAGGAGGAAGAGGACACCGCGAGUCAGCUUCAAUGUCGAUGAAAGAACUGAGGGAGUUCUGUUUUCCGCACCAAAUGGGUUUUCGCUCAGUAGCGAGGCCGAGCAAGACCAAGCAAACAAAGCAGCAGUUGAAUUGAUGAUGAUGUCCCGAGGUGAGGUGGGCUUCAAUUCUUCGGGUUUGGGCAUCGAACAUUUCUGGAAGAGCUCGGCCCUGGAUUUCAUUGACAUGGAAAAACUGAGGAUAACUGAAGCAUCCGAGGACAAUGAACGCAAUUCAAGAGGCUAUACGAGAAUGGAGCAGGAAGGGGUCGAAUUGGAGGUUCCUGCCGGGAUGCUUUGUGGGGCUUGGGAAGUUGAGCACAAAAUGCCUGAAGCGGCCAGAUCAGACGAACAGCCAACGUAUGAGGUAGCGAUGAUGGAUCGUGACAUGAUGCGAAUUGCGCGUUCUGAUUCGAGAGCUAAAGCAGAACUAUGGAUUGAACCAGGGUUAACUUCACACCGAGAUAAUGUCUGCGCUGAGGAAUCCCCAGUUUUCAGUGAAUUGGGUGAGCAAAAGAAGCAUAAAAGCAAGGACACUGAGAGCUACAAACAGGAUGCUCCAAUCGAUGCUUCUUGGGGGAUUGAAGGGAAUCGUGGAUGUGCGGAACCCGAGAGCAUCAAGAACUACUCAGAGAAGGUGAAAAGGCACAUAUGCUCAAUAUGCCACAAGGAUUUCUCAUCGGGCCAAGCUUUGGGCGGUCACAAGAGGGCUCAUUACGUGAAGAAUCCUGAAACCAAUGCAGAAAUGCCGACAAGCGCAGCCACACAGCAAAGGCUCGCAGACAUAACUAACAUGGUUGAUCUUUAGCCUCUCAGUACUGUUUGGAAGAAAGAAACAAAGUUUGAUAUUGCUGCUAGUGUUGUGUUCAAGUGAUGAAUCGGUGCGACAGAGGCAACGUAUGAGGUGGCGAUGAUGGAUCGUGACAUGAUGCGAAUUGCGGGUUCUGAUUCGAGAGCUAAAGCAGAACUAAGGAUUGACAAGCUGCGUGAGAUCGGAUUCAUUGUCUAACCCAUCGGCAAGCCGCUGGAUCCCUGGCUCAAGGACAUGCCCGCCGUGGCAUAAUGGAGACCCACCUGAUAUUGGAGUUUGUCGCCAGCCAAGAUCCUAUAUUUUUAAAAGCUGCCUUUUUUAUCCCUCCUUGUUCACCUUUUGAUGGUUUCGAAUGUUCUCCUGCUUCCCCAGAGUAGUCAGGGUAAUUGGUCCACACGGUGAAGUCAGCGGAUUCACUCUUUUAUUCUACAUCGUAUUCAAUUAUAUUAGCCAUCUGUCUGUUACUGCUUUUCGGGUAUAUUUUGAUUACAUUUUUGUCAGUUCAAUAUGUUUAUGAUUGGUUAGCAACUCUGAGAAAUAAACUCUCUUGGUGUUCUAGAACCCUUAACUACCUUGUUUUCUAUUUGUCUUCAUUUAACUGGCCAACUGCUGUUGGGUCGACUCUAUUCAGGAUGAUGACUGUUGAGUAAGCGAGGAAUCGUCUUCUUACGCCAGUUCGUAUGUUAAAUUGCGCUAACAUUUUUCAAUGAACUUGCAUGUAAACCAAACAUCAGUAAUGCAGUGCCGACAAUCACGGACUUAUUAAGAAUUCACCAUCAGAAUGAUUCGGGGAAGCGAGUUCUCUUAUUGAUCCUUCCAUUUAAUCUCGCUAGCACCCACGACCUCGUUACUAGGGUUGGUUAGUUUUCCCAUUUGGGACGACUUGUGACUCCUAGAUUUGAUUUGAUUUAUCCUACAUUUUGCGGAUUCAAUUUUUAUUAACACAAAGCGUUGGGACUUUUUACAAUAUUUGCAGGUUGACAUAUAAAAUGUUCAAAUUUUUACAAUCUUUUGUAAUUGGAAAUAAUUCUUUUACAUUUUCGAAUUUUGAAGGAAAAGUCAUGAGUAGAAAUUAGAAAGAAAAAAAAAUUGCCCCAAAAAAGAAGGAGGGGUCGUAAGUUUCAAUUUCACUAAACUCUGAAAAAAUAAUCCAUGAGGUCGUAUUCUAUGCACCAUUCAUUAAAGGAGUAAAUAAUGAUGUGAAAUUUGACUUGUCACCUAAAACUCUAUCAAGCGAUAUUUCUGAAAUGACUUCAAAAGUAUCGUAACGUGAUUGAAAAAAUUACAAUUUAAUAAGAACCAUACUUGCGUAAUUGUUACGAUCAAUUUUUAAUACAUUCAUAUGUUAAAUAGAUCUAUGUGAAGAUUGAGUCUUUUCUUCCUCCUCUUUCAGGUGAGUGACGUGAACAAAUUUCUCAGUAUUUGGAGAAACUCUUGUUCGAAACUUAUCGAUGGUUUAAAGACAAUCAAAGCCAUCGAUUACGUGAAUUUGUAUGUGAUGCCAUACAAUUAAUGGUUAAGAGAGACACAAUCCAUGUAGACUCAACCCAUGCAACAAUUUAUCUAGUCCUUAGGGUGCUUUGCGAUUGCCAUGACCUAACUGAAAGUUAAUCAUAAUUGAAUGGCGCAACUGCUAUAUUACAUAUCCUAAUUUUGUUAUUUAUAGAUUUUUUUUCCUACUUGGAAAAGAAGUUGUAUAAUUUGUCUAGCCUUAUUUAUCUUAGUUGCAUCUCUAAUAUUUCACACUAUUGUACUUGGUAUCUUACUUGGUAAAUUGCUUGAUUUAGUGCUUAAUGGCUUAAUAUUGACUGGACUCAUCGCAUUAUUACAUUGCCAUCUUGGAUUGUAUGCGUACUCAUUCUGAUUACCUAAAAGAGAAUAGAGUCUCAAAAUAGCAAAUCCUCUAGAUAAUUUACCAUUUUCUCAAAAGAACUUUCCGUUUCAACACACCGAUAGAUUUUUGUCAUUUUUAAAGCAUCAGUUCUCUCGUAUUAUGUAUAAUUUGGGUAUUGUAAAUGAAACCAGUUUACCAUUAAGCAAGGAUAACCAGUGCUCCAGAGAUACUUCUUUCUAAAACUUAGUUUUCUCCCUAGCCUAACCAUUGUGUUUGCGCAGGUGCCUUUUCCAGAUCCCAUGGAGAAGUUGCUCUUUACUUAAUUUAUGGCACUAGAGGAGCAUAUUUGUUGGUACUUUGCUUUUUUAAAAGGCUAAAUUCUGAUAAAAUUUUGUGAUCCUUGAAAUUAUUUAGGUGAUCUUCUCUCACUAAAUCCCAAAUAUUAGGGAGAACCCGGAAAAACAAAAGAAAAUGAUAUUUAAUUUUGUUGGGUUCUAUGCAUUGACUAUUCCACCUGCCAAACGUGACAUUACCCGUUUGAGAGAGCGAGCAACAACAAAGGAAUGCCAGCCAACACAUCAAUCAUCAUAUACAAACCCAAUCACGCUCACUCGUAUUUGCACAUUUCAGAACCCCAGAGAGAGAAGUCCAAAACCCCCGCUCCUUCUUCGGAGGCCUUUAUGAUUCCUCUGCUUCCUCCGUAGCCUUCUCUCUCCCGCGCGCUCGCCCGCUUUCUGGUGAGAAAGAGUCUCGACCUUUCGAAGUCUCGACAAGCUGUUUGCAUUUUCUCUCUUCGAUUUCCCCGUGUUUCUUUUGCUGCUUUCGUGAUUAGAUGGCGACCAGAGAGAAUUUGGAUAGUAUAUCCGUGCAAGCUCCGCGACAGGAUCUUCUCUAGCGAACCAAUGUUGGGAGGUCAUAUGAGGUGCCGCAUGAUACUGCAUGAGACAAAACAGAUGUUGUCGAAGAAUUUUGACAUGAAGAACAUUGGUGAGGCAUCAUUCGUCCUUGGCAUUAAAAUUCAUAGACAUCGUUCCUGUUGUAUGUUAUGUUUAUCUUAGAAGGCAUAUGUUGAUUGUAUUUUGGAAAAAUUCAACAUGCAGCAUUGCAAACUAGGCAUUGUUCCUAUUUUUAAGGGUGACAAAUUAAGUCUCUCACAAUAUCCUCAAUCAAAUUUUGAGAAAAACCAAAUGAAUGAUAUACCUUAUGCUAGUGCACUUGGAAGUAUCAUGUAUGCUCAAGUUUGCACUAGACCAGAUAUUGCCCUUAUGACCGGACUUCUAGGUAAAUAUCAGUCAAAUCCAGGACACAAUCACUAGGUUAUUACCAAAAAGAUUUUGAGAUACUUAAAAGGAACAAGAGACCGUAUGGUGAUUUACUAAUACCAUGAUUUGUGACUAGUAGCAUAUUCGGAUGCAGACUUUGCUAGUUGUUAGGAUGAUAGAAAGUCGACAAUAGGAUAUAUCUUCAUGUUAGUAGGAGGUGCAAUAUUGUGGAAAAGCAAGAAACAGAAAUCUAUAUUAUCCUCUACCAUGCAAGCGAAGUUUAUAACAUGCUUUUCAAUUACUACUCAAGCUGUUUGGCUCCGAAACCUUAUUAGAGAAGUAAUGGUAUUUGAUUUUAUGGAUAGACCCAUACAAUCAUAUUGUGAUAAUAACCGUGUAGUGUUAUUUGUCAAUGACAACAGAAGUCUCAAGGGUCUAAACAUAUGCAGAUCAAGUUUUUUACCAUAAAGGAAAUGAUACAGAAUUGUGACAUUACGGUAAAGCAUAUUCCCACGGACAAUAUGUUAGCAGAUCCACUAAGGAAAGGCUUUCCCUUGUGUAUUGAAGCGACAUGUCAUGAACAUGGGCUUGGGAGAAUCAUUGGAUACUGUCAUUUAGUGGAAGCUACUUCAGAUUUGCUCUAAUAAAGUUUACAUCUAUGUUUCGUUAUAUUUGGUAAUAUUUUGAUAUAUGUCAACUCUUUCGGUUAGGAUUAUUAUUGAGUCAUAUACAUACAUCUAAUGAAAAUUUCAAACUAUUGUGUAAACCUUAAAUGAAAGCUAGAGACAUCUAGUUAUUAGCCUUAUACAUAUGUAUAAUUACACAUAAAGAAAGGUUAACCAUAAAUAUAAAAUAUAUGUGGGUUCAUUAGAACCGUAAAGAUAUUCUCUAGUGGCACAUCCGGUUUUUUGUAAUACCUAAGGUAAAAGAAUAGUGACCGACAAAGAUGAUAACAUAUAAGAUAUUAUUCUUCAUAAGGUGUUAUUUAUUUGUUACAUAACCAUAUGAAUCCAUAUCAGUAAAAUUGAAAGCAUUUGUGAUCAUGGAAGGCUCUAUGUAUAUAUAAGCAAUUACCUCCAUGAUCCAGUGUUUGAUACUUUAUGGGAUCAGAUUGAUUAUUGAGAAUUAUCUUUAAACCAACAUAAAAGUGUGCACAUAUAGUGUAAUCUCAAUUAAUAUAGCAAAAGUGGGAGAAUGUAAUAAUUUUCCUAAUGUAGUCUACAUUGAUUAAGAUUGUGAUUUACCAUUUUUACGAAGUUAGUCUAAUAAAGUAAUAUAUAAAGUUUCUUAGUAGUCGAAUAUGGGUCUGGCUUAUGUAGGAUGAGUUGGGCUCGCUCAAGAUGAGAAGGCCCAGCCAAAACUCUAUAAAUAGGCUAAGGUCCCUCCUUUAACCCUCACUUUUUGCUAUUUUGAAAUGUAUGCGCCCACUACCUCACAUAAGGGACGUUUGUGAGAGGCGGUCUCAUCGAGUUAGGGUAUGGAGAGUGAUAGAGGAGAAGAUCUUUAGCAUUGAAAUGUCAUAUUACUGUUGUUCUGCUCCUAGAAUCAUGAAUUCCAAAUCAGGUGCGCAAAUCUUCAUCUUCUCCUUCAAUAUGUUUGAGUUCCUAGCUAUGUUGAUCUUGAGAAGUCGUUUCGAUGGCCAACACUUUGAUCAUGAACCAAGGUGAGGCAGACUUCAAUUCUCUGGGUUUGGGUGUCAAACCUUUCUCGAAGACCUGGCCUAGAUUUCUUUAACGUGGGGAAAGGGUUGAUAAUUGAAGCAUUUGAGUGGAAUGAAAGCCUUUCAAGUGGCUAUUUGAAAAUGGGGCAGAAAGGGGUCGAAUUGGAGGUUCCCGCUGACAUGCUUUAUGGGGCUAGGGAAGUCGGGCUCAAGAAGCCUCAGGUAGCUAGAUCAGGUGAUGAGCCGAUGGAUGAGGUAGCAAUGAUGGAUCGUGGCACGAUGGCAACUGCAGGAAUUGCAUGUCUUGAUUUGAGAGAAAGGCUAGAAAUAUGGAUUGAAUUUGGGGCUAAAUUCUUAUAGGGAUGAGGUCUACGCUGAGGAAUCCCGAGUUUUCGGUGAACCGGUUGAGGAAAACAAGUAUAAAAGCAGGGACACUGACAGCUACAAACGGGAGGCUCCAGUCAAUGCAUCUCAAGCGAUUUAAGGGAGUCCUCGAGAGCAUGAAAGGACAACUCAGAGAAGGUGAACAAGCAGUAUGCUUGAUAAGCUGCUUAAGAUCAGAUAUGUUGGCAGAUCCACUGAGAAAAGGCUUUCACCCUUGUGUAUUGAAGCGACAUGUCAUGAACAUGGGCUUGGGAGAAUCAUUGGAUAGUGUCAUUUAGUGGGAGCUACUUCAAAUUCACUCUAAUAAAGUUUACAUCUAUGUUUUGUUACAUUUGGUACCAUUUUGAUAUAUGGCAACUAUUUUGGUAUGGAUUAUUAUUAAGUUGUAUACAUAUAUCAAAUGAAAAUGUCAGAAUAUUGUGUAAACCUUGAGUGAAGGCUAGAGGCAUCUAGUUAUUAGUAUUGUACAUAUGCCUAAUUACACAUAAAGAAAUGCUAAUCAUAAAUAUAAAAUAUAUGUGGGUUCAUUAGAACUAUGAAGAUAUUCUCUAGUGACACAUCUAGUUUUCUAUGAUAAUAAGAGAAUAAUGACAGACAAAGAGGAUAACAUAUAAGAUAUUAUUUUUCAUGAGGUGUUAUCUAUUUGCCACACAACCAUAUGAAUCCAUAUCAGUAAAGUUGAAUGCACUUGUGAUCAUGGAAAGUUCUGUGUAUGUAUAUGCAUUUACCUCCAUGAUCUAGACUAACAUAAACGUGUGCACAUACAAUGCAAUCUCAAUUAAUAUAGCCAAAGUGAGAGAAUGUAAGAGUUUUCCUAAUGUGGAUUAUAUUAAUUAAGAUUGUAAUUUACCCUUUUUAUGAAAUUAGUCUAAUAAAUUAUUAUAUAAAGCUUCCUAGCGGUCAAAUAUGGGUCUAGCUUAUAUAGGCUGAGUUAGGCUAACUUAAGAUGAGAAGGCUCGGCCACAACUCUAUAAAUAGGCUAAUAUCUCUCUUUUAACCCUCACUUUUUGCCAUUUUGAAACAUAUGCACCCACUACCUCACAUAAGGAAUGUUUGUGAGAGGCACUCUCAUUGAGCUAAGGUAUGGAGGGUGAUAGAGGAGAAGAUCUUCAACAUCGAAGUAUUAGAUUGCCGUUGUUUUGCUCCUAGAAUCAUGGAUUCCAAAUCAGGUAUGCAAAUCCUCAUCUUCUCCUUUUAUAUGUUCGAGUUCCUAGUUAUGUCAAUCUUGAGAAGUCGUUUUGACGGCCAACAUUUUGAUCAUGAACCAAGGUGAGGCGGACUUCAAUUCCCCAGGUUUAAGUGUCAAACAUUUCACGAAGAGCUGGCCUGGAUUUCUUUGACGUGGGAAAUGGCUAUUAAUUGAAGCAUCUGAGUGGAAUGAAAGCCAUUCAAGUGGCUAUUUGAGAAAGGGGGGAAAUGGGUCGAAUUGGAAGUUCUUGUUGGAAUGUUUUGCAGGGCUAGGGAAGUCGGGCUCAAGAAGCCUCAAACAGCUAGAUCAAGUGAUGAGCUUAUGGAUGAGGCGGCAAUGAUGGAUCGUGGCACGAUGGGAACUGUAGGAACUGCAAGUCCUAAUUUAAGAGGAAGGCCAAAAAUAUGGAUCGAACUAGGGUUAAAUUUGUACAGAGAUGAGGUCUGCGUUUAGGAAUCCUAAGUUUUCGGUGAACCAGUUGAGGAAAACAAGUAUAAAAGCAGGGAUGCCAAGAGCUACAAACAAGAGGCUCCAAUCAAUGCUUCUCAAGGAAUUGAAGGGAGUUGUGGCUGCACCGACCUCGAGAGCAUCAAAGGAUGACUCAGAGAAGGUGAACAAGUAGUAUGCUCGAUAAGUUGCAUAAGAUCAAAUAACGAAAAUGCAGCCAAUAUCAGCAUUCGACGCCGGCCAAGGAUUAUAUAUUUCUAAAGCAACCGCUUUUAUCCCUCCGUGUUCGCUCUUUUGAUGGUUCCGAGUGUUCUCCUAAUCCCCAUAGUAGUUAGGAGAAUUGGUCUACAUGGUAAAGUCAACUGAUUCAUUCUGGCUCUGUUUGUUUUGUGAAGAAUAAAUGAUUUAAAAAAUAUUUUCCUAAAAAUGAUAGUUUGUAUCACUUGAAGUAACCGAUCAAUUUAAAAUAUUUUCAUCAUCAACCACAAUAUAUGACUAAAUAUCUUCGUAGACGAUGAAAAUGUUUUUCGUUCAUCUAUUUUUGUGAGGAUCUCCCCAUUGGGUAUAGGAUGCCUCACAGGGCAUUGAGAUGACUGUGCAAGAUCCUCAUAGGAGUCUUGAGAUGACUGUGCAAGAUUGUGUCUGUGUCUGCCAUUUCCUGCUCUUAUGAUGGAGGUAUCCUUACUUUGUCAUAUACUUGUUUGAAUUCAUUGAUUGCUUAUUUAGUUUUUGGUGCAAGGCUAUAAUGAUUCCAUGGAACAGGUAUGAAGUCAUUCUUAAAAAAACAUUUUUCAGAUCAUUCAUUUUCCACUGAAGAAAUGCACCCUAUUUAUACACUAUAUUCAAUAAUAUCACCAUCUAUCUAUUGCUACUUUUGGGUAUAUUUUCAUUAUGUUUUUUGUCAGGUCAAUAUGUUUAUGAUUGAUUACAACUCUGAGAAAUAGACUCUGUUGGUGUUCUAGAACAGUUAUCUUCCUCGUUUUUAUGUUUGCAUUUUAUAAGUGGCGAACUAUUGUUGGGUUGAGUCAAAAGGUCGAAUUGGUUUUCUCGCGGUACUGUUCACCGUCUCUCCUAAGAGGGGCGAUUUUGCUAUUGUUCAUCGUCUCUGGUUCUCGCUCGGCCUGGGCAUUCCAGCCUUCGUUUUGCUCCGAUUUUAGAGGGUUUUCUUCCUCUUGAGACACCCCUUCUUCCCACCGAACGAAUUGGCAAGUUUCUCGCCCUAAGUGGACACCGCAUCUGCCUUCUUGCACUGUUCCGCCCAUCACGACACUGUAGUUGCGAGUCUGCUCGAGCUGCUGCGGGAGCUGUUCCUGGGCUUCGAGGUGGGUGCAAAGGACCGAUCAGGUUCCUUCCUCUUCACUUCUCAGCCCUAGUAUGGAGUUCCUCCCCUUGGUUGCAGUAUAAAGGGCUUCGCUGAUUGAGGGCUGUUGGUCUUGAUGGUGUAUGUCCCCACUGAGACACAUCAAGGCUCUAGCAAGGGGAAGGGUCCGAACUCCCCUCGGCAAGCUGGAAGCUUGGCCUAGAAUCCCCGACCCGUAGGGAGAAGCUCAGCGAUGGGCAGUAACGCCGAACAUCGGCCAUCCUUUAGGCCUCCUCGGAAUGACAGGUCUAGGGGUCGAAGUCGUUCGCGGGCUCCGAACAAGAGGGUCCCUAGUAAGCCACCCAACUCAGCCAAGCCUCCCCUAGCCCAGUUGUGGGCUAAUGUGGCACGGUUGGCUGCGAAAGGCUAUGAGCUCCCCUAUGUGCCACCUGACUUUGUUGGGGGGGGGGGGGGGGGGGGAAACCGAUUAUCAAUCUCACUAGGGAGGUGCUGCAAGUAGCAGAUCCCAAAUGGAAUGAGUUCCUAGUUGGGUAUCUUGUGGGGAAAAAACUCCAAUUUCAACUUGUUGAACAAGCAUUGAAGAAUAACUGGGGAUCUAAGCUAGUGGAUGUACUAGCCGAAGAUCAAGGUUUAUUUUAUUUCCAUGUCCCGGAUUUGGUGUUCCGAAGGAAGAUCUUGGAGGAGGGACCCCUCACUGUUGCUCAGGUUCCUCUCAUUUUUCAGCAAUGGAAGCCUCUCAUGGAAUUGAAGAAAGAAAAGCAAUCUUCCAUUCCUGUGUGGAUUGGAAUCAAGAACCUUCCACUUGAUCUUUGGUCUGUACCAGUGAUUGGAGCCAUUGCUAGCUUCAUGGGUAAGCCCCUCUUUGUGGACCAACGUACCAUGGGCGAGAGGAUGAUCUCGUUUGCCCCGAGUUUGUGUUGAGAUCCAAGCUAACCAACCUAGGGUCUCCUCGGUUGAUGUCAAUGUGGAUGGAGUGUCGAGGUCCAUUGCAAUUGAAUUUGAAUGGUGGCCGGUUGGUCACAAUUGUCACACUGCCCAGAACCCUUCUCGGCCUCCUUUGGCACCGGUGAAGCACCGGUGAAGUCCCGUGCGGCCCUUGCUAUUUUGAACCCUUCUCUGCCUCUCGUCCCUGAUCCAGCAGCACCUAAUGAGGUGGAACAAGGAUGGAAGAAAGUGGAAGGUAAGAAGAAUAAGCCCACCCCUCAGGCGGAUGAUAUUGCAACCAGCCAUGCUGAUUCAAGUGAUGUAGGGAGGCUAUCCAAGCUCAAGACCGUGGCAAUGGAGAAGAGACUCCCUGGUGUCUACUCUCGCAAAGGCCCUAGCGAUUCUCUGACCAUUUUAGAAUCAGCUGAGAAAGCCCCUUCUCUCAUGGUUGGGACUGCCACCCCUUCGGAGCCAUCCGAACCGAAGCUGCCCAUUUCGAGCGAGGUGGCUAGGGUCUCGAACAACCUAUUUUCCCCUUUCAUAUGACGAUCUUCUCUCCCCUUGCUCUUCACCGAAGGCGUCUACUGGGAUCAGGAGGCCCAUUCAAGACCCAGAUCCUUCCCCUUCUACUUUGCAGGAUGGAGUGCUCGCCUUAGCACCAGGCCCUCCCCCUUUGACUGCCCAGCCUGCUCAGCCUUCCACUAGGCGUAGCUCCUCCAAAAUGAGGUAACUUAUCUCCUAUUCUCUUGUAAAUAUAUAUAUAUAUAUAUAUAUAUAUGUUAUUGGAAUAUUAGGGGGCUUGGUGCCCCUCUUAAGCAAGCAGAGGUUAAGAAUUUUGUCUUGGCUAACCAGUUGUCUUUGGUCGGGAUAGUUGAGACAAAAGUUCCCCUCAAUCUCUUUAAUGCCAUUUCUCGGAGUUUGUUGCCAAACUGGUGUUGGCAGGCCAAUUAUGAGUACUCUAAUCGAGGUAUGAUCUGAGUUGGUUAGGAUCCUGCUACGGUUUCCUUUGAAAUUAUGUCUGUGUUGGAUCAAGCGAUUCAUGGGAAUAUGAGAAGGUUAGAUAUUGGAGUGGCUUGUUAUGUCUCUAUUAUUUAUGCUGAGCAUUCCUUUACUACACUGCAUCCUCUUUGGGAGAAUUUGGUGGCUAGAAGUUCUUCUCUUCAGGACUUGUCUUGGCUGGUCAUGAGAGACUUCAAUGCUAUUAAAGACCCCUCUGACAGGCUAGGUGGUUCAGAUCUCUGGUUGUCAUGCUUUGAUGACUUCGGACAUUGUAUUGAUAAAGCAGAGUUGAAAGACCUCAGAUAUGUGGGAUUUUGGUACACUUGGUCAACUUCUUCAAACCCCUCGCGCAAGGCAAGGAAGAUUGACAGAAUCCUGGUUAACACUGGCUGGAGCCAGGUUUUUUCCUACUCGGAGGCUACCUUCCUUGUGCUUGGGAUUUCUAACCACUCACCUAUGGUGGUUAAGGUUAAAGACUCGAUCUUUCGGAGGAAACCGUUCAAAUUCUUUGAUUUUUGGAUGCAUCACCUGGACUUUGAAUUAAUUGUGAAGCAAGUUUGGGAGGCUCCAUCUCCAGGUGUGCCUAUGUUUAGGCUUGUUUCUAAGUUAAAGGCCUUGAAAGGGCGGCUCAAGCAGCUGAAUAGAGACUCCUUUGCCAAUAUCUCCGUAAGGACUUCUGAAGCGAGGGAAGCCUUAAAGCUGACUCCAGUGGAUCUCCUUUAAGAUCCUACUAGUGAGAUGCUCGCAGAACGGGAGAAGCUUCAACGCUGAUCCUUCGUAGAGCUUCGAUCCCAGGAGGAAUCGUUUUUUAGACAGAAAUCUAGGAUCAGAUGGAUCGAGGAGGGUGAUCGCAAUACAAAAUUCUUUCACCAAUGCGUCAGUAAAAGACAGUUGAGAAAUAGAAUUCUCUCUGUGGCGAAUUCCUUAGGUAGCCAAAUCACUAAGCUUCAGCUAGUUUAGCAGCAUUUUGUGGAUUAUUUUCAUGAUCUCCUUUUGCCAAGGCUAGAGCAAGAUACUCCGUCGGUUUCAGAGAUUAUGGGGGUUAUUCACACCCAUUUAAAUGUUGACCAUAUUGCCUUUCUUGAGCAGCUCAUUUUGGAUCUUGAGAUUUGGGAUACUCUCUUCUCCCUUCCUCGGGGGAAGGUGCCUGGGCCGAAUGGAUUCAUGGUUGAGUUCUUCAAGGAGAAUUGGGAAACGAUGGGUCCUCUGGUCACCGAAGCCGUCAGGGACUUCUUCAUCUUGAGGAGGAUCCUUAAGGAAAUCAAUAACACCACCUUGGUUUUGGUUCCUAAGGUUCCCAAUGCAACUACUGUCAAUGACUUCAGGCCCAUUACUUGUUGUAACACGGUAUACAAGAUUAUUACCAAAGUGUUGGCGAAUAGGGUCGCCGCCGUGCUUAAGGACCCUGUUAGCCCUACUCAAAGUGCCUUCGUCAAAGGACGAAGAAUCAGGGACAAUAUCCUCUUGGCGCAGGAGCUUUUCUCUGGGUUUCACCUUGAACCCUAUACUCCAAAGUGCACUAUUAAAGUUGACUAUAGGAAGGCAUAUGACACCGUUGACUGGCGGUUCCAUGAGAGUGUUCUGCUUGCCUUUCGAUUCCCUGACCGGCUCAUUCACUUCAUCAUGACCUGUGUGAGGACGCCUCAAUUCUCCAUUGCGUUGAAUAGGGAGCUGCAUGGCUUCUUUCCUAGUGGGCAUGGUUUGCGGUAGGGAGACCCCAUCUCUUCCUACUUAUUCACGCUAGUUGUGGAGGUGCUCUUUAAGAUUCUUGGGAGGUGCUCAACGCAACCGGAUUUUAGAUUCUUCUAGAGGUAUAGGCCCACUAGCCUCUUGCACCUGUUCUUCGCAGAUGACGUCUUCCUACUUUGUGAGGGUCACUUGCCUUCUAUGAAGCUUCUUAGGGAGGGUCUCCAACUGUUUUCUUCCUGGAGUGGCCUUCUUCCUAACCCAAGGAAAAGCGAGGUGUUCCUCUCACGGGGCUCGACGGCCUUGAGGAAUCAAAUUCUUCUGGACCUUAGCUUCGUUGAGGGCAACCUCCCACUCCGUUAUUUGGGUGUUCCUAUCAUCUUGUCGAGGCUUGGGAAAGCCGAUUGUGCGGAUCUUGUGAGGCGCAUCACCUCUAGGGUCCAGUCUUGGACUCAUCGAUUCUUUUCCUUUGCUCGACUACUUCAGUUGAUCAGGUCAAUCCUCUAUGCCAUUCAGGCCUAUUGGGCAAGUGUCUUCAUUAUUCCUACAGCAGUGCUAGAUCAGAUUGAGCGUAUUAUCAGAUAAUUUUUGUGGAAAGGACCUGAGUUAAGCAGAGGGGGUGCCAAGGUCUCGUGGGAGGACGUCUGCCUUCCUAAAUUAGAGGGAGGUCUUGGUAUCCGGAGAUUGCAUGAGUACAAUAAGGCAGCUAUGCUCAAGUGCAUCUAGAAUCUUUUUUCAGAUAAUGAGUCGUUAUGGUGUAAGUGGGUCCAUUCAACCUUCUUAAAAAAUAGGAACUUCUGGGUUGUGAAGAAGCCAUCCUAUUGCUCUUGGGCCUGGAAAAAAAUACUACAACUCAGAUCAGAUUUCCGACUUCGCUUCUAUUGGAGGAUAGGCAAUGGUUUAUCGGCGUCGCUCUGGUUCGAUAAUUGGCACCCUCGGAGCCCUCUGAAUCUAUUUUUCACAAAUUCGUUCAUCUACAGCUCAGGUCUCUCUAGAUAGGUAUCAGUGGCUGAUCUCUUCUCUGAGGAUGGUUGGGCUAUUAGAUCAGAGAUUGAGUCUUGGGGAUCGCUGCUUCCUUCCUUAUCUAGAGUCUAAAAUUGUUUCGGUUGGAGGGAGAACUCCACAGGUGUGUUCUCGGUUGCCUCGGCUUGGGAGAUCAUAAGGUGGAAGAAGGAGAGAGUUAGAUGGCAUCGAUUCAUCUGAAGCAAUGCUAUCCUGCCUUGACACCAACUCAACCUUUGGCUCAUCACCAAGCGAAGGUUGCCUACACAGUCUCUUCUCAUGUCUCAUGGUAGGAUUGACGCUGCUUCCUACCCUUUUUGUAACAAGGUACCUGAUUCUAUCAAUCACCUCUUUUUUGGGUGUCGCAUUACUUCGAGUAUUGCUUUCUUUUGGGCUGCCAGGUGCAAUCUUCCCUAGACCAAUAGGACUUGGGAGGAGACUCUUAGUUGGGCUAUCUCUCUACCCUCGGGGAAGGAGUUCUACAAAAGUAUUGCCCGUUUUUCCUUUGGUGCACUCUGUCACAUCAUUUGGAAGAACAUGAACAAUAUUAUCUUUAGGGGGGAGCCGCUUUCUCUUUCGGCCAUGAAGAGGCAUCUCCUCAAGGUCAUUAAAGAUAAGGGUGCUACCUUCAAAGACGUAGAGAACUCCUACAGAUCAUGAGGAUUCAACGCUCGUGGGAGUUGGACCCCUGUAUCUUCUCUUCCGCUGAUUGUGGAACGAUGGGCUAGGUGUCUUAUUCUAGGUCGUCCUGGGUGUCGGUCUGCUUUUUGCAUUUUGGCCGUUCUCGGUUGCCUCUUGGUUGUUUUUCCUCAGCUUCCUUCCACUCAUAAUGAGCAUGUCCAUCUUGAGUGUAUGUUUUUGAAGCCGUUUGAUUGUACAAUUUGACCUUUUCCUAAUAUAUCACUUACUUUCACCAAAAAAAAAAAAAAACUAUUGUUGGGUUGAACUCUAUUUAGGAUGAUGAAAUUGACUUAUAAUACCAAUUCAUAUGUUAAUUUGCACCUACACUUUUCAUUAAACUUGCAUAUGAACAGAACAGUAGUAACGUAGUGCAAACAAUUCUAGACUUAUUAACAAUUGAAGCGAUUUCUCUUCUUGAUCUUCCCAUCUAAUCUUGUCAGCAGACUCAACCUUGAUUUUAGGGUUGAUUAAUUUCCCUCUUUGAGGUGACUUGUGACUCCUAUCAUAUAUUUUCUGAUUUCUUGUAACUUGUAUGGAGCUCGGACUUUAAUUUUAAUUAAUACAAUGCACUUGAGACUUUUCAAGGUAUUUUGACGUAAUUCUUUUUUAAAUCAAAAAGGGCUUUUUUACCUUUUCGAAUUGUGAAGGAAAAGUUUGAGUAGGAAUUAAAAGGGAAACGAACGAAUUUGCCUCAUAAAAGGGGUCUUAAGUUUCAAUUUCACCGGACUCUGAAAGAAAUAUUUUAUGAAAUCACAAUUUAUAAAACAUUCAUCAUAAAACUAAAUAAUGAUGUGGAAUUUAACUUCUCACCUAGUACUCCAUCAAGGGCCUUUUUGACAAUAUUUCAAAAGUAUCAUAACAUGAUGGUAUAAAUUUAACAAUUUACUAUGAGACAUAUACUUUUAAUAGAUUCAAAUGUUACAUAGAUCUAUGCAGAGAUUAAGUCCUUCCCUCCUCUUUUUUCGAAUUGAGUGCCACAAACUUCUUAUUGUUCCUCUAUCCUUGGUUAGGGGUGAGCAUCGGUCCAGGGUUAACCCUAGACCAACCCUGGACCGGCCCAACCAUGCUAAGCCUGGUCCUGUUCCUAAGGAGGCUAGGUCGGUUCUUAGUUAUAGAAUUCCUAGACUAGCACUAUGCGGGUUAGUCCUCGAUCUUAGAAGUUUAAGGUCGGUCCAAUCCGGACCAACCUUGACUAUAUAUAUAUAUAUAUAUAUAUAUAUACAAUACACACACACACACACACACACACAUACAUAUAUUAUAAAUUAUAUUAUUUAUAAUUUUUUUUAUAUAGAGAAAACCUUAAAAUAAACGGCGUCUACAACAUUAAAUGGCUCUUUAGUGAGGAAUUCAAGCAAUUUUACAUUGUUUUUUAAUAACUUAGAUUUUUAAUGUCUUUUACGGCGUCAAUAGUCAUAAUUUACGAAUGAGGAAAAUAUUUUUAAAAUGAGUCCUCACAGUGUCCAAAAUGACAUAAAUAACUCUUUACGACAUCUUUCUCUAGUACUCGUUAUCUUCUAUCUUAUUUGUCCUCUUAGUCUUCAAUUUGCCAAAAUUGAAAGAAACAACUUCUCCACUCACCAUUCGACACUCAUCUCACUCGCUUUGGGUCACUCGUGUCGCUCACCGCUCAAUGCUCGCUUGGCUUGUUACUCCCUGCUCGACACUCGAUGCUUACUCUGCUCGAUGCUCACCCCACUCAACCCUCACCGCUUGCCUUUCUUAGUUGACCUCGCUUGUUAUCGAAUCCAUUGGAUCAGUCCAGUCAUCGGUUGUCCUUUCAAGAAGUACAAAAAAUGAAAUAAAAAAUUAUUGGUUGGUCCCGAGUUGACCUUGGAAUCGGACCGAACCCAUUGGAUUAGUCCUGUCCUCAAUUGCUUUUUUAAAGAGUACAAAAAAUGAAAUAAAAAAUUAUCGGUUGGUCUCGGAUUGACCUUGGAAUUGGACCGAACCCACCGGGUCGGUCCGAUCCUCAGUCCCAAGCUCAAUAAGGUCGGUCCUAGGUCCCAAAAAUUGAUGACUAAUACUGUGCGGAUUGGUUCUAAGGUUAGGGGGUGGACCGGCCCAACCCGAAUCAUGCUCACCCCUACUAAUCAUGUGGGAUUUAUAUACAUGGCUCAUAUGUGGACUUACGUCCACACAUCAAAUGUUCCCACCAUUACGGUGCUUUGUGCAUGCAAUGACACCUAAUUGAAAAUUAAUCUAUAAUUUUUUUGUCGAAAAUCCAUAAUCGAAUGACUGAGAUAUAGUAUACCCUAAUUUUUUUUUGUUUGUUGCGGUACUUGGAAAAUGAGUAGUGUAAUUUCUUUAGCCUUAUCCUUCUUAGUUGUUUUGUUUAGGGGUGAGCAUCGAUCCAAGGUCAACCCUGGACCAACCUUAAACCAACCCAACCCUGCCAGUCCUAGUCCGAUUCCUAAGGAAACUAGGUCAGUCAUUGGACCUAGAAUUUUUGGACCAGCACUGUGCGAGUCAGUUCUUGGUCUUGAGAGUUUCGAGUCGGUCCGACCCAAACCAACCUUGACUAUAUAUAGAUAUAUAUAAUUUUUAUAAUUUUUUUAUAUAGAGAAAACCUUAAAAUCAAUAGCGUCAACAACAUUAAAUAACUUAUUAGUGAGGAAUUCAAGUAAUUUUACAUUAUUCUUUACUAACAUAGAUUUUUAAUGUCUUUUACAGUGUCAAUAGUCAUAAUUUACGAAUGAGGAAAAUGUUUUUGUGAGGAGUCCUCAUGGCAUCCAAAAAGGAAUAAACAGCUCCUUAUGGCAUCCUCCUCUAGUAUUCGUUAUCUUCUAUCUUAUUUGUCACAUUAGUCUUCAAUUUGCCAAAAUCGAAAGAAACAACUUCUCUGCUCACUACUCAACACUCGCCUCACUCGCUUUGGGUCAUUUGUGCCGCUCGCCGCUCAAUACUCGCUUGGCUUGUUGCUCCCCGCUUGACAUUCAAUGCUCAUUAUGUUCGAUACUCACCCCACUUGACCCUCACCGCUUGCCUUUCUUAGCUGACAUCACUCAUCAUCGAACCCUUAGGUCGGUACAGUCCUCGGUUGCCCUUUCAAGAAAUGCAAAAAAUAAAAUAAAAUAUUAUUAGUUGGUCCUGGGUUGACCUGAAAAUCGGACUAAACCCAUUGAGUCAACCCGGUCCUCAAUCGCUUUUUUAAGGAGUAGAAAAAAUGAAAUAAAAAAUUAUCGUUUAGUCUUGGGCUGACCCUGGAACCGGACCGAACCCAUUGGGUCGAUCCCAAGCUCAAUAGAGUCAAUCAUUGGUUCCAAAAAUUGAGAACCGGCGCUAUGCGGAUUGCUCCUAAGGUUAGGGGGUGGACCAGUUCAACCCGAGCCAUUCUCACCCCUAGUUUUGUUCAUGUCCUCAAACUAUCAUACUUGGUAAACUUCUCCUAGAUUUGGUAUUCAAAUCCUUGAUAGGAAUGACAGAUUUGGCCAGACUCGUCCUAUUAUUACAUUGCCGCUACACACAGCCCCUAGUAUCCACCAUUUACGACAAGAUGAUUAUGUACAUACUCAUAAUUACAACCCAAUAGAUAAUGGAGUCUCCAAAUAGUAAAUUAUCCUAAUCACUUACUAUAUUCUCAAAAGGAUUUUCCUGUUAAGCACCUGAAUAAAGAAAGUUUGUUGUUAUCCAUGCACUUUCUAUCUCGAAUCAAAUGCAAUUUGUGCAUAGAAAAUGAAAAUAUUUCAUUAUUAAGUGGAGCGCUCCUUAAGAAAAACUUUCUCAAAAUUCAUUUUCUCCUAUCCGAGGCAAUGUGUAUGGGCACACACUUUUUCCUAAGAGAGAGUAUUAGUGCAAUCUUUGCAGUAGGACCUUCUGGAGCGGAUGAUAGGUGUGAGGUCACAUGAGGUGUCACACAGCCAAGAAGAGACUGGAGAGAGAGAGUCACCAUUGGCGAUCGAUAAUGGCUCUGAGGAAUCGCGACACCUUGGGUAUUCUCCAUGACAAAACCCCAAGAAAUGGUGGAAAUUCUUGGAGCUAAAGGAAAAUGUUAGAGCAAUUAAAUAAUAAAUCACAUUUUUAUCAAACGGUUUAAACUUUUAGAACAGUUAAUAGUGAUCUGUUAGAGUAUGAAGGCAUGAUUUUAAUGCCCAAGAAAAUUCACGCCUUGUCUACAACAAGCAGUUUAGAUCGACCUGUUCAUUACUUAAUUUAUGGCACAAGUAGAGGAGCAUAUUCCUUGAAAUUAUCUAUAUAAACUUCUCCCAACUCCCAAAUAUAAGGGAAAACAUGGGAAAAGAAAAUAAAAAUGAGAUAAGAACAAUAGAAGUACCAAAAGCUAUGUACAACACUCAUUUUAGUAUAAAAAAAAAAACGAAUCACUUAAAUACCACUUUUUUGAAAGAACGAUCAUUAAAGUGCUAACUUCAAUCCGAGUCACUAGAAAUUCGAUAUGGCCAUAUUUUAUUAAUUUCUCAGUUCUAUAUUACUCGCUGGCAUGCCACUUUAGUGCUAGUUGGUGUUAAAAAAUGAUCGCUGCAGUGCAAUCAUUGUUAAAAAGUAAUCACUUCAGUGUUAAAAUAAUGCCACCUCAGAUGAAAUUUUUAAUUAUAAAAUCGCAUAAUUUCUAGCAAGUUAUCGCCGGAGGCAAUUAAGUGGUCCUCCAAUUAGACACUUAAAUGAGCCGACGAAAACUUUUGACACUAAAGUGAGCACCGUAUACAACUUUUGACACAUCUAGUAUCCAAAGAAAAAGAUAUGUUGGAUUGAGGCUAUUUCAGCUGCCAAACAUGGCAUUACUCGUUUGAGAGAGCGAGCAACAACAAAGGAAUGACAACCAACAAAUCAGUCAUCAUUUAUAAAUUCACUCAUUCUCACUCGUAUUUGCACAUUUAAAAACUCCAGAGAGAGAUGUUCGAAGCCCCUACUCCUUCGUGAGCUAUAUGAUUCCUCUUCUUCCUCUGUAGCCUUCUCUCUCGCGCGCGUUCGCUCGCUCUCUGGUGAGAAAGAGUCUUGACCUUUCGGAGUCUCGACAAACUGUCUGCGUUUUCUCUCUUCGAUAUCCCCCUGUUUUUUUUUUUUUUCCUUUGCUGCUUUUGUGAUUUGAUUGCGACCGUUGAGAAUCUGGAGAGAGUAUAUCCGUGCAAGCUCUGCGAUAGGAUCUAUUCUAGCGGACCAAUGUUGGGAGGUCACAUGAGGUGUCACAUGGACAUGAAUCUACCGGAGAGAGAGCCGCCGUUGGUGAUCGAUAACAGCUCGGCAGAUGAGCGACGUCUUGGGUAUUAUCUCCGAGAAAACCCCAAAAAGACGUGGAAAUUCUCAAAGCUGAAGGAAAGUGCCCAGGAAAAGCCGUGCCCGGUCUGUGACGAGCGGUUCAGGUCGAUGAGGGCACUUUUUUGCCACAGGAAGAUUCACUCGGGAAAGGAUGACGAGAGCGGUGACUGGUGCAAAGGCCGCGGCAAAGGGUCCAGGUCAAUGAAAUUUUGCCAGGAUCACACAAGGCCGAUUCACGACAGGGAGAGAUUGAAUUUGAGUCUCUUGAAUGAAGAUCACUUUGUGGGUUCGAGCAAGACCAAGAGUGAUCUCCUGCUCAUCGUUUUAUCUGACGACGAGACAAUGCGCCUGACCAGGAGAAAGAGAACACCGCGAAUCGAGUAUGAUGUCGAUGAAAGAACUGAGGGAAUUAUGAAUGAUGUCGAUGAAAGAACUGAGGGAAUUAUGCUUUCUGCACCAAAUGGGUCUUCGUACAGUAGCAAGGCCGAACUUGACCCGGGAACAGUAGGAGCAAUUUCUUUGAUGAUGCUGUCCCAAGGUGAGACGGAAUUUAAUUCUCCAGGUUUGGGCGUCAAACCUUUCGGGAAGAGCUUGACCCCAGAUAUCUUUGACGUGGAGAAAGAGAAAGUGGGGGUAACUGAAACAUCCGAGUGCAAUGAAAGCCAUUCAAGUGGCUAUUUGAGAAUGGAGCAGAAAGGGGUCGAAAUGGAGGUUCCCACCGGCAUACUUUGCGGGGCUAGGAAAGUUGGGCUCAAGAAGCCUAGAAUAGCCAGGUCAGGAAAAGACACGAUGUAUGAGGCGGCGAUAAUGGAUGGUAACGUGAUGGGAGGUUCUGGGUCGAGAGAAAGGGCAGAACUAUGGAUCGAACUGGGGCUAAAUUCGUACAAGGAUAAGGUCUGCGCUGAGGAAUCCCAAGUUCUUAGUGAACCGGUUGAGAAAAACAAUGCCGAGAGCUACAAACAGGAGGCUCCAGUCGAUGCUUCUCAAGGGAUUGAAGGGAGUCGUGGCUGCACAGAACUCAAGAGCAUCAAUGACGACUCGGGGAAGCUGAACAGGCAGGUAUGCUCGACGAGUUGCGCGAGAUCGGAUAACGGAGCUGCACCCAAUAUUGGCGUUUGACGCCGGCCAAGGACCCUAUCUCUAAGGCAGCCGUUUUUAUCGCUCCUUGUUCGUUCUUUUGAUGAUUUCGAUUGUUCUCUACUUCCCCGUAGUAGUCAGCGUAAUCGGUCCCCAUGGUGAAGUCAACGGAUUCUCUUUCAUUCUACAUCGUAUUCAAUAGUAUCUACCUCUGUCUGUUGUUGUUUUCUUGGAAUAUUUUCAUUGCACUUUUUGUCGGGUCAAUAUGUUUAUGAUUGAUUAGCAACUCUAAGAAAUAGACUCUCUUGGUGUUCUACAACAAUUAACUACCUUGUUUUUCUAUAUGUAUCUACAUUUUAUAAGUGGUGAACUGUUGUUGGGUCAAACUCUAUUAAGGAUAAUGACUAUCGUGUAAGCGGGGAAAUCGACUUCAAAUACUAAUUCAUAUGUUAAGUUGCACCGACACUUUUCAUUGAACUAGCGUAUGAACAAAGCAAAAGUAACGCAUUGCAGAUAGUUCUGGACUUAUUAACAACGGAAGCAAGUUCUCUUCUUGAUCUUCCCAUCUAAUCUCAUCAGCACACUUGACCUUGAUUCUAGGGUUGAUUAGUUUUCCUGUUUAGGGUGACUUGUGACUCUUAUCAUAUAUUAUUUGAUUUCUAAGUUUUAUAGAGCUCAGACUUUAAUUUUUAUUUAACACGAUGCACUUGAGACGUUUCAAAAGAUUUAGGCAUAUAAUGCUUUCUUUGAAAUUGAAAAUGACUUUCUUUAUCUUUUCAAAUUUUGAAGGAAAAGUCACGAGUAGAAAUUAAAAGGGAAAAAAAAAAUCUGCCCCAGAAAAGGGGUCUUGAGUUUCAAUUUCACCGGACUAUAAAAAAAAUAUUUCACGAUAUCAUAAUUUAUAAACCAUUUAUCAUAAAAGUAAAUAAUGACUUGAAACUUAAUUUGUCACCUAGUAUAGUAGUACUCCAUCAAGGGGCCUUUCUUACAUUUGUUUAGAAGUAUUGUAACAUGAUUGAAUAAACUGAACCAUUUACUAUGAAGCAUACACUUCUAAUAAAUUCAAAUGUUAAAUAGUUGUAUGUGAAGAUUAAGUCCUUCCCACCUCUAUUUUCGAAUUGAGUGCCACAAACUUCUUAUGAUUCCUGUAUCCUUGGAGAUACUCCUACUUGAACCUAGGCCGUUAAUCAUGUGGCAUUCAUAUACGGGGCUCAUAUGAUUAACAAUUAUGAUGGAUACGAUCGAUGUAGAUUUACAUCUAUGCAUCAAAUGAUCCUGCCAUUACGAUGCUUUGUGCAUGCUCAAAACCCUAAUUGAAAAUUAAUCUAUAAUUUUUUUCUCAAAAAUCCGUAGUCAAAUGACUGACAUAUAGUCUUUACCAAAAAAAAAUAAUAAUUAACUUUACCAAAAAAAAAAAAAAUUGACUGACAUAUAGAGCAUCCUAAUUUUGUUGUUGUUUUUUUUUUUUUUGGUACUUGGAAAAUGAGUUGUUUAAUUUGUUUAGCCUUAUCCUUCUUAGUUGCUUUGUUCAUGUUCUCAAACUAUCAUACUUGGUAAACUUUUGUCAAAUUUGGUGCUCAAACGCCCAAUAGGAAUGAAAAAUUUGGCUAGACUCGUCCUAUUAUUACAUUGCCGCAACACGCGGUGCCUAGUAUCCACCAUUUACGGCUAGGUGAUUAUAUGCAUACUCAUACUUAUUACCCAAUAGAGAAUGGAGUCUCGAAAUGGCAAAUUCUCCGGAUCACUUACUAUAUUCUCAAAAGGAUUUUCCUAUUAAGCACCUGAAUAAAGAAUAUUUGUUGUUUUCCAUGCGCUUUCUAUCUUGGAUAAGAUGCAAACAAUGCAUAGAAAAUGAAAAUAUUUCCUUAUCAAGUAGGCCACCAAAACCUUCUCAAAAUUCGUUUUCUCCUAUCCGAGCCAAUGUUUUUGGACCAGCACUUUUUCUAAAUCGCAUGAAGUUCAUCAUUGAUCAAUUGAUGUUGCUAAGAGAAGCAUACUUGUUUUUUGAAGGAUAAAUCCUAAUAAAAUUUUGUGAUCCUCGAAAUUAUUUGUAUAAUUUUUUUUCUCAUAAAAUCCCAAAUAUUAAGGUGAACAAAGGAUUAAAAAAAAAACAAAAGAGGAAAAUGAUUAUGCUGGAAUAUGAAGAGCUUUUUUUUUUUCUUCCAAGUUCCAGGCGUAGGACUAUUCCAGCUGCCAAACAUGGCAAUACCGGUAUGAGAGAGCGCGCAACGAACAACUAAUCCAUCGUCAUAUAGAAGCCCACUCAUUCUCAUAUUUGCACAUUCAAAAACCCCUGCUUCUUCGUCGUCUGCUUUCUGAUUCCUCUGCUUCCUCUCUGCCCUUCUCUCUCUCUCUCUCGGUGAGGGAGAAAGUCUCAACCUUUCUGAGUUUCGAAUUCUUUCUUCGACUUCGCUCUGUUUAUCUGCUUUUUUCGUGAUUCAGUGAUUAUCGGAGAGAAUCCACGAAACAGUAUACUGGCAAGGUCUGCGACAAGAUCCUCUCGAGCGGACGAGUGUUGGGAGGGCACAUGAGUUGUCACAUGGCCAAGAAUAUACUGCGGAGAGAGCCAUCAUUGGCGAUCGGUAACGGCUCGGGGAAAGCGAGACGUCUUGGGUAUUGUCUCCGAGAGAACCCCAAGAAAUCGUGGAAAUUCUUGGGGCUGAUGGAAAAUGCCCAAGAAAAUCCGUGCUCGGUCUGCCACAAGCGAUUCAGGUCGACGACAGCUCUGUUUGGCCACAUGGAAAUUCACUUGAGCAAGGACGACGAGCGCUGCGACUGGUGCGCGGACCGUGGCAAAGGGUCCGGGUCCAUGAAAUCUUGCCAGGAUCGUGCGAGGCCGAUCCACGACGGGGAGAGAUUGAAUUUGAGUCUCUCCAAAGGUGAUCUCCUGCUUCGCGUUUUAUUUGACGACGAGGCAAUGCACAUGACCAGGAGGAAGAGGACACCGUGAGUCAGCUGCGAUGAUGAAAGAACUGAGGGAGUUCUGUUUUCCGCACCAAAUGGGUUUUCGUUCAGUAGCGAGGCCGAGCAAGACCCGGCAAACGAAGCAGCAGUUGAGAUGAUGAUAAUGUCCCGAGGUGAGGUGGGCUUCAAUUCUUCGGGUUUGCGCAUCGAACAUUUCUGGAAGAGCUCGGUCCUGGAUUUCAUUGACAUGGAAAAACUGAGGACAACUGAAGCAUCCGAGUACAAUGAACACCAUUCAAGAGGCUAUACGAGAAUGGAGCAGGAAGGGGUCGAAUUGGAGGUUCCUGCCGGGAUGCUUUGUGGGGCUUGGGAAGUUGAGCACAAAAAGCCUGAAGCGGCCAGAUCAGGCGAACAGCCAAUGUAUGAGGUGGCGAUGAUGGAUCGUGACAUGAUGCGAAUUGCAGGUUCUGAUUCGAGAGCUAAAGCAGAACUAUGGAUUGAACCAGGGUUAAAUUCACACCGAGAUAAUGUCUGCGCUGAGGAAUCCCCAGUUUUCAGUGAAUUGGGUGAGAAAAAGAAGUAUAAAAGCAAGGACACUGAGAGCUACAAACAGGAUGCUCCAAUCGAUGCUUCUUGGGGGAUUGAAGGGAAUCGUGGAUGUGCGGAACCCAAGAGCAUCAAGAACUACUCAGAGAAGGUGAAAAGGCACAUAUGCUCAAUAUGCCACAAGGAUUUCUCAUCGGGCCAAGCUUUGGGCGGUCACAAGAGGGCUCAUUACGUGAAGAAUCCCGAAACCAAUGCAGAAAUGCCGACAAGCGCAGCCACACAGCAAAGGCUCGCAGACAUAACUAACAUGGUUGAUCUUUAGCCUCUCAGUACUGUUUGGAAAAAAGAAACAAAGUUUGUUAUUGCUGCUAGUGUUAUGUUCAAGUGAUGAAUCAGUGCGACAGAGGCAAGCACAGAUCAGAUGAUGGCGAGCUCCAUGUGCAGCUUAGUCCAUUUAUUUUGUUUCCAGCAAUGAGCUUUCUAGACUUGGGUUCUUUUACCCUGUUUCUCUCUCUCUCUCUCUCUCUCUCUCUCUCUCUGUUGAAGCUUAGUCCAUCCAUAUUUUAUAUUCUGAUUUCUCUGUUGAUACAGAUGGAUACAUUCCUUUGGCAUUCUCAUGUCAAUGUUCUUGCCAUUGUUAUUGGAUGAAAUAUUCUGAACUGGUUAUCAUUCUAGCUUCUUGUUUCCAUGGCUUAAUUUUCAAAGAUUAUACAGCUGAUCAUCAUCCUUUGUGUGGUUUUUCUUUUUGAUCUUUUACUCAUUUUCCAAAAUGUGGUCGAGAGCAGAACCUCCUGGCCAUCUCAUCUGAUUCUUCUGCUCUAGUCACCUGGUAAAGAGAGGACACAAACUGCCCCUUCCAGUUUUUGAUAGAAAGUGGACAUGUAAUCGAAGAAGUUUUUGAAGUUUUUUUGUAUACUUUCUUUAUCAUACGACUUGCCGACAUAAUAUUAGACUCCUAAUCAAGUAAUACAGUUCUCAAUCACAAUAUACUCCAGAAUAUUACAAUAAUAGAGAGCACUGAUUAAACUUUGAUAUCUUGUCAAGCUAUAUAGCUAUUUGCAUAACAGUUGAUGAUGCAGAAAUCUGGCUUAUGCCUCUUCUCUCCUCUUUUUGUUCCCCCUUUGCCCCCUCCAUCGUCAAACUUUUUUCAUGUGAUCAUCAAUUGCUAGAUAAAAUACUUUAUCAACUUACAUUCCUAUACUGGGUUUGUAACCUGUGCUAUGCACCUGAAUAAUUCGCAAAAUGGUAAGGAAAAGAUGACAGAAAAUAAUUUAUGAUGUGAUUUGGGAAAUAGAUUAAAAUGAUUACAUGGAAAAAAUUUACAACUUCGAAACUCAAGAUAUGUACAUGGAUAAUACUAUUAACGAUGAAUUGGCUUAAAGUAUUUUCAAUAAAAAUUAGUCUAAUAAUAAAGAAAAGAGAUCUAUAUCACGUAGAUAAUGCUUAACUUCCUAAUAGAAUAGUCAUUUUUAAACUCAUACAAAUGUUUUAGCUGGAAUUCUCAUAAUAUUUUUUUCAAUUUGGGAUUACUUUGCUAGGAUUUUUUAGGGACUCCAAUACACAUUAUGCUCUUCAUGUUGGAAUGGAUAAUGUCCAAUACUUUUUUAUUAAGCUCCUUUAUUUUCUCUUUUGAGUUGAGCUUUUAGUAUUUUCCAAUAGGAAACAAAUUGUGUUAAUUUUCUUAAUUAACCAACAAAAAUGUAUUUUUGACUUGUUCCAUUUAUUGGGCAUAUCCUUGAUCUUUUUUGCUUUGGCAUAUGAACAGAAAUUUGAUACUAACACACAUAUAUCGCUUUGAUGAAAUGGUUCGUGUCAUAGAUCUUUAUCAAAUAUCCAAUAUUGCUCAAGAGAUGGGAAUCCAUCUCUACAUUUUUCAUGUUUGGGAAAAUAAGAAUUCAAAUGUGGAUUUGGUGUCCCCAUGAAAGCAAAUUCCUCAGAAAGUGCGGAAUUCGAUUACCUUACAAUAAAUGGUAUCGAGAUUUUCAUAGACACCUUAAAGACUUUUCAAGUUUGACUGACUUUGUCCCACGGCCAAAUUUUGUUGAAAGCUCAACCAUGCUACUAUGAUUAAAUAAUAAUUGUCGAGAACUUUUCCAAGGUACCAAAUUUUCCCUAAUUUGGCAUUGUCUUAAGACAGACUUAAGAAAUUGACCAGAUCUCCUAGAGUAAGAAUCAACUCCAAACAAACUAGCAAUGGGUCAAUAUAUAAGUGAUUAUUAACUUCCUUAACUUCGUUUGGAGUUCUUUGACAACUAAUUUAGGGAUAAGUACACUAAUGGUGCCAUAAGCUGUAUACGGCGCUCACUUUGGUACCAAAAAUUUCCGUCGAAUCAUUUAAGUGCCAAAAAAUUUGAAAAACGCUCACUUUAGUGCCAACGCCGAUCUGAUCGGCCAGAAAUCUGACGUGGCCUUUUUUUAUUAAUUUCUUAUGCUGAUGUGGCUCGUCGGAGUUUCCAUUAGAUCACUUAGACCUUCAAACAACGUCGUUUUAGCAUCCUAACACCAAAACGACGCCAUUUUGUGUCUUUCCCCCAAAUUCAAAACCCUAAAUACCCAAACGACGCCGUUUUUGUGUCGUCUUCUUCCCUGAGCAGAUUCUUCUUCUUCCCCGAACAGAUCCAGCAACACCAACAGCACCAAACCAACAACACCAGCAGCAGAGAACCAGCAACACCAGUAAUUUUCCAGAAAAGAAACCACGCAUUCGCAUCCGCCCACCCCCAGUAGUUUUCCCCCAUUUUUAAUCACCUUAUCAACCUUUCAAAUCCCCGAAUCUCAGCCUCACCAUCCCCUUUUCCCAAGAAAUAUCAUUGGGUGCAGAGGAAACACGAGCUCGAAGAAUCCCCAGAAGCACGAACAAUCCGGCCAGUGGUAGCCACGAAGAUCUGGAAUGCCACGGAGGUUGUCGGCGAAGCCAGCUGCUAUGAAGGCGGCGGCCGUGGCCCCGCCAUCCCCUCCUUCGUCCUCAUCAUCGACACCUCCCUCUUUCGCGGGAUUUUCUGUUCGUUUUUUUUUUCUUUCUUUCUUUCUUUUGUCUUUCUGUGGCAAGCAACUGCAAUGGAGGUUGAGGGAUAGCGGCUGAGCGACGGUGGCCGAGGGAUGGUGGCUAAGUGAUGGUGGCUGAGGGACAGCGGCCGAGCGACGGUGGACGAGCAAUGGCGGACAAAAAAACCCUAAUUUCAAUCUCCAAAUAAAAUUAACAAAACGGCGUCGUUUUUGUGAGGCUAUCCACAUAGGAUGGCAAAACAACGUCGUUUUCUUAAGGAAGACGGAAAACGACGUCGUUUAAAAGGCUUCUCGAUUUUUUUUUUAAAUAUAAAAGCCACGUAAUCAUUUUGGCCGGAAUCUGUCGUCAGUGGCACCAAAGUGAUCGUUUUUCCUCCGAUUUGGCACUUAAUGAUCCGGCAGAAACUUUUGGCACCAAAGUGAGCGCCGUACAUAACUUAUGGCACCUUUAGUGUACUUAUCCCACUAAUUUAAAUUUGUUGCUUAAGUGAUAAAAAAAAACCCAAAACUCAUUUAAAAUCUUGAAAUCAAAAACUUGAUUUGAGCAUAUAUUUGAAAACUAGAAAUCGCAAUUUUUCCAAUAGCAUGAGAAUGACGCGAAUCUGAUAUUGGACCAAAAGGUUAUGACUUUAGGAAAAAGAUACCAUGAAAAAUUAAAACAAAUAAUCAGGUUAAGCCACUUUACCCACCCUGAUUCAACCGGGCCGGAGGUUAUCCGUUUGAGGGUGACUUGGGCCAAGGUCAUCCGGCCCAGGGUUACUCUGGUCCAAGUUUACUAAGCCCAGGUCGUCUCAUCCCUUUUGCGCAUUUUUAACUAUGUCCACAAUUUUAACGCGAAGAGUUCUAUUUUCUGGCUUUCAGUUUGAUACUCACUUUGAUUCAAUUUUCUGUUGGAGAUUUCGACAAUAUCCGGAAUGAAGGUGCGGAAACUCUUUUAAUAAAUGUGAUAAUGGUUAUCAUGCUGAGGUAAUAACUUGAAAAUAAAAUACAUUGUGGUUACGCCAAGAUAAAAAUGGAGUUUACAUAUCAAAGUAGUCAUUAUUUUACUAAAAAAAAAUCUUGAAAAUUCCAUAAUUUCUCUGUGCGGUUAUUCUGCUUGCUUUAAUUCUUACAUUAGAAUAAUCCUGCGUAUGUCACGAUUUUCUCAAAAUUUGUCGGAAAAGUUAAGGUUACUUUCAUGAAACUAUUUUCAGCUUUCAAAACCAGUCUUAUGGGAAUGAAAGGACAAUACACCCUAUGUCUAAGUAGGCCAAAUAAUAACAUGGUUCCAUCAUUUUCAAAACUAAUCAUGCAUCGUCAAAUAAACAUCAUUUGAUUAAUUUUGAAAGUGUACAUUCACAACUUAGCACACAUGUAUAAUUUUUGCACGUCAUGCUAGGGAUGCUAGAGGUGUGCAGAACAGAUCACCCAAACUAAAAACCUUAUGGAACGGAUCAAGUAUGAUGUCAAUGAAAGAACUGAGGGAAUUCUGUUUUCCACACCAAAUGAGUCUUCGUACAGUAGCAAGGCCGAACAAGACCUGGAAACCGUAGAAGCAGUUUCUUUGAUGAUGCUGUCCCAAGGUGAGACAGACUUUAAUUCUCCAGGUUUGGGCGUCAAACCUUUCGGGAAGAGCUUGACCCCGGAUUUCUUUGACGUGGAGAAAGAGAAAGCGGGGGUAACUGUGCAAUGAAAGCCAUUCAAAUGGCUAUUUGAGAAUGGAGCAGAAAAGGGUCGAAAUGGAGGUUCCCGCCAGCAUACUUUGCGGAGCUAGGGAAGUUGGGCUCAAGAAGCCUAAAGUAGCCAGAUCAGGCAAAGACCCGAUGUAUGAGGCGGCGAUGAUGGAUGGUGACAUAAUGGGAGAUUUUAGGUCAAGAGAAAGGGCAGAAAUAUGGAUGGAACCGGGGCUAAACUCGUACAAAGAUAAGGUCUGCGCUGAGGAAUCCCAAAUUCUUGGUAAACCGGUUGAGAAAAACAACGCUGAGAGCUACAAACAGGAGGCUCCAGUCGAUGCUUCUCAGGGGAUUGAAGGGAGUUGUGGCUGCACAGAACUCAAAAGCAUCAAGGACGACCGGGAGAAGUUGAACAGGCAGACAUUCUCGACGAGUUGCGUGAGAUCGGAUAACAGAGCUGCACCCAAUAUUGACGUUUGACGCCAGCCAAGGACUAUUUCUAAAGCAGCCGUUUUUAUCCCUCCUUGUCCGUUCUUUUGAUGGUUUCGAUUGUUCUCCUACUUCACUGGAGUAGUCAGGGUAAUCAAUCCCCAUGGUGAAGUCAGCGGAGUCUCUCUCUCAUUCUACAUCGUAUUUAAUAGUAUUGCCCCUUUGUCUGUUGCUGUUUUUCUGGAAUAUUUUCAUUAAAUUUUUUGUCGGGUCAAUAUGUUUAUGAUUGAUUAGCAACUCUUAGAAAUAGACUUUCUUAGUGUUCUAGAACAAUUAACUACCUUGUUUUUCUAUACGUAUCUACAUUUUAUAAGUGGUGAACCGUUGUUGGGUCAAAAUGGCUAUCGUGUAAGCGGGAAAAUCGACUUCAAAUACUAAUUCAUAUGUUAAUUGCACCGACACUUUUCAUUGAACACAUUGCAGAUAGUUCCGGACUUAAUAACAACAAAAGCGAGUUCUCUUCUUGAUCUUCCCAUCUAAUCUCAUCAGCACACUUGACCUUGAUUCUAGGGUUGAUUAGUUUUCCAAUUUAGGGUGACUUGUGAUUCCUAUCAUAUAUUAGUUGAUUUCUAAGUUUUAUGGAGCUCGGACUUUAAUUUUCAUUUAACACAAAGCACUUGACACAUUUCAAAAUAUUUAGAUAUGUAAUGGUUUAAAAAAAAUGAAAAUGACGUUUUUAUCUUUUCAAAUUUUGAAGGAAAAGUCAUGAGUAGAAAUUAAAAGGAAAAAAAAUUUGCCCCAAAAAUUUAUUCUUGACUUUCAAUUUCACCGGACUAUCAUAAAAAUAUUCCACAAGGUCAUAGUUUAUAAAUCAUUUAUCAUAAAAGUAAAUGAUGACGCGGCAUUUAAUUUGUCGCCUAGUACUCCAUCAAGGGGCUUUCUAACGUUAUUUUAAAAGUAUUGUAUCAUGUUUGAAUAAACUGAACCAUUUACUAUGAAGCAUACACUUUUAAUAGAUUCAAAUGUUAAAUAGAUCUAUGUAAAGAUUAAGUCCUUCCCACCUCGUUUUUCGAAUUGAGUGCCACAAACUUCUUAUGGUUCCUAUAUCCUUAGAGAUACUCUUACUUGAACCCACGCCGUUAAUCAUGUGGUAUUCAUAUACAGGGCUCAUAUAAUUAGCAGUUAUGAUAGAUACAAUCGAUGUAGAUUUACAUCCAUGUGUCACGGGCUAAUCGAUUGGGAUCGUGACCGUGCGGUCACUCAGGCACUUUUGGAUCAACUUGGAUCGUUGAGAUGCCUAGGGCAAGCCUUGAUCACACACUUUCUAGAGAGGGAAGCUCUGGAAAGAAAAUAGCCUUUGUAUUACUGAAUGAUUGGAUGGAUACAAAUGAGUAGGAGGGUAUCCCUUUUUAUAUUAAAGUUCCUCGAAUUACAUCCAUUCAUCGAGUUUUCAUCCGGUGGACGAGAUCCCACCGCCCCAUCUACCAACUACCAACACUAAUAGCAGGAGACUUCUAGAAUUUGUCGUAAUGACCGUAUCACCCGCCCCGGGAACGUUCCAGAAGAGCACUUGUUGGAAAUCCUAGCAAUUGCGAGAGGUCCUCCUCGGAAAGGCAUGGCCCUUUAGUUGCAGAAACCUCUUGGCCAUGACACAUGCAUCAAAUAGUCAUGCCAUUACAAUGCUUUGUGCAUGCUCGAACACCUAAUUAAAAAUUAAUCUAUAAUUUUUUUUCCAAAAGAUCCGUAAUCCAAUGACUGACAUAUAGUGCAUCUAAUUUUGUUGUUUUUUGAUUUUUUGGUACUUGGAAAAUGAGCUGUCUAAUUUAUUUAGCCUUAUCCUUCUUAGUUGCUUUGUUCAUGUUCUCAAACUAUCAUACUUGGUAAACUUUUGUUAGAUUUGGUGCUCAAACGCCCAAUAGGAAUGAAAAAUUUGGCUAGACUCAUCCUAUUAUUACAUUGCCGCAACACAUGGUGCCUAGUAUCCACCAUUUACGGCUAGGUGAUUAUAUACAUACUCAUACUUAUUACCCAAUAGAGAAUGGAGUCUCGAAAUAGCAAAUUCUCCUGAUCACUUACUAUAUUCUCAAAAGGAUUUUCCUAUUAAGCACCUGAAUAAAAUAUAUUUGUUGUUUUCCAUGCACUUUCUAUCUCAGAUAAGAUGCAAAUAAUGCAUAGAAAAUGAAAAUAUUGCCUUAUUAAGUAGGCCACCCAAAACCUUCUCAAAAUUCGUUUUCUCCUAUCUGAGCCAAUGUGUUUGGACAUGCACUUUUUCUAAAUCGCAUGAAGUUCAUCAUUGCUUAAUUGAUUUUGCUAAGAGAAGCAUACUUGUUAGUACUAUGAUUUUUUUGAAGGAUAAAUCCUAAUAAAAUUCCGUGAUCCUUGAAAUUAUCUGCAUAAUUUUUUUCGCAUAGAAUCCCAAAUAUUAAGGUGAACAAAGGAUUAAAAAAAAAAAAGAGGAAAAUGAUUAUGCUGGAAUAUGAAGAGUUUUUUUUUUUUUUCUUCCAAGAUUGGGACAUAUCUCCAUAGAAAGAAUUAAGCAAUUAGUAAAUGAUGGAGUACUCGGUAUUUUAGAUUUUACUGAUUGUAAUACUUGUGUGGACUGCAUAAAGGGAAAGCAGACUAAUAAAUCAAAGAAAUGUGCCAAGAGGAGUACAGAAAUAUUAGAAAUCAUACAUACGGAUAUAUGUAGUCCGGAUAUGGACUCUUGUGGUCAGAAAUACUUCAUCUCCUUCAUAGAUGAUUACUCACGUUAUAUGUAUCUCUACUUGAUUCAUAAUAAAUAUGAAGCAUUAAAUGCCUUUAAGGUAUUUAAGGCGGAAGUAGAGAAACAAUGUGAUAAGCAAAUUAAGAUUGUGAGAUCAGAUAGUGGUGGAGAAUUUCUAUGGUAAAUACACUGAAGAUGGACAAGCACGUGGUCCAUUUGCAAGAUUUCUUCAAAGAGCAUGGAAUAGUUGCCCAAUACACUAUGCUUGGUUCUCCGGACCAAAACGACGUAACGGAAAGAAGAAACCGGACCUUAUUGGACAUGGUGCGUAGUAUGCUUAGUAGCUCCAAACUUCUUAAAUCCUUGUGGACUGAAGCACUUAAGAUGGCAGUGUACAUAUUAAACCGAGUUCCGACAAAGGCUGUUCCAAAGACACCUUUUGAAUUAUUUAAGGGUUGGAAACCGAGUUACAUCAUGUGCGCGUUUGGGGAUGCCCGUCUGAAGUGAGAGUUUAUAAUCCACAAAAAAAGAAGUUGGACCCGAGGACCAUAAGUGGGUAUUUCAUUAAAUAUGCCGAAAGGUCUAAAUGAUACAGGUUUUAUUGUCCAUCUCAUACCACUAGGAUUGUGGAAUCAAGAAAUGCUAAAUUUCUUGAAAAUGACUUGAUCAGUGGGAGCGAUCGACCGAGGGACCUUGUUCCUAAGGAAGAUCAUUCAGACACUCAACCUUCCACCUCAAGUUUAAGGUUGGUUGUUGCUUAUAAUGCCCAUUCAGUUCAGCCGGCUAUCGAACAACCAAUCGUUGAAGUUCCACAACCUGCUGAUAUUGAUCUAGUAGAUCCAAUUGUUCAGCAAUUACCAGAAACUGUUGAACAACCAGUUGAGCAACAUGCUCCUCAAGAGAAUGUUGAUGCAACCUUGAGAAGAUCUGCUAGAAUAAAGAAAUCGGCUAUUCCUAGUGAUUAUAUUGUGUAUUUACAAGAGUCUGACUACAAUAUUGGAGCUGAGAAUGAUCCCGAAACGUUUUCACAAGCCAUGGAUAGUGAUAAAUCUAAUUUGUGGUACAAUGCCAUGAAGGAAGAGAUGAGUUCUAUGGCAUCUAACGAAGUCUGGGAUUUGGUUCAGUUACCUUAUGGUGCGAAGGCCAUUGGUUGUAAAUGGGUCUUCAAAACUAAGAAGGACUCAUUGGGUAACAUUGAAAGAUAUAAAGCUAGACUCGUUGCCAAAGGAUUCACUCAAAAGGAAUGAAUCGAUUACACUGAGACUUUUUCUCAUGUAUCUAAGAAAGAUUCUCUUCAUAUUGUUUUGGCAUUGGUUGCCCAUUUUGAUAUGGAAUUACAUCAUACGGAUGUGAAAACGGCGUUCCUCAAUGGAGAACUGGAGGAGGAGGUUUACAUGAAACAACCUGAAGGAUUCCCCUCUAGUAAAGGUGAGCAUUUGGUGUGCAAGCUUAAGAAAUCUAUAUAUGGCUUGAAACAAGCAUCCCGCCAAUGGUACUUAAGGUUCCAUGAAGUCAUCUCUUCAUUCGGUUUUGUAGAGAAUGUCAUGGAUCAAUGUAUAUACCAGAAGGUCAGUGGGAGUAAAAUUUGUUUCCUUGUGCUGUAUGUGGAUGAUAUAUUACUUGCAACAAAUGAUAAUGGGUUGCUACAUGAGGUGAAACAAUUUCUCUCUAAGAGUUUUGACAUGAAGGAUAUGGGUGAGGCAUCUUAUGUCAUUGGCAUUAAGAUCCAUAGAGAUAGACCUUGAGGCAUUUUAGGACUAUCUCAAGAAACCUAUAUCAAUAAGGUCCUAGAGAGAUUUCGGACGAAAGAUUGUUCACCAAGUAUAGCACCCAUUGUGAAGGGCGACAGGUUCAAUUUGAACCAAUGCCCGAAGAACGAUAUAGAAAUUGAACAAAAAUACAACAUUCCAUAUGCUUCUACUGUUGGAAGCUUGAUGUAUGCUCAGGUUUGCACUCGACCUGACAUCGCUUUUGCUGUGGGAAUGUUGGGAAGAUAUCAGAGUAAUCCAGGUUUAGACCACUGGAGAGCUGCAAAGAAAGUGAUGAGAUACCUUCAAGGUACCAAAGACUAUAUGUUUAUGUAUAAACGAACUGACAACCUGGAAGUGGUCGGUUAUUCGGAUGCGGACUUCGCGGGUUGUGUUGAUUCACGAAAAUCAACAUCUGGAUACAUUUUUAUGUUAACUGGCGGAGCCGUGUCAUGAAAAAGUGCCAAGCAGACUUUGACUGCUACUUCCACUAUGGAGGCUGAGUUCGUUUCUUGUUUUGAGGCUACCUCGCAUGGUAUAUGGUUGAAGAGUUUCAUUGCUGGGCUUAGAAUUGUUGAUUCAAUUUCUAGGCCAUUAAGAAUAUAUUGUGACAAUUCAGCUACGGUUUUUAUGGCUAAAAAUGCCAAAAGUGGCAGUCGAAGUAAGCAUAUCGACAUUAAGUAUUUAGCCAUAAGGAAACGUGUUAAGGAAAAUAGAGUGGUCAUUGAACACGUUAGCAUUGAAUUGAUGAUAGCUGAUCCUUUAACUAAAGGCAUGCCACCAAUGAAGUAUAAGGAUCAUGUAACCAGUAUGGGAAUAGGUCCCAUCAUGUGAUUUGUCGUUAUAUGAACGAUUUUGUUGUAUGAAACUCUUAUUCAAUUGUAAUGUUGAUUAUCAAUUUUGGUGUACACAUUUUGUUGUUUAUGAGAAUAACAUUUAUCCUUGGUUCUGGAAUGAACAUGGGGUUUAUUCAUUAAGAUAUGUUGUCACAUAUAGACUGACAUUAAAGAAAUAAGAUGCAUUGUGAUACAUGGAAGAAAUUACUCACUCUUAAAGGACAUGUCACNNNNNNNNNNNNNNNNNNNNNNNNNNNNNNNNNNNNNNNNNNNNNNNNNNNNNNNNNNNNNNNNNNNNNNNNNNNNNNNNNNNNNNNNNNNNNNNNNNNNNNNNNNNNNNNNNNNNNNNNNNNNNNNNNNNNNNNNNNNNNNNNNNNNNNNNNNNNNNNNNNNNNNNNNNNNNNNNNNNNNNNNNNNNNNNNNNNNNNNNNNNNNNNNNNNNNNNNNNNNNNNNNNNNNNNNNNNNNNNNNNNNNNNNNNNNNNNNNNNNNNNNNNNNNNNNNNNNNNNNNNNNNNNNNNNNNNNNNNNNNNNNNNNNNNNNNNNNNNNNNNNNNNNNNNNNNNNNNNNNNNNNNNNNNNNNNNNNNNNNNNNNNNNNNNNNNNNNNNNNNNNNNNNNNNNNNNNNNNNNNNNNNNNNNNNNNNNNNNNNNNNNUGAUUCUGGCUUCCGCAUCAUGAAUUUUAUUUCUUACAAGAGUUAUCAAAUGGCCCAAGAAUAUACUGCGGAGAGAGCCAUCAUUGGCGAUCGGUAACGGCUCGGGGAAAGCGAGACAUCUUAGGUAUUGACUCCGAGAAAACCCCAAGAAAUCGUGGAAAUUCUUGGGGCUGAUGGAAAAUGCCCAAGAAAAUCCGUGCUCAGUCUGCCACAAGCGAUUCAGGUCCACGACAGCUCUGUUUGGCCACAUGAAAAUUCACUUGAACAAGGACGACGAGCGCGGCGACUGGUGCGCGGACCGUGGCAAAGGGUCCAGGUCGAUGAAAUCAUGCCGGGAUCGUGCGAGGCCGAUCCACGACAGGGAGAGAUUGAAUUUGAGUCUCUCCAGUGAAGAUCGCUAUGUGGGCUUGAGUAAGACCAAAUCGCUAUGUGGGCUUGAGUAAGACCAAAGGUGAUCUCCUGCUUAGCGUUUUAUUUGACGACGAGGCAAUGCACAUGACCAGGAGGAAGAGGACACCGCGAGUCAGCUGCGAUGUCGAUGAAAGAACUGAGGGAGUUCUGUCCUCCGUACCAAAUGGGUUUUCGUUCAGUAGCGAGGCCGAGCGAGACCCGGCAAACGAAGCAGCAGUUGAGUUGAUGAUGAUGUCCCGAGGUGAGGCGGGCUUCAAUUCUUCGGGUUUGGGCAUCGAACAUUUCCGGAAGAGCUCGGCCCUGGAUUUCAUUGACAUGGAAAAACUGAGGUAACUGAAGCAGCCGAGUACAAUGAACGCCAUUCAAGAGGCUAUACGAGAAUGGAGCAGGAAGGGGUCGAAUUGGAGGUUCCUGCCGGGAUGCUUUGUGGGGCUUUGGGAAGUUGAGCGCAAAAAGCCUGAAGCGGCCAGAUCAGACGAACAGCAAAUGUAUGAGGUGGCGAUGAUGGAUGGUGACAUGAUCCGCAUUGCGGGUUCCGAUUCGAGAGCUAAAGCAGAACUAAGGAUUGACAAGCUGCGUGAGAUCGGAUUCAUUGUCUACUCCAUCGGCAAGCCGCUGGAUCCCUGGCUCAAGGACAUGCCCGCUGUGACAUAAUGGAGACCCACCUGAUAUUGGCGUUUGUCGCGAGCCAAGAUCCAAUAUUUUUAAAGCAGCCUUUUUUAUCCCUCCAUGUUCGCCUUUUGAUGUUUUCGAAUGUUCUCCUGCUUCCUCAGAGUAGUCAGGGUAAUUGGUCCACACGGUGAAGUCAGCGGAUUCACUCUUUUAAUCUGCAUUGUAUUCAAUUAUAUUAGCCAUCUGUCUGUUACUGCUUUUCGGGUAUAUUUUGAUUACAUUUUUGUCGGUUCAAUAUGUUUAUGAUUGGUUAGCAACUCUGACAAAUAAACUCUCUUGGUGUUCUAGAACCCUUAACUACCUUGUUUUCUAUUUGUCUUCAUUUAACUGGCCAACUGCUGUUGGGUCGACUCUAUUCAGGAUGAUGACUGUUGAGUAAGCGUGGAAUCGUCUUCUUACGCCAGUUCGUAUGUUAAAUUGCGCUAACAUUUUUCAAUGAACUUGCAUGUAAACCAAACAUCAGUAAUGCAGUGCCGACAAUCACGGACUUAUUAAGAAUUCACCAUCAGAAUGAUUCGGGGAAGCGAGUUCUCUUAUUGAUCCUUCCAUUUAAUCUCGCUAGCACCCACGACCUCGUCACUAGGGUUAGUUAGUUUUCCCAUUUGGGACGACUUGUGACUCCUACAUUUGAUUUGAUUUAUCGUACAUUUUGCGGAUUCAAUUUUAUUUAACACAAAGCGCUUGGGACUUUUUACAAUAUUUGCAGUUGACAUAUAAAAUGUCCAAAUUUUUAUAAUCUUUUGUAAUUGAAAAUAAUUCUUUUACAUUUUCGAAUUUUGAAGGAAAAGUCAUGAGUAGAAAUUAAAGAAAUAAAAAAAAAUUGCCCCAAAAAAGAAGGGGGGUCGUAAGUUACAAUUUCACUAAACUCUGAAAAAAUAAAAUAAUCAAUGAGGUCGUAUUCUAUGAACCAUUCAUUAAAGGAAUAAAUAAUGAUGUGACAUUUGACUUGUCACCUAAAACUCUAUCAAGCGAUAUUUCUGAAAUUACUUCAAAAGUAUUGUAACGUGAUUGAAAAAAUUACAAUUUAAUAAGAACCAUACUUGUGUAAUUGUUACGAUCAAUUUUUAAUACAUUCAUAUGUUAAAUAGAUCUAUGUGAAGAUUGAGUCUUUUCUUUCUCUUCUUUCAGGUGAGUGACAUGAACAAAUUUCUCAGUCUUUGGAGAAACUCUUGUUUGAACCUUAUCAAUGGUUUAAAGACAAUCAAAGCCAUCAAUUACGUGAAUUUGUAUGUGAUGCCAUACAAUUAACGGUUAAGAUAGACAUGAUCCAUGUAGACUCAACCCAUGCAACAAUUUAUCUAGUCCUUAGGGUGCUUUGCGAUUGCCAUGACCUAACUGAAAGUUAAUCAUAAUUGAAUGGCGCAAUCGCUAUAUUACAUAUCCUAAUUUUGUUAUUUGCUGAUUUUUUUUCCUACUUGGAAAAGAAGUUGUAUAAUUUGUCUAGCCUUAUCUAUCGUAGUUGCUUCUUUAAUUUUUCACACUAUUGUACUUGGUAUCUUGGUAAAUUGCUUGAUUUGGUGCUUAAUGGCUUAAUAUUGACUGGACUCAUCGCAUUAUUACAUUGCCAUCUUGGAUUGUAUGCGUACUCAUUCUGAUUACCUAAAAGAGAAUAGUCUCAAAAUAGCAAAUUCUCUUGAUAAUUUACCAUUUUCUGAAAAGAAUUUUCUAUUUCAACACACCGAUAGAUUUUUGUCAUUUUUAAAGCAUCGGUUCUCUCAUAUUACGUAUAAUUUGGGUAUUGUAAAUGAAACCAUUUUACCAUUAAGCAAGGAUAACCAGUGCUCCAGAGAUACUUCUUUUGUAAAUCUUAGUUUUCUCCCUAGCCUGCCCAUUGUGUUUGCGCAGGUGCCUUUUCCAGAUCCCAUAGAGAAGUUGCUCUUUACUUAAUUUAUGGCCCUAGAGGAGCAUAUUUGUUGGUACUCUGCUUUUUUAAAGGCUAAAUUCUGAUAAUUUUGUGAUCCUUGAAAUUAUUUAGGUGAUCUUCUCUCACUAAAUCCCAAAUAUUAGGGAGAACCCGGAAAAACAAAAGAAAAUGAUAUUUAAUUUUGUUGGGUUCUAUGCAUUGACUAUUCCACCUGCCAAACAUGGCAUUACCCGUUUGAGAGAGCGAGCAACAACAGAGGAAUGACAGCCAACACAUCAAUCAUCAUAUAUAUACAAACCCAAUCACGCUCACUCGUAUUUGCACAUUUCAGAACCCCAGAGAGAGAAGUCCAAAACCCCCGCUCCUUCUUCGAAGGCCUUUAUGAUUCCUCUGCUUCCUCCGUAGCCUUCUCUCUCCCGCGCGCUCGCCCGCUUUCUGGUGAGAAAGAGUCUCGACCUUUCGAAGUCUCGACAAGCUGUUUGCAUUUUCUCUCUUCGAUUUCCCUCUGUUUCUUUUGCUGCUUUCAUGAUUAGAUGGCGACCGGAGAGAAUUUGGAGAGUAUAUCCGUGCAAGCUCCGCGACAGGAUCUUCUCUAGCGGACCAAUGUUGGGAGGUCACAUGAGGUGCCACAUGAUACUGCAUGAGACAAAACAGAUGUUGUCGAAGAAUUUUGACAUGAAGAACAUUGGUGAGGCAUCAUUCGUCCUUGGCAUUAAAACUCAUAGGCAUCGUUCCCACUGUAUGUUAUGUUUAUCUUAGAAGGCAUAUGUUGAUUGUAUUUUGGAAAAAUUCAACAUGCAGCAUUGCAAACUAGGCAUUGUUCCUAUUUUUAAGGGUGACAAAUUAAGUCUCUCACAAUAUUCUCAAUCAAAUUUUGAGAAAAACCAAAUGAAUGAUAUACCUUAUGCUAGUGCACUUGGAAGUAUCAUGUAUGCUCAAGUUUGCACUAGACCAGAUAUUGCCCUUAUGACCGGACUUCUAGGUAAAUAUCAGUCAAAUCCAGGACAAAAUUAGGUUAUUACCAAAAAGAUUUUGAGAUACUUAAAAGGAACAAGAGACCGUAUGUUGAUUUACUAAUACCAUGAUUUGUGACUAGUAGCAUAUUCAGAUGCAGACUUUGCUAGUUGUUAGGAUGAUAGAAAGUCGACAAUAGGAUAUAUCUUCAUGUUAGUAGGAGGUGCAAUAUUGUGGAAAAGCGAGAAACAGAAAUCUAUAUUAUCCUCUACCAUGCAAGCGAAGUUUAUAACAUGCUUUUCAAUUGCUACUCAAGUUGUUUGGCUCUGAAACCUUAUUAGAGAAGUAAUGGUAUUUGAUUUUAUGGAUAGACCCAUACAAUCAUAUUGUGAUAAUAACCGUGUAGUGUUAUUUGUCAAUAACAACAGAAGUCUCAAAGGGUCUAAACAUAUGGAGGUCAAGUUUUUUACCAUAAAGGAAAUGAUACAAAAUUGUGACAUUACAAUAAAGCAUAUGCCCACGGAUGAUAUGUUAGCAGAUCCACUGAGGAAAGGCUUUCCCUUGUGUAUUUAAGCGACAUGUCAUGAACAUGGGCUUGGGAGAAUCAUUGGAUACUGUCAUUUAGUGGAAGUUACUUCAGAUUUGCUCUAAUAAAGUUUACAUCUAUGUUUCGUUAUAUUUGGUAAUAUUUUGAUAUAUGUCAACUCUUUUGGUAAGGAUUAUUAUUGAGUGGUAUACAUACAUCUAAUGAAAAUUUCAAAGUAUUGUGUAAAUCUUAAAUGAAAGUUAGAGGCAUCCAGUUAUUAACCUUGUACAUAUGUCUAAUUACACAUAAAGAAAGGUUAACCAUAAAUAUAAAAUAUAUGUGAGUUCAUUAAAAUCAUAAAGAUAUUCUCUAGUGGCACAUUCGGUUUGUUGUAAUACUAAAGGUAAGAGAAUAGUGACCGAUAAAGAGGAUAACAUAUAAGAUAUUAUUCUUCAUGAGGUGUUAUCUAUUUGUUACAUAACCAUAUGAAUCUAUAUUAAUAAUGUGUGUGUGUGUGUGUGUGCAAUUACCUCCAUGAUCCAGUGUUUGAUACUUUAUGAGAUCAUAUUGAUUAUUAAGAAUUAUCUCUAGACCAACGUAAAAGUGCGCACAUACAGUGUAAUCUCAAUUAAUAUAUCAAAAGGGGAAGAAUGUAAUAGUUUUCCUAAUGUAGGCUACAUUAAUUAAGAUUGUGAUUUACCAUUUUUAUGAAGUUAGUCUAAUAAAGUAAUAUAUAAAGUUUAUUAGCAGUCAAAUAUGGGUCUGGCUUAUGUAGGCUGAGUUGGGCUGGCUCAAGAUGAGAAGGCCCGGCCAAAACUCUAUAAAUAGGCUAAGGUCCCUCCUUAAACCCUCACCUUUUGCUAUUUUGAAAUGUAUGCACCCACUACCUCACAUAAGGAGCGUUUAUGAGAGGCAGUCUCAUCAAGUUAGGGUAUGGAGAGUGAUAAAGGAGAAGAUCUUCAGCAUCGAAAUAUCAAAUUACUGUUGUUCUGCUCCUAGAAUCAUGGAUUCCAAAUCAGGUACACAAAUCUUCAUCUUCUCCUUCAAUAUGUUUGAGUUCCCAGCUAUUUCGAUCUUGAGAAGUUGUUUCGAUGGCCAACACUUUGAUCAUGAACCAAGGUGAGGCAGACUUCAAUUCUCCGGGUUUGGGUGUCAAACCUUUCACGAAGAGCUGGCCUGGAUUUCUUUAACAUGGGGAAAGGGUUGAUAACUGAAGCAUCCGAGUGGAAUGAAAGCCAUUCAAGUGGCUAUUUGAGAAUGGGGCAGAAAGGGGUUGAAUUGGAGGUUCCCGCCGACAUGCUUUGCAAGGCUAGGGAAGUCGGGUUCAAGAAGCCUCAAGCAGCUAGAUCAGGUGAUGAGCCGAUGGAUGAGGUAGCAAUGAUGGAUCGUCGCACAAUGGCAACUGUAGGAAUUGCAUGUCUUGAUUUGAGAGAAAGGCUAGAAAUACGAAUCGAAUUGGGGCUAAAUUCUUAUAGGGAUGAGGUCUACCCUAAGGAAUCCCGAGUUUUCGGUGAAUCGGUUGAGGAAAACAAGUAUAAAAGUAGGGACACCGAGAGCUACAAACAGGAGGCUCCAAUCAAUGCAUCUCAAGGGAUUGAAGGGAGUCCUCGAGAGCAUGAAAGGACAACUCAGAGAAGGUGAACAAGCAGUAUGCUCGAUAAGUUGCAUAAGAUCAGAUAUGUUAGUGGAUCCAUUGAGAAAAGACUUUCACCCUUGUGUAUUUAAGCGACGUGUCAUGAACAUGAGCUUGGGAGAAUCAUUGGCUACUGUCAUUUAGUGGGAGCUACUUCAGAUUUGCUCUAAUAAAGUUUACAUCUGUGUUUUGUUACAUUUGGUAGUAUUUUGAUAUAUGGCAACUCUUUUAGUAUGGAUUAUUAUUGAGUUGUAUACAUAUAUCAAAUGAAAAUCUCAGAGUAUUAUGUAAACCUUGAGUGAAGGCUAAAGGCCUCCAGUUAUUAGCGUUGUACAUAUGUCUAAUUACACAUAAAGAAAAGUUAAUCAUAAAUAUAAAAAAUAUGUGGGUUCAUUAGAACCACCAAGAUAUUCUCUAGUGACACAUCCAAUUUUCUACGAUACCUAAGGUAAGAGAAUAAUGACAGACAAAGAGGAUAACAUAUAAGUUAUUAUUCUUCAUGAAGUGUUAUCUACCAUAUGAAUCCAUAUUAGUAAAGUUGAAAGCACUUGUGAUCAUGAAAAGCUCUGUGUAUGUAUAUGCAUUUACCUCCAUGAUCCGAUGUUUGAUGCUUUAUGGGAUCGGAUUUAUUGUUAAGAAUUAUCUCUAGACUAACAUAAACGUGCGCACAUACAGUGCAAUCUCAAUUAAUAUAGCCAAAGUGGGAGAAUGUAAGAGUUUUCCUAAUGUGGGUUACAUUAAUUAAGAUUGUAAUUUACCGUUUUUACGAAGUUAGUCUAAUAAAGUAAUAGAUAAAGUUUCUUAGCGGUCGAAUAUGGGUCUAGUUUAUGUAGGCUGAGUUAGGCUAGCUUAAGAUGAGAAGGCCUGGCCACAACUCUAUAAAUAGGCUAAGAUCCUUCUUUUAACCCUCACUUUUUGUCAUUUUGAAACGUUUGCACCCCUACCUCACAUAAGAAAGGCACUCUCAUUGAGCUAGGGUAUGGAGGGUGAUAGAGGAGAAGAUCUUCAACAUCGAAGUAUUAGAUUGCCGUUGUUCUGCUCCUAGAAUCAUGGAUAACAAAUCAAGUAUGCAAAUCCUCAUCUUCUCCUUUUAUAUGUUCGAGUUCCUAGUUAUGUCAAUCUUGAGAAGUCGUUUCAACGGCCAACAUUUUGAUCAUGAACCAAGAUGAGGCAAACUUCAAUUCCCCAAGUUUAGGUGUCAAACCUUUCACAAAGAGCUGCCCUGGAUUUCUUGAUGUGGGGAAAGGGCUAAUAAUUGAAGCAUCUGAGUGGAAUGAAAGCCAUUCAAGUGGCUAUUUCAUAAUGGGGCGGAAAGGGGUCGAAUUGGAGGUUCUCACUAACAUGCUUUGCGAGGCUAGGGAAGUCAGGCUCAAGAAGCCUCAAGCAACUAGAUCAAGUGAUGAGUCGAUGGAUGAGACGGCAAUGAUGGAUCGUGGCACGAUGGGAACUGCAAGAACUGCAAGUCCUAAUUUGAGAGGAAGGCUAGAAAUACGGAUCAAACUGGGGCUAAAUUUGUACAUAGAUGAGGUCUGCACUGAGGAAUCCCGAGUUUUCGGUGAACCGAUUGAGGAAAACAAGUAUAAAAGCAGGGACGCCAAGAGCUACAAAUAGGAGGCUCCAAUCAAUGCUUCUCAAGGGAUUGAAAGGAGUUAUGGCUACACCGACCUCGAGAGCAUCAAAGGACGACUCAGGGAAGGUGAACAAGCAGUAUGCUCGAUAAGCUGCAUAAGAUCAGAUAACAGAAAUGCAACCAAUAUCAGCAUUCGACGCCGGCCAAGAAUUAUAUAUUUCUAAAGCAACCAUUAUUAUCCCUCCAUGUUGUUUCUUUUGAUGGUUUCGAGUGGUCUCCUAAUCCCCAUAAUAGUUAGGAUAAUUGGUUUACAUGGUAAAGUCAACUGAUUCACUCUGGCUCUAUUUGUUUUACGAAGAAUAGAUGAUUUUAAAAAUAUUUUCCUAAAAUGAUAGUUUGUAUCACUUGAAGUAACCGGUCAAUUUAAAAUAUUUUCAUCAUCAACCACAAUGUAUGACUAAAUAUCUUUGUAGACGAUGAAAAUGUUUUUCGUUCAUCUAUUUUUGUGAGGGUCUCCCCAUUAGGUAUAGGAUGCCUCACAGGGGCAUUGAGAUGACUGUGUAGGAUCCUCAUAGGGUGUGGCACCCCUCGACACGGCCCCCGAUCCGCUAGGGUCACCACAGCCUAUUCACCUAUCACUUGUCCUGAUAACAUUCCACUAUGAUACCAUUUUAAUUGCAGCGGGUCCAUACAACCUGGGGGUUUACAUCUUUUAGAUCGGUCCCAGCGCAGUUCAUAUGACAGAAGCAUACUCAACAUCUCCCUAACCCGUACACUAACUAAAUAAUAUGAUGUAAUACAUACCAACUACAACCUUUCACAUAUAUAUGCAUUUUAUGGCCAAAUCACUUUUAUUUACAUACUAAGAUGGAUUUCACAAGUUGGUACAACAAAAAGGGCCAAGACUAUAACUAAGCUUGACUAAACUCAAAAAGAAACCCGACCAUACAUCAGACGUGAACAUCUAUCCAUCAGCUAGUGUUGGCCAUCCUAAAAUGUGUUAACCUCCACCAGUCACACGCUCCUAUCACACCCAUCCUGGUGCAUUGGCUGGCGGCGGCGGCAGCAUCCCCAUCAUCCUCCCAUCUCUACGAACAUGGACAGACAAAAACUCUUGUACAACGGGACCAUCAGGUAAGCCCACAUCGUACAUGACCAAAACACGGACGUGGAUAAACACCAAACCAUGAACACCGACGCAAGGGUUCUCUGAGCACUCGACCUCGACAUCAUACGGUAAUCCAUAAAACGUACCACGCGUGAUAGGUGCUAGAGGCAUCUUUCAAUCUAAAAUGUUAGUCUCCAAAGAGGUGAGUACAACCGCUUAGCAGCAAAGAUCCACCAAACUACACAAUGCAACAAGCAAGGCAAUCAAGAUAUCACGAGUAAAGCACAUAUCAUCCAUGCUAUCAAGCAUACAUCACCAUGCAGUCGUGCAUAUAUCACCGUGCAGUCAUGCAUAUCUCACCAUGCCAUCGUACAUAUAUCACCAUGCAGUCAUGCAUAUCUCACCAUGCCAUCGUGCAUAUAUCACCGUGAUUCAUAUCAUCCAUGCUAUCAUGUAUAUACAUCCCCAUGAGAUCCAUUCAAGCCUUCAUGAUCGCAUUCUCAAUGUCAAAUAGAAUCAACUUACUUUUAUAAGCAAAUCAUGCAUCAUGCCAUAUGCAUACACUCAUGCACAUGAUUCAAUUUCAAUAUUUAUCUUUCACAAGGAUCUCAUUAUUUUUCAUUCAGGGACCAAUGUUCGCAUCCCUCAAUUUAUCACUUGCACCCAACCUGGCAUCGCGAGGAGCCUUCGGCACAAACCUCCAGGCAUCCGGCACAAACCUCCGAGCAUCUCGCACCCCAACUAGCAUCACGAGGAAUCCCCCCAGUACAAACCUCCAGGGCUUACGAAAUUACGUACCACCAUACUACCGAGUAUUCCCCCUGGACAUUACGUACCAUAUACCACCGAGCAUCUCAAAACUCCCGAGGACCUCCGGGCAUGUAUUCAUAAUACAACCAGGCAUCCGGCUCAAACCUCCGGGCAUCCCGACACUCCUAGGGCAUCGUCGGCUCACACCUCCGACGGUCUCAUUAUUAUUACAAUUUAUGAUCACAUAUAUGUCUUACUUUCAACAUGACAUUUGAUGCAAUAAUAUCAAAGGUCUCAACCAACUUUUGAUGUCAUAUGAUAUGCCCAAAUAUCACCAUAUAUGCAGUACACAUAACACCCACGUAUCACAUUUCAUAAAGCAAUUCAUUGGUUUUUGAAAAUAGAACUAAUUUUCGGGUAAAACAGAAUGCACCUCUUUAGUAAAAAUCCAUGGAAAAUUAGUAAACAAUCUCAAUAAAUUUUGAAAAAUUAUAAAAAUGUAAAAAAGAUCUAGAGGAAGAUAUUUCAUGAAGAACACCAUGUCAAAAAAGUUCCACAUCAAUCACAUAGAUCCACACAUCACAGAAAAAGGAAUUCCAGCACCGCUAUUGCACAGUUUCGGAAAUAAUUUCGAUUAAACCAUUAAAUGAACUCCGAAAAUUAUGAAAUUUUAAUAUGUUAUAGAAGAUAUCUAGAGGUAAACGUCUCAUGAAUAAAUCAAAAUCUAAUUCCUUCUUAAUUAAAAGAUAUAAUUUUUUAUAACUCUUCCUAACUCUAGGUUCACUGUCCAGGUUCAUCCUUUUCAAAGAAAAUCGUUUUCCCUGAUCAAUACUUGUCCAUUUAUUCUCACAUUUUAGUAUGUUACUCCUCAAGACGUUUUCUACAACUCUUAUCAAGAACACGAGAUCAAAUUCGGACUGGAUAAUUUCAAAAAAUUCACAGAAUCACAAUAGAUCAACAUAACAGUUUCCAGAUCUAGCUUCUUCAAAGAAAAAUGGUUUCACCGACCUAUACUUGUUCGUUUCCUCUAAUUUUUUAGUAUGUUAAUAAUCAAGAAGUCCUCUACAACUUUCAUCAAUAAGUUGAAGUCAGAUUCCAACUAGAACAUCACAUGCAACUCACGAAAUCACCAAAGGUUGGACUGUUUUUCGAGGAACAAAACACUAAGCUAGAACACAACUCCUAUAACUUUAAAAUUUCUCACCUCAACCACAUCCGAAAUUCACCAUUCAUCACACACAAACACAGCAAGCAAAGGGUAGAUCAAUGGACUCUACUUGCCUCUAAUCCAAGCAAAACACAGCAAGCACAUGGCGGGGUAAGGCGGCUCGACGGCGGGACUCGGCGCACGCACAGUAGUGAUGGUUCUCCUUCUUCCUUUCUCUCUUCCUCUCUUUCUCUCCUUCUCGCACAUGACAACUCUCUCUCUCUCUCUCUCUCUCUCUCUCUCUCUCUCUCUCUCUCUCUCUCUCUCUCUCUCUCUCGGUCGAAAACCCUCUCUCUCAAUCCGCCUCUCCUCUUUUCUUUCCCCUUCAUCAUUGGCAAUCAUUUGAUUUUGCAUGGCUUCUUACACUUGGCUACAACGGACUAACACUUGGCAAGCUUCUCUUGCCACUUGGGGAUUUGCAUGCAGGUUGAUGGACCUCCCUUUGGGCCGGGCCUCUCCCUCCAUCCGGUCGACGACAGCCCUCUCCCUUUGGGCUUCGCGGGCCAGACCUUAAUGGCCGAACGGUGGGGCUCUUGUGGACUGGUCUUGGCCUUAUAAUUUCAGCCCACUCCUUCUCUUAAUCUACUCUAAAUCCCCACUUAUAUAAAUACCUAAUUGAAAUUUAUAAAACCAUAAAACUUGCAACAUAAAUUAAUAAAAUCCAACCUAUAAAUCACAUGGCCAAGAAUAGAAUUUUCUUAUCAAUUAAUUAUCCAUCAAAAGCUCGGCCUUAAUCUUAUUGCAAAUCAUGGGUCAAAUGGCUUCAAUAUACAUUAAUGGUACUUCCAUCACCUAUCCAUGGCUCAUAACAUAUCUAGGGAUUGUCAUGAAAUUCUAGGAUGCCACAUAGGGGUCUUGAGAUGACUGUGCAAGAUCGUCUAUGUCUGCCAUUUCCUGCUCUUGUGAUGGAGGUGUCCUUGCUUUGUCAUAUACUUGUUUGAAUUCCUCAAUUGCUUCUUUAGUUUCUGGUGCAAAGCUAUAAUGAUUCCACGGAACAAGCAUGAAGUCAUUCUUAAAAAAGCAUUUUUCAGAUUAUUCAUUUUUUGCUAAACAAAUGCACCCUAUUAAACACUAUAUUCAAUAAUAUCACCAUCUGUCUAUUGCUACUUUUUGGGUAUAUUUUCGUUAUGUUUUUUGUCAGGUUAAUAUGUUUAUGAUUGAUUAGCAACUCCGAGAAAUAGACUCUCUUGGUGUUCUAGAACAGUUAUCUUCCUCGUUUUUAUGUUUGCAUUUUGUAAGUGGCGAACUAUUGUUAGGUUGAACUCUAUUUAGGAUCAUGAAAUUGACUUAUAAUACCAAUUCAUAUGUUAAUUUGCACCUACACUUUUCAUUAAACUUGCAUAUGAAAAAAAUAAUAGUAACGUAGUGCAAACAAUUCUGGACUUACUAACAAUUGAAGCAAUUUCUCUUCUUGAUCUUCCCAUCUAAUCUCGUCAGUAGACUCAACCUUGAUUUUAGGGUUGAUUAAUUUCCCUCUUCGGGGUGACUUGUGACUCCUAUCAUAUAUUUUUUGAUUUCCUGUAACUUGUAUGGAGCUCGGACUUUAAUUUUAUUUAAUAUAAUGCACUUGAGACUUUUCAAGAUAUUUUGACGUAAUUCUUUUUUAAAUCAAAAAUGGCUUUUUUACCUUUCGAAUUGUGAAGGAAAAGUUUGAGUAGGAAUUGAAAGGAAAACAAACAAAUUUGCCUCACAAAAGGGGUCUUAAGAUACCAUUUCACUUGACUCUAAAAAAAUUAUUUUAUGAAAUCACAGUUUAUAAAGCAUUCAUCAUAAAACUAAAUAAUGAUGUGGAAUUUAACUACUCACCUAGUACUCCAUCAAGGGCCUUUCUGACAAUAUUUCAAAAGUAUCAUAACAUGAUGGUAUAAAUUUAACAAUUUACUAUGAAACAUAUACUUUUAAUAGAUUCAAAUGUUACAUCUUCUUAUUGUUCCUCUAUCCUUGGACAUAGUCUUACCUGAGCCCAGGCCACUAAUCAUUAGGGGUGAACAUCGGUCUAGGGUCAAUCCUAGACUGACCCUGGACCAGCCCAACUAUGCCGAGCUUGGUCUAGUUCCCAGGGAGACUAGGUCAAUUCUUAGUCCUAGAAUUCCUGGACCAGCACUGUGUGGGUUGAUCCUCAGUCCUAGGAGUUCAAGGUCGGUCUAACCCGAACCAACCCUAUAUAUAUAUAUAUAUAUAUUAUUUAUAAUUUUUUUAUAUAGAGAAAACCUUAAAAUAAACAGCGUCAACAACAUUAAAUAGCUCUUUAGUGAGGAGUUCAAGCGAUUUUACAUUGUUCUUUAAUGACUUAGAUUUUUAAUGUCUUUUACGGUGUCAAUAGUCAUAAUUUAAGAAGGAAUAAAUUUUUUUUAUAAGGAGUCCUCACAGUAUCCAAAAUGGCAUAAACAACUCUUUAUGGCAUCUUCCUCUAGUACUCGUUCUCUUCUAGUUUAUUUCUCCUCUUCAUCUUCAAUUUGCCAAAAUUGAAAGAAACAACUUCUCUGCUCACCACUUGACACUCGCCUCACUCGCUUUGGGUCACCCAUGAUGCUCACCGCUCGAUGCUCGCUUGGCUUAUUGCUCUCCGCUCGACACUCGAUGCUCACUCUGUUCAACACUCAUCCCACUCAACCCUCACCACUUGCCUUUCUUAGUUGACCUCGCUCGUCAUCGAACCCAUUGGGUCGGUCCAGUCAUCGGCUAUCCUUUCAAGAAGUACAAAAAAUGAAAUAAAAAAAUUAUUGGUUGGUCCCGAGUUGACCCUGGAACCGGACUGAACCCAUUGGAUCAGUCCGGUCCUCAAUCGCUUUUUUAAAAAGUACAAAAAAUGAAAUAAAAAAUUAUUGGUUGGUCCUCGGUCCCAAGCUAAAUAAGGUCGGUCCUCGAUCCCAAAAAUUGAGGACUAGUACAAUGCGGGUUGGUUCUAAGGUUAGGGGGUGGACUGACCCAAUCCGGACCAUACUCACCCCUACUAAUCAUGUGGGAUUUAUAUACAAGGCUCAUAUGUGGACUUACGUCCACGCAUCAAAUGUUCCCACCAUUACGGUGCUUUGUGCAUGCAAUGAGACCUAAUUGAAAAUUAAUCUGUAAUUUUUUUGUCAAAAAUCCAUAAUCAAAUGACUAAGAUAUAGUAUACCCUAAUUUUUUUGUUUGUUGCGGUACUUGGAAAAUGAGUUGUGUAAUUUCUUUAGCCUUAUCCUUCGGUAGAAGAACAACCCAAGUGCCAUAACUUGGCAUGGGAGGACACUUAACUGCCAUAACUUCAAAAUGAUACACUUGAGUGCCAGUUUCGAUGUUAAAUGGAACACUUAAGUGACAUUCCAGCGAAAAUCCGGCCAAAUAGCUUACGUGGCCAUUUUCCAGCGAGUUUGGUCCAAAACGACGUCGUUUUGCACGCUGAUGUGGCGAGAAAAUGCAAAAACAACGUCGUUUCAUGUCUGACGUGUAAAUAAUAAUAUAAAAAUUAAUUUAUUUAAAUUUAAACUUAAUUUUAUUUAAAAUAUUCAAAAAAAUUAAGAAAAAUUAAAAAGGGGGGGGAAGGGGAGGUCAAAGGGGGCGGCUGAGGGCUAAGCCCUCACCGCCACCGCCUCCCCACCGUCGUCAGGAAGGGCCAGCGACGGAGGGGGGAGGGUCGGCCGAGGUCGCCGGCCUCGCCGGCGAUUGGGCAAGGGCUCGCGACCCUCGCCGACCGUCUCCUGGGGGUCGAUGACUCUUGCCGACGCUCUUGGGUAGGUUGCUGGUCCUUGCUGACGACGGUGGGUAGAACCCGGGCACGAGGUUCUACCACUGCAUAAAGUAAGGUGCUUUCCAUAUGGAUUCGGGUAAUGGGGACGGGAACGCAACCGCCGGCGAGAUCCUCCAAGCUCAAGCCCACGUAUGGAAUCACCUGUUCACCUACAUCACCUCCUUUGUGCCUCAAGUGGGCCCUAUCUACUGGGCAUAUCCGACCUCCAUCCACUAACAUGGGCGACCCAUGACCCUCCCCGAGCUACUCUCCGCCCUCCGCAUCCCUCCUGCCAAAGCUACGGCCUCCGUCGCAUCAUGCUCGUCCUCUUCCACUCCGGCUACUUCGAGCUACGGGACCUUCGAGGNNNNNNNNNNNNNNNNNNNNNNNNNNNNNNNNNNNNNNNNNNNNNNNNNNNNNNNNNNNNNNNNNNNNNNNNNNNNNNNNNNNNNNNNNNNNNNNNNNNNNNNNNNNNNNNNNNNNNNNNNNNNNNNNNNNNNNNNNNNNNNNNNNNNNNNNNNNNNNNNNNNNNNNNNNNNNNNNNNNNNNNNNNNNNNNNNNNNNNNNNNNNNNNNNNNNNNNNNNNNNNNNNNNNNNNNNNNNNNNNNNNNNNNNNNNNNNNNNNNNNNNNNNNNNNNNNNNNNNNNNNNNNNNNNNNNNNNNNNNNNNNNNNNNNNNNNNNNNNNNNNNNNNNNNNNNNNNNNNNNNNNNNNNNNNNNNNNNNNNNNNNNNNNNNNNNNNNNNNNNNNNNNNNNNNNNNNNNNNNNNNNNNNNNNNNNNNNNNNNNNNNNNNNNNNNNNNNNNNNNNNNNNNNNNNNNNNNNNNNNNNNNNNNNNNNNNNNNNNNNNNNNNNNNNNNNNNNNNNNNNNNNNNNNNNNNNNNNNNNNNNNNNNNNNNNNNNNNNNNNNNNNNNNNNNNNNNNNNNNNNNNNNNNNNNNNNNNNNNNNNNNNNNNNNNNNNNNNNNNNNNNNNNNNNNNNNNNNNNNNNNNNNNNNNNNNNNNNNNNNNNNNNNNNNNNNNNNNNNNNNNNNNNNNNNNNNNNNNNNNNNNNNNNNNNNNNNNNNNNNNNNNNNNNNNNNNNNNNNNNNNNNNNNNNNNNNNNNNNNNNNNNNNNNNNNNNNNNNNNNNNNNNNNNNNNNNNNNNNNNNNNNNNNNNNNNNNNNNNNNNNNNNNNNNNNNNNNNUGACCUCCCCCCCCCCCCUCUCCCGCCCUUUUUUAAUUUUUAAUUUUCUUAAUUUUUCUUAAUUUUUUGAAUAUUUUAAAUAAAAUUAAGUUUAAAUUUAAUUUAAUUAAUUUUUAUAUUAUUAUUUACAUGUCAGAUGUGAAACGGCGUCGUUUUUACAUUUUCUCACCAUGUCAGCGUGCAAAACGACGCCGUUUUGGACCAAAAUCGCCGGAAAAUUGCCACGUCAGCCAUUUGGCCGGAUUUUCGUCGAAGUGACACUUAAGUGUACCAUUUCAAAGUUAUGGCACUUAAGUGUCCCUCCGUGCCAAGUUAUGGCACUCUAGGUGUCCCAACCUCCUUAUCCUUCUUAGUUGUUUUUUUAGGGAUGAGCAUCAAUCUAGGGUCAACCUUGGACCAACCUUGGACCGGCCCAACCCUACCGGUCUUGGUCUGGUUCCUAGGGAAACUAGGUCGGUUAUUGGUCAUAGAAUUCUUGGAUUAGCAUUGUGCGGGUCAUUUCUCAGUCCUGAAAGUUUCAGGUCAGUCCAACCCAGACCAACCCUGACUAUAUAUAUCUAAUAUAUUAUUUAUAAUUUUUUUAUAUAAAGAAAGCCUUAAAAUAAAUAGUGUCAAAGACAUUAAAUAGCUUAUUAGUAAGGAGUUCAAGUAAUUUUACAUUAUUCUUUACUAACUUAGAUUUUUAAUGUCUUUUACAGUGUCAAUAGUCAUAAUUUACGAAAGAGGAAAAUGUUUUUGUGAGGAGUCCUCAUGGCUUUCAAAAAGAAAUAAAUAGUUCCUUAUGGCAUCCUCCUCUAGUAUUCGUUCUCUUCUAUCUUAUUUGUCAUCUUCUAUCUUAUUUGUCCUCUUAGUCUUCAAUUUGCCAAAAUCGAAAGAAACAACUUCUCCGCUCGCUACUUGACACUCGUCUCACUCACUUUAGGUCAUUAGUGCCGCUCGCCGCUCAAUGUUCGCUUGGCUUGUUACUCUCUGCUUGACAUUCGAUACUCAUUCUGUUCGACACUCACCCCACUUGACCCUCACUGCUUCCUUUCUUAGCUAACCUCGCUCAUCAUCGAACCCUUUGGUCGGUAUGGUCCUCGGUUGCCCUUUCAAGGAAUACAAAAAAUGAAAUAAAAAAUUAUUUGUUGAUCUUAGGUUGACCUAGAAAUCGGACUGAACCCAUUGGGUCAAUCCGAUCUUCAAUCGCUUUUUUAAGGAGUAGAAAAAAUGAAAUAAAAAGUUAUAGUUUGGUCCCAGGCUAACCCUGGAACCGAACUGAACCCAUUGGGUCGAUCUGAUCCUCGUUCUCAAGCUCAAUAGAGUCGGUCCUUGGUUCCAAAAAUUAAGAACCGGCACUGUGCGGAUUGGUCUUAGGGUUAGGGGGUGGACUGGCCCAACCUGGACCAUACUCACCCCUAGUUUUGUUCAUGUCCUCAAACUAUCAUACUUGGUAAACUUCUGCCAAAUUUGGUGUUUAAACGCUUGAUAGAAAUGACAAAUUUGGCCGGACUCCUCCUAUUAUUACAUUGCCGCUACACACAGCGCCUAGUAUCCACCAUUUACAACAAGGUGAUUAUGUACAUACUCAUAAUUACAACCCAAUAGUUAAUGGAGUCUCCAAAUAGUAAAUUCUCCUAAUCACUUACUCUAUUCUCAAAAGGAUUUCCUAUUAAGCACCUGAAUAAAGAAAGUUUGUUGUUAUCCAUGCACUUUCUAUCUCGGAUCAAAUGCAAUUUAUGCAUAGAAAAUGAAAAUAUUUCAUUAUUAAGUGGAGCACUCCUUAAGAAAAACUUUCUCAAAAUUCGUUUUCUCCUAUCUGAGGCAAUGUGUAUGGGCACACACUUUUUCCUGAGAGAGUAUUAGUGCAAUCUUUGCAGUAGGACCUUUUGGGGCGGACAAUUGGUGUGAGGUCACAUGAGGUGUCACAUGGCCAAGAAGAGACUAGAGAGAGAGAGAGAGAGAGAGUCACCAUUGGCGAUCGAUAAUGGCUCGGAGGAAUUGCAACAUCUUAGGUAUUCUCCAUGAGAAAACCCCAAGAAAUGGUGGAAAUUCUUGGAGCUAAAGGAAAAUGUUAGAGCAAUUAAAUAAUAAAUCACAUUUUUAUCUAACAAUUUUAAUUUUUAGAACAGUUAAUAGUGAUCUAUUAGAGUAUGAAGGCAUGAUUUAAAUGCCCAAGAAAAUUCGCCCCUUGUCUACAACAAGCAAUUUAGAUCGACCUGUUCAUUACUUAAUCUAUGGCACAAGUAAAGGAGCAUAUUUGUUAGUACCUUUGCAUUUUUAAAAGGCUAAAUCUUGAUAAAAUUUUAUGAUCCUUGAAAUUAUCUAUAGAAACUUCUACCAACUCCCAAAUAUAAGGGACAACAUGGGAAAAGAAAAGACUCUCUGGCACGGUAGUUAAUUCGCACCUUAAAAAAAAAAUUAAUACUAAAGUGAUUGUUGUACAUAACUUUUGGUACUUCUAUUGUUCUUAUCUCAUUUUUCUUUUCUUUUAAAAAAAAUUUCUUAGAGUCAAACUUUAUGAUCCUUUAAGGUGCGAAUUAACUACCUUGAUAAAAACUUUUUUGAAAAAAAAUGAUUACUAAGUGCUAACUUCAAUCUGAGUCACUGGAAAUUCGAUAUGGUCAUAUUUUAUUAAUUUCUCAAUUCUACAUUACUUGCUGGCAUGCCACUUUAGUGCUAGUUGGUGUUAAAAAAUGAUCCCUGCAGUGCAAUCAUUGUAAAAAAGUAAUCACUUCAGUGUCAAAAUAAUGCCACCUCGGAUGAAAUUUUUAAUUAUAAAACCACAUAAUUUCUCUAGCAAGUUAUCGCCAGAGGCAAUUAAGUGGUCCUUCAAUUAGACACUUAAAUGAGCCGCCGAAAACUUUUGACACUACAGUGAGCACCAUAUACAACUUUUGACACAUCUAGUAUCCAAAGACAAAUAUAUGUUGGAUUGAGGCUAUUUCAGCUGCCAAACAUGGCAUUACCCGUUUGAGAGAGCGAGCAACAACAAAGGAAUGACAACCAACAAAUCAGUCAUCAUAUACAAAUUCACUCAUUCUCACUCGUAUUUGCACAUUUAAAAACUCCAGAGAGAGAUGUUCGAAGCCCCUACUCCUUCGUGAGCUUUAUGAUUCCUCUUCUUCCUCUGUAGCCUUCUCUCUCUCGCGUUCGCUCAUUCUCUGGUGAGAAAGAGUCUCGACCUUUCAAAGUUUAGACAAACUGUUCGCAUUUUCUCUCUUCAAUAUCAUUUUGUUUUUUUUUUCUUUGCUGUUUUCGUGAUUGGAUAGCGACCGGAGAGAACCUGAAGAGAGUAUAUCCGUGCAGGCUCUGCGAUAGGAUCUAUUCUAGCGGACCAAUCUUGGGAGGUCACAUGAGGUGUCACAUGGCCAGGAAUCUACCGGAGAGAGAGCUGCCGUUGGUGAUCGAUAACAGCUCGCCAGAUGAGCGACGUCUUGGGUAUUGUCUCCGAGAAAACCCCAAAAAGACGUGGAAAUUCUCAAAGCUGAAGGAAAGUGCCCAGGAAAAGCCGUGCCCGGUCUGUGACAAGCGGUUCAGGUCGAUGAGGGCACUUUUUUCCCACAUGAAGAUUCACUCGGGAAAGGAUGACGAGAGCGGUGACCGGUGCGAAGGCCGCGGCAAAGGGUCCAGGUCAAUGAAAUUUUACCAGGAUCACACAAGGCCAAUUCAUGACAGGGAGAGAUUGAAUUUGAGUCUCUUGAAUGAAGAUCACUUUGUGGGCUCGAGCAAGACCAAGAGUGAUCUCCUGCUCAUCGUUUAAUCCGACGACGAGACAAUGCGCGUGACCAGGAGAAAGAGAACACCACGAAUGGAGUAUGAUGUCGAUGAAAGAACUGAGGGAAUACUGUUUUCGGCACCAAAGGGGUCUUCGUACAGUAGCAAGGCCGAACAAGACCCGGAAACCGUAGGAGCAAUUUCUUUGAUGAUGCUGUCCCAAGGUGAGACGGACUUUAAUUCUCCAGGUUUGAGCGUCAAACCUUUCGGGAAGGGCUUGAUCCCGAAUUUCUUUGACGUGGAGAAAGAGAAAGUGGGUAACCGAAACAUCCGAGAGCAAUGAAACCAUUCAAGUGGCUAUUUGAGAAUGGAGCGGGAAGGGGUCGAAAUGGAGGUUCCCGCCGGCAUACUUUGUGGGGCUAGGGCAGUUGGGCUAAGAAGCCUAAAGUAGCCAGGUCAGGCAAUGUAUGAGGCGGCGAUAAUGGAUGGUAACGUGAUGGGAGGUUCUGGGUCGAGAGAAAGGGCAGAACUAUGGAUCGAAGUGGGGCUAAAUUCGUACAAAGAUAAGGUCUGCGCUGAGGAAUCCCAAGCUCUUGGUGAAUCGGUUGAGAAAAACAACCCGAGAGCUACAAACAGAAGGCUCCAGUCGAUGCUUCUCAGGGGAUUAAAGGGAGUCGUGGCUGCACAGAACUCAAGAGCAUCAAUGACGACUCGGGGAAGUUGAACAGGCAGGUAUGCUCGAUGAGUUGCGCGAGAUCGGAUAACGGAGCUGCACCCAAUAUUGGCGUUUGACGCCGGCCAAGGACCCUAUCUCUAAGGCAGCCAUUUUUAUCCCUCCUUGUUCGUUCUUUUGAUGAUUUCGAUUGUUCUCCUACUUCCCCGGAGUAGUCAGCGUAAUCGGUCCCCAUGGUGAAGUCAGCGGAUUC
rnacentral:lncRNA from 1 species